rnacentral:lncRNA from 1 species
CUAGUGUGAGGAAUGUAUGGAUUAGUCACGUCUAUUCUCAUAGUGUUAGUUAUACAGUAUGUUGCACAAUGGUGACUCAUAUUCUCUUUGUGUCCCUCUGUAGUUGGUGGCUUGAUGCAGUAUGCUUUGUCAUGUCUCAGGCACUAUGGCACGAUGAUCUAUUCUUCUUAAUCUCCCUCUUCUUGCCUAAAAGGCAAUCCAUGCAUUCACUGGAUACAAAGGGUCAAUGGAUAUAUAGGGUCUUACAUUCCUGUGGCCGGGGGAACAACACAGAUACCAGAAGAAUACCAUGUAAGUUUAUGCCUCCCUUUGUUAUGUGUCCUUAUACACGGCUUUGUUGUAGGUUCCCCCUAUGUAAAAAAAUGAUGGAUGUACCGUUCUGCAAGGAUAAGUUUAUAGUUUAAUUUCACUUCCCAUUGCCCGCCUAUAUUUCAUUUUACUCUUCAGUUUAGUACGAACGAUUAUUCCAAUAUAUUUGGCUAUUAAAGAAAUAAUUCACAUUUUAUCAAUAAGAAGUAGAUACACUUUCUACUAUGAUCUGCUACCAUAAUAUCUAUAGGUAUUGGGCAAAUAACUUAAUUAUUAACUUUAUGUGAAAAUUAUGGAUAAAAAUCAUGCUACACUCCUAUCUAGAUUGUUAACUUUCUGGAUCGAGGAUCUCUGGUAACAAUGUUGCCACACCUUCCUAACUUACAGUUCCUCCCAUAUGUUCUACUGUCAGUUGUAAAGCACUGAAUACACCAGUGUAUGUAUGCAUACCUCUAAUGUUAUCAUUGGGGCAAAGGUAAUAAACCCUUAAAUAUGGGUAUAUAUUAUAAUAUGCUAGAGAUCUCAAGAUAUUUAGUAACAAUCUAUGUGGCUCAGUUGAGUGAGUGUGGAAUAAUUUAGAAUUCUCCUAAGUGAAAGAUACCCAGCAUAAGAGAAAAACUCUGCGAGGUGCAUUGUAGUUGUGGUCUAGCAAUUAGACAGCUUUGUUGUCCUCCGUGUGCAACCCUUUGUUGUUCGCAUUAAAUGAAAACAAAUUAAAGGAGAGAGGAAAAAAAAUCCACAUCCAUUUAGAGUAUAUUGAUGAAUAGGCAGAACGCAUGCUGCUUUUUCUACUGUACAACUCUCUCUAUUCUAUGCCAAGCAGUUACCAUAUGGGCUGGGCUUUGCAAGCUAACCAUUGAAUUACAAACACUCUUUUGACUGUGAAUUGAAUAGGGGAGGAUGUCAGUUAUUGCCUCCCUCCUGUGGUCACACCACAAGUGCACCUGCAGCAAGAAACUGGCAUUAAUCCUAUGAAAAGAACCACAUGCUCUUUUUAUUCUGAAAAGGCAAAUCCUAACAUUGGCUGUGCUUACUCAACUCCCAUCUUAGCUAACAGAUUACACAGAUGAAAAAGGAAAAAAAAGCUCUCUUAUAUGCAUAUUUAUUACUUACACACAUUUUUUUUGGCACUCAUCCGCUAGAUUUUUUUUUUUUUCCCCAGCAUUCAUUAAAAUCACGAUUUACGCAGAAUAUUAAACUAAGCCAUUUAUAGCUUUAAAUAAACCGUCCACAUUCCGGGUUCUCCAGCUGCUGUCAUCUCUCCGCUUCCCUUCAGCGACACAUUUCUUCUCUACCGAAAUCACAACCACAUCCAACGACAGUACAGAACCGAGAUCCAUUAAUUACGAUCGCCUUGGCUUACCUGAUUGCAAAAUGUGCGUCCGGGAUAAUACCAUUUUCUGAUCUGUUUUUGCAGGAGGAGGUGUUCGGCGUAAUCAUUUUUCUCUCUCACCCCCUCCAGCCGUAGUAAACUUGAAAUGGAACCUACAAUGAAGUGUGCAAAGUGGAUUGGAGUGCUGUAGAAAAAAAAAAAAUGAUGAUGUCUGGAAGCAGUGAACUGGGCAAUCUAUUAAAUAAGACAGCUGUUCAGCUAGCAGAGGUUUCUUGUCUGCUUCUAUGUAGUAUGACAGCUGAGCUGGCGAUCAGACUGAGAUUUUGCCUGCAGCGCCUGCUGUCGCAGGCCUCCCAUGCCCUGUAUUGUAAGGAGGGGAGUGAUAUGCACUUCAUCAUCUGUUGGCUCAAUUAACUCUUGGCUUGCUACGAAUAUCUCUUAGCCAAGGUACCAAACUGGCACAUCCGUUAUUAACAGGAAAACAUAAAGCUCCAAUUUUAAUUAUUUCAUUAAAAACAGAGAAAUGCAUUUUAUUAAACCAAUGGAUUUUACAGAUUCUUUUUUUCUGUAUAAAUAAAAAGGUUAUACGAUUAUUAAAUUCUCUUGUUACCUGCUGUAUGGCUUAAUUUUGUAUAUAUAAUUUGUUGCCGUGGAGAACUAAACACUAUCUUGGUUAAAGUUGCCAACAACAUAUUAUGAAGCAAAACGUGCAGAAAGCCUUGUGUUAUUAUGAGCUGUUCAUAAAAUGUGAUUUAUGUCGUUAGAGGGAAUGGAGAAACAUUAUAUUUUAUUAAGCCUUUAAAAAUAUACUCACCGCGCGAGAAACAUCUGUGGGUAUGUUUACACUGUGGAAACAUUAGCGCAUGGAAUUUAAAUUAAUAUGGUGUAAUGCAAGCCUAGCUUUUUAUCUAUAGGAUCUAUUUUCAGAAUUGUAUGAUCCGGCGGUUACUGCAUUUGAAUGAGCACCCUUACUUGUUGCUUUCUUUUUGUUUAGGCAAGUUGUGUUAUAAUUUAUAUUAUUCGUUUGGUAUAGUUUGUUUUACUAAAAUGCAAAUAAACCACUCUUUCUUUAUAUGAAAUCUGUUUUAUUGAAUGUGAAAUUUUAAUUUGGUGUUCUGUUCCAGUGAAUUUGUUUAUCGUGUUUUAAGCCCCUCAUUAAAACUGUUUGUAAUGUUUUGUGUGUCGGUGAGGCUGAUUGGAGUAGAAACUUUUAACUGUAUGUAGUGUGUUUCCAAUUUAAGGAAGGAUUAUGGUACAUUUUUGAGGCCGGAGUCAGAAAGUACAUUCCAAACACCACUCAGCUGAAAGGGUAAGGGUAUGGUCCAUCCAGUAAAAAUGUCCUCCUGUAAGCAUUGAAACUGUUGUAAGCCCAUUGUGAUUCAGCUCUGCAGUAUGGUUUAAGUAGUUUAAGUGUUACCCUCCUUAGUCCAUAAUGAAUCAAGAAAGGGGUUGGUAGAUGGCAGGCACUUGAAAAGACCAUGUGAUUAUUGAAUGUCUUAAAGAAGCACAGAUUUAAAAAAAGAUCGACCAUAAAGCAACACCAUAAUUUUAGAAGCAAAUAACACACUACUUUGUUCUGUUGUGUGUUUAAACAGUUGAUAAAAUAAGUUAAAUUCCACCAUAUCAUGCACAAUGCACCUUUCUUCAGAUUUACACUGUCAUAUCAUGACACAUUAGAUAAAUAUAUGAUACCUAUGGAUAGGAUAAAGUGAAACUAAUAGAUGUACGGAACUUAGCUGUUAGAAUAACUAAUAGGCAAAAGUUUGACUCUUAAAAUAUGUAGCGGACCUUCACCAGGUAUCCUGGAUAUCCAUGUACUGAUAUUUAAUAUAUUCCUUAAUUUAUUUCUUAAUGCCUCAGAAUCCAUCCAAUUUCUGUUAGAAAGAGUGUGGGGUAGAUAUCAAUUGACAUUUUUAUAGGUGUCAGUCGCUCUGGGGAUAGUUCUGCUUCAAGCAAGUGUCUGUGCCUGAGGUAAAGUUAGUCAAUAAAGCAUUAUAAUAGUGUUAGAAUGGAGGAGCUAUAAUUCAAUGUGUCCAUCCAUCUUGGCACAGCCCCAACCCACUAUUAUGUCACUUUCACUUUACACCUAUCAUAACAUUUGCAUUAAUGGCUAGAGGAACCCUUUUCUCCUUUACGUUAGAGAAUGUCAGUGGCGGAACUAUAGCCGGUGCAGCCAGUGCGUUGCAUCUUGGCCUGCACACCAUGGGGCCCAUCGGGUGGCCAAUGAACUUGGGGACACCUGAUGGGCAUUGCUGAACAGAGGGCCAGUCGGGCCUUUAAAAAUGUGACAGGCUGGGACGAAGUGCGAGCUGGUCAUUCCUCCCAACUUCUUAUAGAGAGCGCUGGGUCGUCGGGAAGAGGAGGGAGGCUGCUGCACCUCAGGAAGCAUGUGUGUCCAUCCCGAUGAAAGUCUGUGAUACAGACUGAAACGUAAAUUUUUAUUUUGAGCUAAUAAAAGCUAAGUUUUAUUCAUUCAACUUGGAAGUCCCUGGAGUGCUAUCUUGUACUUUUGGCUGUAUCUGUGUGUCAGAGUGUGCAUCUGUGUGUCAGCGUGUCUAUCUGUGUGUCAGAGUGUGGAUCUGUGUGUCAGAGUUUGGAUCUGUGUGUCAGAGUGUGCAUUUGUGUGUCAGACUGUGUAUCUGUGUGUCAGAGUGUGCAUCUGUGUGUCAGAGUGUGCAUCCGUGUGUCAGUGUGUGUUUGUAUCUGUGUGUCAGGGUAUGUGUAUAUGUCAGUGUGUGUAUCUUAACGUUACUCAACAAAUAUGACAUAUGUUAAAAUGAUUGAUACGCUACGGUGCUUUAAUCUAUAAAAUUCUAUGAACCAUUUCCAAUAAUUCAGUCAGAUGAAAAUUAUUUUUUUAUUCAUAGAUAUUAAAUUUAAUGGACCAGCUAUUACUAUUUCUUCAUUGUUUGUUACAUGGUGUUAUAGUUAUUCGGCUUUGGUAUUUAACUUAAUAUUUUACUGAUCACCAACUUAGAAUAUGUCAAAUUAUGAUACUUUUUUUUAUCACCAGCAUAAUGCAGUAGCUAGUAAAUGUCCAUUGUCCUAAGUAAUCAUUAUUUCGCUCCCCCUUUUGUUGAUAAUUGGAGAAUUAAUGGGCCCUGAAAUAGAGACCAAUGUCAUGUAGCAGCUGCAAAAGCACACACAACAUCAUCAAUAAAAAGGAGCAGAUGUCAUGCUUUGAAGCCACAGGCUAAUGGGUAAUAUGAGGAAGUAGCAAUUCAUAGAAAGUAGAAGAACCUUUGGAAGAGGCUCCUGCCUAUACUAGUUAACCUUUUUUUAUAAUGUCAUUGUUUGUAGAUCAAUCGCCUAACACAAAUUGAACUUUAAAUGUAUAGAGCAUCAUGUACGGGUAAUGCACUUUGCAUCAUACAUUAGAAUGUGCUGUUAUACACGUGUACAUGCAAUAACCUCUUAAGGACUUUAAGGGGAAGGGAAACACAAUAUAUCUCAAAAUGUAUGUUACAAAUCGCAAAUAAGAAAGCACCCUCACCCCCACCCCUCUUACUUCUGUACCCCACCCCAAACCCAGGACGAAAGAAGAAUAAUAGAUGCCGACAAGAUUGUUGAAAAUAUUUACUUGCUAUGUACGUAUGUUGAAACUACAGACAAACAACUGAUAUAUGCAUUCGAAAAGUUAGACUACUAUGAAAAGCAGAUUAAUGUUAUGCAAACCUGUACCACAUACUCUAUUCUGUACCCCCACCCCAAAAACAAACAUCUUUCAAAAUAAAGAAUUUAAAAAAAAAUAAAAAAAAUUGUUAGAAAACUUUUAAAUUAUUUAUCAACAAAAAUUCCCGUAGACUUUAAUGGGGUCUUCUGUGCAUAAAUCAUUUGGAAAUUGAAUAUCACAGUUUUAUAUCAAGGCCUAUGUAAGAGAUUACAUGCACGCAUUAGCUUACAGACAGACAUAAUUGUAAGUAAAUAAUAAAUGCACUAACUUUGAUUGGUUGUGUUCAACAGAAAUCCCAGCGGUACAUAACGGUGCAGAAUAAAUCUAUCAGGUAUUACCAGAAAUGAUCAGACUUGACGGGAAAGCCCAUUAGCUUUGCAAGUUUCACAUGCUGUCCAUGUUAUGCUGGCCUCCACCUUGGCCAUGAUUUAUUCCUCUUGGAGCUCUGUAUUAAGACACUGCCCCCUCCCCCCCAAAAAAAAUAUACUAACCUAAUUAUGUUAAAAAAUAUGCACAUUUGUCUGUUGAGCCCAAGUUUGUAUAUAUACAUUUUGGUGAGAUAAUAUUGAGAUAAAUGAUACAUUCUAAACCAUAUUGUUAUUGUUAAUAAAGCUUGAGAUUUUUUAUAUGCACCUUCCCUUUAGCACCCGUGUAUCUACACAUUUAUAAAGGGAAAGAAUAUGUUUAAAUUAAUAUACUUAAACUUAGAAAGGAGAAAUCUUACCUCUUAGAAUUUGAAUGCCUCUAUAAACUAUAACGGGAGGACUUUCGGGUCUUUCAACACACUUAUAUUUAAUAAGGAGAGCAAUCAAUUUUUUUUCACAAUAAGAUAUUAGUAUCGUAGUAAUUGCCCAGUAAGUACACGUUGAACACUGAAUGAUAUAACAGAGAGUGGGGAUUCAAAAUUUUUUAACUUUCUUCCCUCCACUUACAUUAAUUAACCAAUGCUUUUAAUUGACAAAAUGAUGUAGUAUGCACUUAGCUAUUUUGUGAUAUUGAUAUCUAUAAAGCUUUAAUUUGGAAUAUAAAUCUACAAAUAUUUAUAUAAAGCGAGCAAAGUAGGAAGGGGGAUUGGAUGUACUUGUCCAUCUAGGGACAAAUGACUUGGCUUGCAAUAAGAUUUCAGAGUUAAAGGAAGUAUUUUUUUUGUUUUUGCCAAUGAUAUACGGCAGGUUGUUUCCACACUGUCAUUCUCUGAAGUUCUGCCUGUGCAUAACACUCAGCACAACAGGCGGGUGCGUAUUUGGGACUUUAACUUGUGACUUGGUGAAUGGUGUCAUUUGGCUUCAUUUAUCAUUGUAGCUCUGUUUUAAGUGGAAAUAAACUGUAUAAAAAAGAUGGUUUGCAUCUUUCUCAAAAGGGAACACAUGUUCUCAGUGAGCAGUUCAGAGGUUUUGCUAGGAUGUAUUGAAACUAGGAGGGAGGUGGGGGGCGAAAAAGGGUGAUAAAACAUCAAUCCAAUUGGCCCCCAAUACAAGGACAGAAGGUGACUGUAGCAAGUGUGUCAAAAAAUGAUAAACUUAGUCAUGUCUACAAAUGCUUGCAGUUUAGGGAAUAAGAUCCAUGAACUUGUGGCAACUGAUAAUGUAGAUUUAAUCACUGUUUCUGAGACAUGGUAUAAUGAGAAAAAUGACUGGGACAUAGCAAUACCAGGGUACUCUUUAUAUAGAAAAGACAGGGAAGGCAAGAAAGGGGAGGGGUGGCCCUGUAUGUGAAGGCUAGCAUAAAAUCAGGACCGGCGUGUCCAUAAGGCGGCACAGGUGGCCGCAAAAAUUCGAAUCCCUUGCCUCUGGCUGGGGACUCAGAUUUUUCAAUUCACUUUGCUCUCCCUGCAGCCAGCACACAGGAGCCUGGCAGUGAAGUCAGCCGGCCUCUUGUGAUGAUGCCCCUUUAUUUCCCUCUGCAGCCCAUGCCCCCCACAUACUGCCCCUGCCCCUGUGCUCCCUCUACAGCCCUUCUAUUUCUCUCUACAGCCCAUGGCCCCACCAUACUGCCCCUGCACCCACCAUAUGUAACGAGAAUAUACCCCAACACGCAGGAUUCAGCUAAACAAAAGACAACACAGAGGAGAGAUACGUCUACCGGACCUUAGAAUGGCCGGACUCGACGUAUUUGAGAGGAGACAGAGUCAGGAACAAUCCGAAAUCAAGGGCACAGAGAGACAGCGUAAACUAGGACAAGCCGGGGUCUGGUACACAGUAAACAACAAGCCGACAACCAGAACAGAUAAGGAUAAAGAGAAAACGUAGUCAGAAACAAAGCCAAGGUCAAUACGGAGAAACACAACUGAACACAACAAGCGCUAAAGGGAACUGAUACAGAAACCACGAUAGGGCAAGGAACAAAGGAAAGAAGGUGAGUAUAAAUACCUAAACAUCUAAUUUGAUUGGUCCCUGUCACAUCCACGCCCCCAAAAGGUAAGUGUAUGGGGAGUGUGGCAUGACAGGGACCAAUGGGAUGCCUUUUCCAAUUUAGGCACCCACUGUCCCUUUAAGAGCGCGCCCGAUACCCGCGGCGCGCUCUUAGAGUAGGUGGAACACGUGACCGCUACUAGUUACAGCGGUCGGCUGAGCCGCGCGCGGCUCGUGCAGCAGCAGGACCGCGCGCGGCUCGAACAGAGGACCCCGGCCGGCCCCUGGAAAGGGUAAGUACCGCUACAUUACCCCCCCCUGAGGACACGCCCUCCGGGCGGGGAGGGCCAGGCCUGGCAGGAAAACGAGAAUGGAAAGAGCGCACAAGACGAGGAGCGUGAACCGCAUCAGCGGAAAUCCAACUAUGUUCCUCAGGCCCAUAGCCCUUCCAAUGCACUAGGUACUGAAGUCGGCCCCUAAGGAAACGAGAGUCAAGAACUGCAGAAACUUCAAAUUCCUCAUGACCCUCCACAGAAACAGGAGGGGGAGGAGGUGCAUGUUGGGUGUAGCGGUUGCGUACGAAAGGCUUUAACAACGAGGUGUGAAAGACAUUAGGAAUACGCAGAUUCUUAGGGAGACCCAAGGCAUACGAAACAGGAUUAACCUUAUGCAGAAUACGAUAAGGACCAAUAAAGCGGGGAGCCAAUUUCAUAGAAGGCACCCGGAGGCGAAUGUUUCGCGUAGAAAGCAGAACCCUGUCCCCCACAACAUAAGAAGGAGCCGCCCUGCGAUGCUUGUCAGCCUGCACCUUCUGGCGAGCAGCGGAAUCCACCAAAGAACGCUGAACCUGCUCCCAAGUAUUACGCAAAUUAGCCAAAUGUUCAUCCAGAACUGGCAUGCCCUGUGAGGAGAAAGCAGCCGGAAGAACAACAGGAUGUUGGCCAUAUACAACGUAAAAAGGACUCUUGCCGGAAGAAUCAUGAGUAGCGUUAUUCCGAGCAAACUCAGCCCAAGGAAGAAGGUCAGACCAAUUGUUCUGAUGGUGGGAUACGAAACAACGAAGGUACUGCUCCAGAGAUUGAUUGGCACGUUCGGCAGCUCCAUUAGACUGGGGGUGGUAAGCGGAAGAAAAUGAGAGAGAAAUACCCAUUUCCGAACAAAAGGCCUUCCAGAACCUGGAAAUAAAUUGGCUACCCCUAUCAGACACAAUAGAUACGGGAAUGCCGUGUAAUCGAAACACCUCUCUGGCGAAAACAAGUGCUAGUUCCCUGGACGUGGGCAGCUUGUGAAGAGACACAAAGUGAGCCAUCUUGGAAAACCGAUCCACUAUCAUUAGGAUAACUGUGUUACCAUUCGAGGGAGGUAAUUCAACAAUAAAAUCCAUGGACAGGUUAGACCAAGGUCUCUCGGGAAUAGGUAACGGAUGCAACAGCCCACAAACAUCCACGAAUAGUUUAUCAGUAGGUCUCUCGCUAGGUGCCAUGUUUUGUUUCGCUUGUAUGACCUGCAAGAGGGACGAAGAAAUAGACAAAACAGUGGUAGCGAUUAUCCUUUCUGGGGGAAUCACAGGAGUAACAUCAAUCUCCUGUUUGUCAGCAGUUUCGAACUGUCUGGACAGAGCGUCUGCUUUAGUGUUGCGGUCACCUGGCCUAUAGGUGAUAAUGUAAUUGAAAUGGGACAAAAAUAGUGACCACCUAGCCUGCCGAGAAGACAGUCUUUUAGCCUCACUAAGGUAGGAUAGGUUCUUAUGAUCCGUAAAUAUGAGAAUAGGAUCUUUAGUUCCUUCUAACAAAUGUCUCCAUUCUUUCAGUGCUAAAAUAAUAGCAAGGAGUUCGCGAUUACCCACAUCAUAAUUCUUUUCUGCUUUGGACAUUUGUUUGGAGAAGAAGCCACAAGGAUGCAAUGGCUUUUCAGGCGACUCUCUUUGGGAUAAGACAGCACCUACCCCGAUAUCAGAAGCAUCAACUUCAAGAAUAUAGGGCAGUGUGGGGAUAGGGUGCUGUAAAAUAGGUGCAGAAGCGAAUGUGGUUUUAAGAAACUCAAAAGCCUGAAGUGCCUCGGGAGACCAGACACGAGUAUUGCCUCCCUUUCUUGUCAUACGGGUGAUAGGCGCUACAAUAGAGGAAAAACCUUUAAUAAAGCGUCUAUAAUAAUUAGAGAAACCAAGAAAACGCUGAAUGGCCUUCAAACCUUGUGGAAGAGGCCAUUCCAUGACAGCAGAAAGCUUCUGGGGGUCCAUACGAAAACCUUUAGCGGAAAUUAAAUACCCCAAAAACUGGACUUCGGAUUGGUCAAAUAGACAUUUUUCCAGUUUACAAUAAAGACCAUUAGCAAGAAGGGUCUUCAGAACUGUCGUAACAUGCCUGUGAUGAGUGUGUAAAUCUGUAGAGUAUAUUAAUAUGUCGUCUAAGUACACAAUUACAAAUGUGUGAAUAAAGUCUCUUAAAACGUCAUUGAUAAAUUCUUGAAAUACUGCUGGGGCAUUGCAUAGACCAAAUGGCAUAACCGUAUACUCGUAAUGGCCAGAUCUAGUGUUGAAUGCCGUUUUCCAUUCGUGGUCUUUCUUAAUAUGUAUUAAAUUGUAUGCACCUCUAAGAUCCAAUUUAGUGAAUACAGUAGCAUGUUUGAGUCUGUCAAAUAAUUCUGUGAUUAAAGGUAUAGGAUAUGCAUUUUUGAUGGUGAUUUUAUUUAGACCUCUAUAAUCGAUACACGGUCUUAAAUCACCUUCUUUCUUUGAUACAAAGAAGAACCCUGCUCCAGCCGGAGAAGAGGAUCUCCUAAUAAACCCCUUUUCUAAUGAUUCCUUAAUAUACUCCUCCAUGACACGGUUUUCUUGAACAGAUAAAGGGUACACCCUGCCCUUUGGAGGUAUUGUGCCAGGCAAUAAAUCGAUAGCACAAUCGUAGGGUCUGUGAGGUGGUAAUUUGUUAGCCUCCCUUUUAUCGAAGACAGUUUUGAGAAAUAAGUACUGAGAGGGUAUAACAGUGGACAAAGGAGGAGUUGUAGGGACAUUAAUAGAAUUCAAAGGGGUGACUUCAAUAGUACAGGACUCAUGGCAGGCAUCGCUCCAUGAUUUUAUUUGCCCUGACUCCCAAUCGAAAAUGGGAUUGUGAGUACGUAACCAUGGGUACCCUAACACAAUGUGAGAAGAGGGAGAUGUGAUAACCUGGAAUCGAAUGGUUUCAAAGUGUAAAACCCCUGUAUACAUGUGUAAUGGUACAGUUUCAUGAGUAACAAUUGGAGAACUUAAUGGUCUACCAUCUAUGGCCUCAAUGGCCAAGGGUAUCUCCCUUUCUCUGACGGGAAUGUUAUUUUUCGUAACAAACUCAGAGUCAAUAAAGUUCUCAGCAGCCCCAGAAUCAACCAAGGCUAAUAUGCAUUCUGCUAUACAACUCACCCCCAUAUGAAGGGAAACAGGGAGAAGCAAACGAUUAGGAGGCAAUUUAGGAGACUUAGAGAUCACACCCAAGGCCAGUCCCCUAUAAGGUCUUAGGUGCGAGAGUUUUCCGGACGCAAAGGACAUUCCCUUACCAUAUGGUCUCGCCUACCACAGUAUAGGCAGAGUCCAUUCCUUCUUCUAAGUAGUUUUUCAGUAUCCGAGAGUUUGGCAACCCCUAAUUGCAUGGGUUCCUCCUCGGGUACUUUAACACUCUCAGGUUUAUCAACUCUAGGGUUAAUAGAUGUGACCAGACGUCUAUUCUUGUUUUUGGUAUAGAGCCUGUCGCGAAUUCUAUUAUCUAUAUCAAUGAGGUAGUCAAUAAGAUCCUCUAAAUGAAUAGGAAGCUCCCUUGCCGCUACCUCAUCUAAUAUAGUGUCAGAUAAACCUUCCAUGAACGCAGUAGUUAACCCAUUAUUGGUCCAAUCUACCUGUGAAGCAAGGGUACGAAACUGAAUAGCAUAAUCCGCUACAGACCUAGACCCCUGUUUAAUCCUCAUUAAUGCUCUUGCGGCAUUCUUUGACCUCUUUGUUGUGUCAAAAGUUCUACGAAAAGCCGCAAGAAAACUAUUGAAAUCAUGAACCAUAGGUCCAUUGGCCUCCCAAAUAGGAUUUGCCCACUCUAGUGCUUUGUCAGUAAGUUGAUGCAUCAAAAACCCCACUUUAGACCUAUCAGUGGGAAAGGAAUGAGGAUACAUCUCAAGGUGGAAUUCUAUUUGAUUAAUAAAACCUCUGCAUGUCUUGGCUUCCCCUCCAUACCUAGGAGGAGGUGUUAAAUGGGGCGAAGCAUUGGUUGAAUUGGAUACUUCGGGAGGAUGAGGUGUAGGAGGGUUCGGUGCGGUUGCAGGAAUGGUUCUAGACAAGAGCGUCUGGAGAGCCUGUGCUAUCUGAUCCAUACGGUGAUCCUGCUCUACAAACCUUGCCUCGUGAGAAGCCAUUUGCUGAGCCAAAUCUGCGGGGUCCAUGGCCCUAUCGUAAUGUAACGAGAAUAUACCCCAACACGCAGGAUUCAGCUAAACAAAAGACAACACAGAGGAGAGAUACGUCUACCGGACCUUAGAAUGGCCGGACUCGACGUAUAUGAGAGGAGACAGAGUCAGGAACAAUCCGAAAUCAAGGGCACAGAGAGACAGCGUAAACUAGGACAAGCCGGGGUCUGGUACACAGUAAACAACAAGCCGACAACCAGAACAGAUAAGGAUAAAGAGAAAACGUAGUCAGAAACAAAGCCAAGGUCAAUACGGAGAAACACAACUGAACACAACAAGCGCUAAAGGGAACUGAUACAGAAACCACGAUAGGGCAAGGAACAAAGGAAAGAAGGUGAGUAUAAAUACCUAAACAUCUAAUUUGAUUGGUCCCUGUCACAUCCACGCCCCCAAAAGGUAAGUGUAUGGGGAGUGUGGCAUGACAGGGACCAAUGGGAUGCCUUUUCCAAUUUAGGCACCCACUGUCCCUUUAAGAGCGCGCCCGAUACCCGCGGCGCGCUCUUAGAGUAUGUGGAACACGUGACCGCUACUAGUUACAGCGGUCGGCUGAGCCGCGCGCGGCUCGUGCAGCAGCAGGACCGCUGCGCGGCUCGAACAGAGGACCCCGGCCGGCCCCUGGAAAGGGUAAGUACCGCUACACCAUACUGCCCUGGCUGUGUCCCCUCUACAGGCCCUCUAUUUCCCUCUACAGCCCCCACCACACUGUCCUUGCCCCCCUCUACUGCCCCUGUUCGCCCUAUACUGCCCCCUCUAAUGCCCCUGUUCCUCUCUCUAUAGCCCCUCUAUUUCCCUCUACAGCCCCUCCCCCCUCUACUACCCCGUGACCUACUCUUCAGCCCCUGCCCCUAUUGCUUUUGUCCCCCCUCUUCAGCCCCUUUACCCCUCUAUUUCCCUCUACAGCCCUUGCCCCCUCUACUACACCGUGACAUACUCUUCAGCCCCUAUCCCCCCUAUUGCUUUUGUCCCCCCCUCUUCAGCCCAUUUGCCCCCUCUAUUUCCCUCUACAGCCCCUGUCACCCCUCUACAGUGCCUGUCCACCCUCUACUACCCCUGUCCCUCCCUCUACUGCACAUGUCCCCCCUAUACUGCCACUGUCUUCCCCCUCUACUGUGCCCCCACCAUAUUGCCCCUUCCCCCUACAGCCAUUGUCCUCCUCUACUGCCUAUUUACCCCACCAUACUGUCCCUGUGUCACCCCUAUAUUGCCUCAGUGUCCUCCUCUACAGCCCCUGUGUCCCUCUCUACAGCCUGUUUCCCCCUCUACUGCUCCUGUGCCCCCACCAUAUUGCCCCAGUAACCCCCUCUACUGCCCCUGUGCCCCCUCUACUGCCCCUGUCUCCCCCUCUACUGCCCCUGUUUCCCCUCUACUGCCCCUACUUCGCACCAUACUGCCCCUGUGCCUCCACCACAGCCCCUAUAUCCCUGUUACAGCCCUUAAAACUCUUUUACACCCCAUAACUCCACUACAGCCCCUAUUUCUUUACUAGAGUCCUUACCCCCCACUACAGCCCCUCUCCCCAAUUGCUGCCCAUAUCCCCUACACUAUAGCCCCUGUUCCCACUUGCAGCCAUCAACCUACUUCAGUCCCUAUCCCCCGUACUAUAGCCCCUAUCCCUCACUAUAUUUCCUAAGCCCCCAAUUACAGCCCCUAACUCUCAACUACAGCCCCAUCCUCCUACUGCAGCCUCUAACUCCUCACUCACAGCCCCUAUCACCCCACUGAAAAUCACUACCAAUCCCCCUCCCAAGAUUAGGUUCUGGAUCUGCCCUUGCUCUGUAUACCUGUGUCUGUAUGUCUCUGUAUGACUAUAUGUCUGUGUAUGACUGUGUAUGUAUGCCUGUGUCUGUAUGUCCCUAUAUGACUGUGUCUGUAUGUUUCUGUAUGCCUUGUUCUGUAUGUCCCUGUAUACCUGUGUCUGUAUGUCUCUGUAUGACUAUAUGUCUGUGUAUGUAUGCCUGGGUCUGUAUGUCUCUGUAUGACCAUAUCCAUAUGUCUCUGUAUGCCUUGUUCUGUAUAUCUUUUUGUGACUGUGUAUAUAUGUCUCUGCAUGCCUGUAUGUAUCUGAAUGUCUUGUUAUGCAUGUCUCUGUAUGCCUGCGUCUUUAUGUCUCUGUUUGAUUGUAUGUCUGUGCUUGUAUAUCUCUGUAUGACUGUGUCUUUAUUUUUCUAUAUGACCGUGUCUGCAUGUCUCUGUGUGUGUCUGUAUGACUGUAUGUCUGUGUUUGUAUGACAGUGUAACUGUCAGGAUUACUAGUUGAUCCAGCAUGUAGAAUUGUGUCACACAGAUGACUAAUAGGUAACGUGUUACCGGGCCUUAGAAUGGCCGGACUUAACGUAUCAAAGAAAAGUCAGGAUACUUGCCGAAGUCAGGGGAUACAGAAAGAGACACAACGAUAAUAGAAAGCCAGAAUUCUGGGAUACAGAAUACAGGGAAGUCAAAAUCAAAGCCAAAGUCAAAAACUAGAAGAAACUUGAAUCAGGAGCGCGCUCUCGGACAACCACAAGGGAAACCACGACAGGGCACUGAGCAGGAUGAGAACUGGGCCUAAAUCUGAUGGCUGCCUUUGACCCCAAAGGCAGUUACCAGGUUCCUAUUUGCAUAAUUGUUGCUCAGCAUCAACCCUUCUGUGGAUUUGGUUGCUGCUCGGCACAACUUUGUGGACAGUAAAUGCCAUUAACCACAUUUUUAUAAGCGGAUGAAUACGUCACAGUAACUGUAUGUGUUGAAUAUAUGACUGUGUGCCAUAUUUCUGUGACUAUGUGCCUGUAUGUGUGUGGAAGUGGGAAGUUAUCAUCAUGGGUGACUUUAAUCUUCCUGAUGUGAACUGGAAAACCAAAAUAGCUGCUUGUGCCAGGAGCACACAUAUUCUAAACUCCCUAUUGGGAUUGUCUCUAAAACAAGUCGUUGAGGAGCCAACUCAUAAAGAGGCCAUGCUAGAUUUAGUGUUAACAAACAGAGAUUUGCUAUCAGAUAUUACUGUAGGUGAAUGUUUAGGAUCCAGUGAUCAUCAGUCAGUGUGGUUUAAUAUAUGAACAGUGACUGAGUCAGACCACACAAAAACAAAAGUUUUAGACUUUAGAAAAACAAACUUUAAAAAUUUUUUUGAAUAUGUGUAAAGGAGUGUAUAUGUGUAUCCUAGCUAUAACAUAAGGCUAUGGACUAAUGAAAGUAUUUAGAAAAUUGGGCAGACUAGAUGGGCCGAAUGAUCCUUAUCUGCCAUCACAUUCUAUGUUUCUAUAAAGGAUAAGAGUCUCUAACACUCAACAUCACAUGGAAUACUACUAAUUUGGAUAAAUCCAUGCUUCAGCUAUCUAGUAAGAGUAAUUCCCAAAGAUAAGAAUAGUGUCAGGUAACUAAAUCCUGCUGAAAUCUACCCUAAAUUUUAUUAAAAAAUUAUUAAGUUCAAAAAAUAAAACAAGGAAAAUUACUGACUAGUAGUGACUGUUACUGUAAAUGAGAAAGAGAAUUAUAUAAAAGAUCACUAAAGGUUAAAAUUUAGACUAAAAAAAAAAAAAAUAUUAAUCUGCGUAUUUCCCAGAUGAAUAAAAUAUACAAAUUGCUGAACAUGAAGUAUUUCUCAUCUGUCAAAUAUAGAUUUCACUUUUUUUUUAAUAAAGUUUAUUGUACUUAUUCAAGAAUGGAUUUAUUUUUAGACAACAGGUGUUUAACUAAUGAUGUAAAAAAAAAGUCUUAAAUACAGGCGUUUAUGUGGACGGAUCAUAACGUUAUAGUUUUGAAUAUAAAUUCUGGAAAGACAAAUGGAAGAACUUGCAGGUGAUUAAAUAAUAAAUUAAUAAGCAAUAUACAAGAUAUAAAUUACAUAAAAGAACUAACUAGAAUUUAUUUCCUGGACAAUAACAAUGGUAAGGUGUCAACUCCAACUGUCUGUUGUGCUUAUAAAUCUGUCCUUAGGGGGACACUUAAUAAGGAAAGGAUCUAUCAUUUUUUAAACCUGGCAAAUCUCUAAAUCUGGUGGAGAGUUAUUGAAGGAUCUUACUACUAAAUAUGGAUAUUAAAUUCCAUGCUACGGUUCUUGCCACUAGAUUACAGGAGAUUUUGCCAUAUUUAGUUCAUGUGGACCAAAUUGGUUUUAUUAAAGGCAGGUCAUCGCCUAACAGUGUUAGAAGAAUGAUUAAUAUACUUGAUGUGGUGCAUCACUCGCAAGUCAGUUGCAACUUUUAAGGAUGCACACUAAAAGCUUGUGGCAUCCGGGACUGGAUGUAUGAUGCCAUAAUGUUAUUAUACCCAUCUCAAAAAGCAAGAUCAAUAGAAUGGAGGAUCACUGCUGAUUGGUUCAAAGUCAAGAAUGGUACCAGGCAUGGCUGUCCCCUGUCUCCUCUCUUAUACUUUUUAUCAACUGAAUCGUUAGCAUGCAACAUUAGGAAUAAUUCAUCAAUAAAAGGAAUUAAAAUGUAUGAUAGCGGAUCUGAAAUUGUAAUUAAGUGUAUGAUGUGAUAAUGAAAAGGGAGCAGGCUUCCCCAAACUACGGCCCUCCAGAAGUUGCUGAACUGAAACUCCCAUGAUUCUCAGCCUAUCUAUUUCAUUCAUAGAAUCAUGGGAGUUGUAGUUCAGCAACAUCUGGAGGACUGGAGUUUGGGGAAGCCUGAAAUAGAGGAUCCACUAACAUCUUUACCCGAAUUAAUUAAAGUCAUAAAAAAAAAAUUAGUCUUUAUAUAAAUUAUAAAUUAAAUAUAGAGAAAACUAUAAAUAUGGCAAAAAAUAAGAAAACGGAAGAAUAGACAAGCUUAAAUGAGAAGUAUAGUUUUAUUUGGGCAACAAAAGAUCUUACAUAUUUAGGAAUAAAACUUACUAAAAUCUAAGGAGAAUAAGAAAGGCAAAUAUCUUACCUAUGUUGAAGCAGACCAACAAAAAACUAGUUGAAUUUAAAAAAUUCUGAAAUAUCAUGGUUAGGGAAGAUUAAUGUCCUAAAAUCACAUGUCUUACAUAAAUGGACUUACAUUUUUAGAUUGUUACCACUUACAUCCAAGUCCUUGGCUAAAAUGUUACAAACAAUAUUCAAUGGUAUUUCAUCAUUUGGAAGGAAAAGAAAAACACGAUUACAAUUAAAGGUAUUAAGCUCAAUGCUAAAAGAUAGAGGAUUAGGACUACUAAAUAUGAUAAAAAUUCACAAUGUGUAUAUAAUCAUGCACUAAUUUAGCAAUUUGAAAUGGAAUAUACAUAAAGAACCUUGAUAUGAAAUUGAAACAUCAAAUUAGGUGAUUAAAGAUUAUGAAAUCCUAUAGAAACUGGAUAAAAAAUAUAUAAAAGAAAAAGUUAUAAUUUUAAUUUAUCAAUAGCAGAGAAGAGGUCAAAGCAUUCCAAUAGCUCGAAAAAGACCCAAUCUUGGGUGAAAAUUUUGCAGUGUUCCUUAGGAUCAAAUAAACAAGCCUGAAGCUAUUGAAAUGCAUAGAACUCUUCUCUGCUGUUGAUAUUUAUUUAUGUUGGGCUUGUGCUGGCCCAUUGUCUAGUUUAGCACCUUUGGCUUAUGUGGAUUGAAUGUGGAUUAUAUAGCUUCUGCCCAAUUUGACCAGGAGCAGUGAGUCGGGGGCUAAAGACUGGAAGUUUUAUUUCCAUCUCUCUGGCCAAUCAUUGAGCGAUGGUCAGAGCUACCUGUUAGACUGAACAGAGGAACUUGAAGAUCCUCUGCCAUGAAUCUUCUGAACCACACUACAAUAUUAGUAGUUGGAGGUUACAGAGAUUUACAAGGUGUAAAGGGGGUUAGUAGGCAUACAAGAGUGUAAGGGGAAGUUAAUAGAUACACAACGUGGUAAAUGGUGUAAACAAACACACAAACGGUUAAAAUGGGUUAAGAGACAUAUGAAGGUAUGGGGGAAUUAAAAUAUACAAAAAAUGUAACGGGAGGUAAGAAGACAAUUAAGAGGAUGAACGGGUAUAAAUCAAGAAAUACACAGAAAUGUGUGAGUGGGGUGCAAGGCAGCAAAAAUAGAGUGUAACAACACAACUAUUUCACAAAUCGUAGGGCCAACACACAAUUCCACCCUAUGCAUGCAUUUGUUUCAGGCAAACUUGAAUUGUAGCAAUGCGGCUAAAGUGAUCUCAUUGAAAACUAUCCAUGGUGAAAUAAAAUAACUGAAAAUAGAAUAAUAUAUCCACUCUAAAAGUGUGUUCCUGUACAUUAGGAGAGAUUACCAACGAUUAAAUGGAAUCAUGCUGAUAAUUCACUCUCACCUACUGCUACCAUGAGAUUAAACUUACCAGUCAAGACUUUACAUGCAGACCUCUGGCUAUGUAAUUUGCUUUAAAUCAAAUUUGAACUCGAAAAACUUAAUGUGCUGUUCAUGUGGUCUUUUAAGUACCUGUACUUCUGUAUGUCAUUCACAGUCUCCGCUCCAUUACCUCCCCAUCCUCGCUUUCCAAUAUACGUCUACUCAUGAUUAGCCUAAAGCAGUAUAAAUUUCCUCUAAUUGCUACAUUGUUCAUCUUGCUUUGCUCAACCUACCUACCAUUAUCAUGUCUGUCCAGUGCAGUACGGUCAUUAAUCUUCUGAUCCUUCCUGUGACCUUAGACAGAUAAACUGAACAUUGCAAUCUUAAAAUUGUUUGAUAUGUUGCAGCAUUUAUUUAUUUAUUUUGUUGUUCCUGACGUUAGUGUGGUUUUUCUGAUGAUUGUAAUUUAUUUUCUAUUGUCCUGACUGGCUUACGAUAUAUUCUUUUUCAAAGGCAUUCUAAAGUCCAGUGCCUAUAUCGUACCUCCCAAGUGUCCCUUUUUAAAGGAGCACUUCACUGCCCAAAUGAGCAAAUAAAAAUGUGAAUCACUCUUUAGAAGACAUAUCCCAAAUGAAUACAGGUGAUAAAAAAGCCAACAGAUUUUAAUAAGUUGUGCUAAAACUUCUCCAAAAAUUCUCGGUGAAAGUGUGGACGACACUUUGAUAAAUAUCCCCCAUUUUUUCCAGGGUUAACACAGAGCUGUGCAAUUGUUCAUGGUUCUGCUGUAGUGCAAAUACUGCAGUGUUCUUCAUUAUGUCAUUUCUCAGCCAGUGACUGACUGAGGACAGUAGGAGUUAUCAUUUUGGACAGCACUCGCUUAACCUCUGCCUACUCUAUUAGUUUCACUGCUCAGCUCUAGCUAACUGGUCAUUCGAUAGCAAAGAAGUCAAAUACUACUAUUUGUAGUUCAUUAAUUGCUUUGAUUUAUCUGGCUAGAUUCCAUAUUUCUCCAAUUUGAUGAGAUGCCAGUAAUGAUUUAUAGUUCUCUUCCCCAUAGAAUGUGAAUUAUUUUCACUUUCUCUUAUUUUUUAGUGUGAAAAAAGCACAGUUUGCGGGAUCACAACCUGAGACUUAAUGCGUCAGUCAUCUUCAAACAUUUCUCAAAACUUUUCUAUUGUCCUACAUAAAGAUGUUAUAUGCCGAUUGAAAAAGCCCAUUAAGUGGCGAAACGCGUCUUGGAUUUGGAGGACUUUUACAAUAGACCUUUAUAUUUUCCUUUUAAUUCUAUUUUAACAGUUUUUGUUUUAUAUGUUGAAAUUAAAAUCUAGUCUUUGAAAUAAGUUCCUCAUUUUCUGCAGCAUCCUUUCCAGUUCUCGAAGGGUAGUGUCACCCCUAAAACUGACACAAAGUGGAUUUUUUGAGCCAGUUAACAAACAGGCUCCAAUUAAGGUGAGCAGUACAUUGAUAUAUUGUAUUUGAUAAUUUUACAUAUCAGUGUCACCUAGAUUGUCUGUUCUAUCUGUUUCAUCUCCAUUUCUACCAACGGGGGAGUGAAUACACUAAGGAAGGUUUUCUGGUAUACCUGAAAAUCCAGAUCUGACUGUUGUUCUGACCCGAUAUCGAAAAAGGCUCAGAAAAAUGUGAGUUUAUGGACAUAUUUACUCCAAUUUAUAAGUUUGUCAUUAAUAAUACAGUAUCACACUAUUAUAUUCUCUCUCUAUAUGUAUAUGAGAAACACCCCCUAUAUUUCAACUAAAGGGUAAGUGUAACAAAUUAAGCGCUGCACCUUGGGUCUCUGAGUGUUAAGUGGUGGGAUUAUCACCUAAACUUGGGAGUUCAUUCUUUUGUUCACAUUCUGUAUUUAAGUGGAUUGUUGGAAAUCCACUAACGGUGUUAUAGGUGCUGAUAUUAGAUCUGACUUUUUGCCAUAUAUUGUGAAGUGCCUUACAUACACUGUUAUAAGGAUUAUAAAGAUGUUCUCCCUUAAUCCCAUUGUGACAUUGCAAUACAAACUAUAAAAUCAUGUCUAAGGGAAAAAAUAGUCAAAAACCUGCCAAUGAUUUAUGGGAGAUUUAGUUAACUCAUAGAUGGAGAUCUUGUAUUUAAAUAUGCAUGUAGAAACAGAUUUGCUCAUUUUUAUUCACAACAAUAUAACAGACUAGCAGGGAAAACAUCACUUCUAGAAGUUUGAAAAGAUAAAAUUUUUGUGAUGUCCUAAAUAGAACUGAAUAUAACUUUCAAAAUGUGUUUUGAUGUGAGCUCACCACAUAUGUGGGGUCUUUGGAAUCUGGUGUGAUAAUAUAUAGUAUGCAUAGGUAAGAGCAGCUAGCUGCCCCCAAGUGUGCUUUGUCUGCUAAAUAAUAGAAAUGCAGUUCCCCGGGUGGGCCUUAUAUCAAAAUCUGAAGCAAAUUGUACAGUUAGCGUGUUAGUUUCUCCUUAAAAUAUUCCAAGUUGUUUUACAUCCAGAAUAGUCAAAAAUAAAGCUGUUCAGUUCUUGUAUACCCAGUUAAAUAACAAUGUUGGCAUUUAUACCAAUUCAAUUUCUAAGCAUUUAUGCUUCAGUCGCCCAGUUGUAGAAGUUGUCUUUUCCUAUUGUGUGUAAUGCUGUUUAAAGCUGCAAAACCGUCACAUUGCUCAAUUAAAUUUUAGUUUAAGCUGCACAGUUUGGCAUUUAUAGGAUGCAGUCCACGUGGCGUCUCUCAUCAUUUGAGGGCCUCAAUACAUUAAGCAAUAUUUACUAACAUUCCACGACACGAUCCCAAGUCAGAAACAAAACCUCGCCGAGUUUGCCCUUUACCUAUACAUGCUGGGUGACAAUGUUGGAAGUUUAAGAACUAAAAAAAAAAAGAUCACAGUAAUACUGGGAGAUUUAAUAAUCACACUGACAUUUCGUUUGAGUGCUGUAAUUAUUUUUAAUGUCAAAAUGGCACUAUGGUGACAUACAAAUGUGGCCUCGGCAUGUAUCAAGGUAAUUUUGUAACAGAAAUAGGACGCCCUUGUCAUUCUGCUUAAUUUGUCAAAUGAUGAUUGCCAGCAGUCUGAUGAGAAGACACAGAUGAAAUAAUUGUGCCCACCCCUCUUUUCAAAAAUAAAUGAUAAAGCUACAUUUUGUUGCACAGGAGGCCAUUUUCUGUUGGUCUCAUCGUAAAUGCAAGUUCCUGUGAUGCCACGAUCAUUCAGUUCCAGACCAUUUGAGAGAAAGUAGAGCAGCCCUAGGACAUUCUGUUUACAAAGGAUAGUUCACAUUCUGAAAAAAGUGCUUUUCUUUUGUGUGACAGCCAUAUUUAUAUAAAUAUUAUCUGUGUAAAUCUGUUAUAUUGCUAAUUGUUCGCUCUAGUAACAGAAGAGCUGAUACAAAUUCAUAUGCUACUUUAUGUGUGAAGAGUGUGUUCUCUUAUUUCAUUUUAUAAAAUGUGCAGAUUUCAAUAUAAUUUGACACUUUUAUAAAUUAACAUUUUACCCCUCAGCUUUUAAUCAAACAACCAGUUAUGUUACUUCCUGGUUUGGUUAGCUCAAUUGAGAUUAACUCAAUAGAUAGGCUAUUGCUCAGAGUACCUGCCUUGCAAAAUGUCUCAUUGAGAUGAAAUUGGAAAACUGAUUGGACAGACACAGAAAGUCUGGGCUAGAGAAAAAAGGAGGGCUUGCAAAGACUGCAGACAAGAAAUCUGCAGCUAUUGAAAACCGUUUUUAAAAAUAAUCCCAAUGAAAACAAUAUGCAAUAACUGCAUGCAUGUUUUGGUUUGGGGGCAUUUCUACUAACCUGUUAUCAAAAAAUAAAAUAUAUAUAUAUUUGUGUAGAAAAAAUAGUUAAGAAAGGCUUGCACUCACGGUCUUUUUCUUUUAUAAAAUUUUUCUUUCUUUAUUCCAUUUCUUGUUAAAGCAUAAUCAUAGUCAUAGUCAACGUUUCAGCCAUCAUCCGUGGCUUUCAUCAGGAUCAGUUCAGCCAGUGUGUAUAUAUUUGCUUUGAUGAUCUUCUAUCCCUGCAUGCUUAAAUAUAUAAUAGCUACCUACAGCUUUAUUACUACUGCAAACAUUUUAGCUAAUUCUUCCUUCAAUAUAGAAAUUGAGCUCAAAGGCAGUUUAUUAGAGACUUAACCAUCUAUAUGUAAAUAAAGAAAAAUGUAAGUACGAUUACUGAAAGAGAGGAAAAAUGACACUAUCUCACAUCAGUAUGUAAGGCACUUUUACUGCCCAUGUUUGUAAAAUAAAACUACUAAAUACAGUGAGGGUUCCAUAAGCAAUUGAAGUGUAGCAUAGUUUGUUUGGGCUCUUAGUGUUUGACUGUUAUGAGUUUGGGCACUAAAAAUAUUGUCCUUCUAUUUAUAAACAAUGGCAGUGAAAACUACUGCAAAGUCAUGUAUAGUACAGAUAUUUUGUGUAACUGUAAGUACUGUUCAUUGGUAUAAAAAAAAAAAAAAUAUGGGGGGGAGGGGGGCGGGGCCUGACCACCAUGCUGGAAGGCUGCACAUGGAAUGAGCUCCUGGAAAAUCCAUGUAUUUCUGACAUUUACUGCAGCCAUAAGCCUGAUUACACUCACCCAACAAGUGCAGUGGAAGCGCAGCACACAGCAUAGCUGAAAUCUGCAGCAUUUUAAUUGACAGACAAGCAGUUUAAGCCCGAAAAGUCUUUGCGGCCUACCUGAGAGUACAGGCGCAGGAGACGCGGCAGAUCUCCCCGCUGGUAUUUCGACACGCAUUGCAGAUGACGGAAGGACUCCUGUCCCACCUCCCCUCCUCCCCCGCCGGGGAUAUCCCGGGACCAGCUAAUCGACUCUAACUACCUGCUACUGGAGGGACUGUGGAACUGCUAACACCUCGGCUGUACAAAACCUGUGACACCGAUCAAGUUAAAAUGGCAGACGCCCCAACAGCUUCUACUACACUUGACCCGCUGGAGACAAGCUUGGCCCGGCUUGACAAAAUAUUCACUGACUUUUGCCUGAAAUUAGAACGCAAGCAAAGUCAAGCCAGGGAGCUCAGUAGGAACUGCAGCUCAUCACAAGAUUCACGUGCGGUUGCACAGCGCAAUAUAUCUGCUGCCAUCAGGCGGACCACUCUCACCCUCAUCCACACAAAAAGCAUGAGACGACAUUACGCCUUUCACCUAUGGUGAAGGAAGGGAGACACAGGGGCGAGAAGAUGAGAGGGUACAACAAGGGCAAUACCUACGCUGUCCGUCCACCCAGACUAUGGGCCAAAACCACACCAGCGGAGGCCUGAGGGCCGAAAUAGGCUCCAAACCAUCAAGGACUUCCAUUGCCCCUCACAUGGGAUGGACUUGACCUUGCAAAGCAACAGAGUCAGAAGCUAUGGGGAAGGUGGCCCUGAAGCAGGUUGCGGAGGAGAGGAAGACAACUACUUGGCAUACCUAUGCAGAUACUCUCAGCAGACACUACCUGCCUACUACAAAUGUACCGGACUCUGGAAUAGGCUGACACUUCAAAUGUGAAACUGGGAGGCCUGGGACUUUCUCGAGAGCUCCAUGAUGCAGUGUUGAUGGCUGCAUGAUCAGCAGUGUUCUUUUAUGUUAAUUUUAGUUCUAUUUGCCUCAGUUUCUGUCCUUUUCACACACUUUUCACACCAGCGUAUCCCCCUCCAGUCGGGCAUUAUUAUCAUAUUUCACCUUCCAUAUUCCUAGUAGGUCCCCCAUAUUUGCCCAGUCUAUUAUUCAACAUUGCGGAGCAUACUCUCUCUAAUAACAUGUUUAAUAUACCAACCAUGAAUCUCUAGGCUGGUGUAUAUUCUAUAUCUGAGUAUUAGCUAUGCAUUUUCCACAUGGACAUGUUUACCUAGCUUGUAAUCCUUUGUUCUAUACAAAAAUGUGCUCAUAACCCAUUGCCAUGUAUGUAUAAACCUCUGUUGGCUACUACCGUGCUUGCAUAUGCUAUUGUGGCAUUGUCAGCCCUAUUGUUAACUUUGCACAACGAAAAAUAAAAUAUAAAAAAACAAACAAAAAAACCCCACAUAUGGACAUUAUUUUUACAAAAAAGUCACUUUUUUUUUUUUUAGGAACUCUUCAAAAAAUGUUUAGUCUCGUUACUAAUGUCUAUAAUUCGGAUUUGGCAAUAUUAUUGCAUAGUAAUCCAUAGUGUAACUCAUUCUGUGUGUAAGUAUUCCCGCUUGCAUGCUAAUAGUUCCAAUCAUGCGAUAAGGAAUACUAUAUAUUACUUUAAAAUUUAAAACUUUUAUCACUAGUUCUAUCCCAUUCGAACUCUAAAAACUUCUCUCAAAGAUAAGCAAAUCAAUGAAAAAAAAAUCUUAUUUUUUAGGCAUGUGUGAACAGCCAUCUAUACACAAACGUGCUAGCUAUGCAUCCCAUGUUCCAAAUAAUUGUUUUGCUAAGGAUUUUGAAACUAAAAAACAAUGAUUAAUAUGUAUUUGUCAAAUACAUAUAUUUUUUUUGUUGCUGGCUCAUUGUUAUUUUAAGUCAAGUUUAGUUUUUUUUCUCAUUGUGAAUUAUUUUGAGUUACUUGGCAAUGCACAUAGUAUGCUGUAAUAAUUAGUCGCCAAGUUCAUUUAAGUUGCAUUAAUACACAAGUAUUUCAAAUGAUGUCAUGCUUUUCCUCGUCCAAUACUCCUGGGUCUCUGGGAUCAAACAAAUGAUAUUGUCUCACUUCCAUUUCACAUGUUAGUUCUUCUGCCUUUUUAAUAUGGACCUUAGACACAGAUCAUAGUUAGUCACUAAAGUAACUAUUGUCAUGAAUUUGUGAGGAAUUCCUGAGGAAUUCUUUUUGAGCCUUGACAUAAGACUAGCUAAAUCAUCCAGCAAUAGCCCAGUAAAAAUAGACAUGUAAAGGAUCUACCCGAUGGCCUCCUCCUAUGCAGUUGUAUGUUAAUAGCAAAUGGGUGGUCAUGGCAUGGUGCCAAAUUUGGGUGCUUUGAUUAGUCAUCCAAGGGGUCUGUUGCUGUAAUGUAUCAUGAAAGAGCCUGCAUGAUCGUUUGAGCAGGGUCCUCAUCAUCCUAAUCAUAGGCGUGCGCAUGGGGUGUGCCGGGUGUGCCUAGGCACACCCUAAUCCCUGCGGCACGCACUAUGUGCCUCCCUCCGUAGGCAGGUGAGGGAGAUCAAAGAUCUCCCUCACCAACCCACAGGCAGUGAGGGAGGCAGCAGAGGACCCGGGGAGCUCUUGCCAGCAGCUCCGCCGGGUUCCUCUCGCGCGUUCGGAGCGUUGCCGCGGUUACCGCGGCAACGCUCAGAUCUCGCGAGAGUGAACUCUAGCCCCACUGGACCACCAGGGAAGGGAGGAGCACGGUCCCCCCUCCCUACAUAAGGUAAGAAGGGAGGGGGGAUAUUAAUUAAACGGCCCCCACACCCCCACACAUUACACACAAACAUACAACACACACACAUACAUCACCCUUACACACACAGCACACACACACACUAACAGCACCCUCACACUAACAACACCCUUACACACACAGCACCCUCACACAUACAUACACACACUAACAGCACCCUUACACACACAGCACCCUUACACAUACACACACUAACAGCACUCCUACACACACAGCAUCCUUACACAUACACACACUAACAACACCCUUACACACACACACACUAACAGCACCCUCACACUAACAACACCCUUACACACACAGCACCCUCACACAGCAUACACUAACAGCACCCUUACACAUACACACUAACAGCACCUCACACACACACACACAGCACACAUUAACAGCACCCUUACACACACAGCACCCUUACACAUACACACACUAACAGCACCCUUACACAUACACACACUAACAGCACCCUUGCACACACUAACAGCACCUUUACACACACAGCACCCUCACACACACACUAACAGCUCCCUUACACAUACACACACAGCACACACUAACAGCACUCUUACACACAGCGCCUUCACACACAGCACCUACACACACACACAGCACCUACACACAGCACCCUCACACACACAGCAGUUCCUGUAAUUGUAUCACUUAUUGUUAAAUUUUCACCUUCAUAAUACUGUCAAUGGCUGCGGAAUAAGUUGGCACUAUUUUAAAUGCCAAUAAUAAUAACAACAAUGAUUAAUCCAGUAAUUAAGUCAUUAAAUGUGUAGUAUAUUGGAUAUAAUAUUGGAUAUAACAUUGGGCAAGAUUUCAUAAUUUUGGAUAAACUUUUUUUUAAUGUUAAAAUAUAUUUAAAUUUUUUUUAUAGUUUAUGCAAAAACAUUUAAUCAUUUGAAAAGCUUAUGGAGAAAUAUUAAAUUGAGGCGACCAUUGGAGUUCUCAUGGAUGUGAAUUAAAAUUUCAUAUUUUUUUGUGUUAAGCAAGUGGUCUGACCACUAUUGCGCAACUAACUUUACAUCUAGGCAAUGCGUGAGAGUAGUCCCAUAUCAGAUGACAUGCUAAGGGGCAGGCAAUCUAGGUAUUAUGGAAUAAAAAAGUAAGUCUUAUCCCUCUAGAAAAGUAACAGGGCUGUCCAAAUGUUUUAUAGAGUUUUGUGCACAGAUAUAUUAGUUCAUAUAUUUGUCAGCUAAGUAAAUCUGUUUGGUUGAUUUGUUUUUUUUUUGUUUUAUGAUUUAUUUUGACUUCAUUUUAAAUUUGUUAAAGCAUGUGCUUUGUGUAAUUGUAUUGAAUAAUUGUGUUAUAAUGAAGCUUGUUUCUUAAUUGUGCAAUACUUCUCCACAUUAUGUAUCCGUAUACGUUACUGUAUGCGGAGAGUGGAGACAACACCUGGAUUGUUAAUUAUAUGCCAUAUUGGUGGGUAUCGUCAUCAUUGAGUUUGUAGCUAUUGAGACAACUAGAAGGAAUUAAGUUAAAAGAAUGCAGUGUGUGCGUAUAAUGAAUGCAGUGUGUGUUUGUAUGAAUGCAGUGUGUAUAUACUGAAUGCAGUGUGUGUGUAUAUAAUGCAGUGUGUAUAUAAGUGUUUGUGUGAAUGCAGUGUGUGUGUAUAUAAUGCAGUGUGUGUGUGUGAAUGCAGUGUGUGUAUAUAAUGCACUGUGUGUUUGUGUGAAUGCAGUGUGUGUGUGUGUGAAUGCAGUGUGGGUAUAUAAUGCAGUGUGUGUUUGUGUGAAUGCAGACUGUGUGUAUAUAAUGCAGUGUGUUUGUGUGAAUGCAGUGUGUGUGUGUGUUUGUGUAGAGUGUGUAAACGGUGAGGGGAGGGCAUUUUUAUUUUUUAUUUUUUUAUUUUAAUAUUAUUAUUAUUAUUUUAUUUUAAUAUUAUUAUUAUUUUAAUAUUAUUAUUAUAUUUUAAUAUUUGUAUUAUUUUUUAUUUAAUUGUUUUUUGUCACACACCUCAAACUGGAACACAAAUUAUCAUACCCCAUGGCCUGCUCUGUUCCUGUAACUUAUCUGCUGAGUGCUGGUGGAGAGUUAUAAAAAAUAGCCCUCCUACCCCUACCUCACAAAAUUAUAAGGUAUCCCAUUCACUAUAUGGCCAAACAAAAAUGAUGUCCAAAUUCCUAUUCCUUGUGCUCUUGCAAAUGAUGUGGAGUCUAACCCUGGUCCCCCAGCUAAUUCUAGUCCUAAUCUCCCCACUAAAAAAGGCCUCUCUUUUGUGCACUGCAAGCCUGGUGUUCCCAUUACAAACCAAAAAUCAUUGUGCUCUCAGAAUCAUGGUUAACGUCUAAAUUACCAGACACCGCCAUUGCAAUACAGGAUUAUUCAUGUUUUAGAAAUGACAGAGCAAAGAGAGGAGGAGGCAUUGUUAUUUAUGUUGACAAUUCCAUAUAGUUUACCCCUUUACAAAACCUUAGUCCUCCUGCCACCUUUGAUUUCCUUUCUGGUACAAUUAAAAUCCCGUGCAGUAAAUCAAUCAUUGUUGCAGGAAUCUACCGCCCACCUAGCUCCACUGUGCAUUCCCUUUCUGACAUCUCCUUAGUGAAACCAUAGCUCAAAACCCAAAAAAGUGAACUGUUGGACUUUGGAGAUUUUAAUAUUGAUUGGCUGAAUCCUAAAAAUAAUAGUUCUUGCACGCUGGUUAAGACUUUGCAACUGAUGCAAUUAAUCUCCUCCCCAACUCGCAUAAACAUUAAAAGCCAUAACCAUACCCUGCUAGAUUGUAUUCUCUACACUUCUCCUGAUAGAAUCCAGGAGGUUGGUGUUCUCCCAAACACGUUCAGUGAUCACUGUUUAGUGUACUGCGUGUGCAAAAUAAAGGCUAUUAAAUCCUCUCCCAAGGUUAAAAUAACUAGGUCCUUCAAAAAAUGUAAUCUUCAAUCCUUUCUAAAUGACAUCAAGAACCUCCCAUGGCACAGAUUAAACAUUAUCCCAGAUCUAGACUGUGCUGUUGAAUUCUUUUAGUCUGAACUUGGAAUUUGCAUGCCCCGCUGCAUAAGGUGAGGGUAAAAGGAGCACAUAUGAACUGGAUCACAGCUGACCUCAUCCAAAUGUACAGUUUCAGGAUUCUUUGUGGUCAAAGUUUAAGCCUACUGGCUCUAUGAAUGAUCACUAUGCAUAUAGACAAUGGCAAAAUAUAUGCACAAAACAGACAAAAUUGGCCAAGGUCCAAUAUUUCUAUGAAAAUCGGAACAAUAACAUCUCAAACCCUAGAAACUUCUGGAAAGUCAUAAAUAAACUACAAACUCCCCCAAUCCACUCCCAACCCUCCACUGUCAAAGUGGAUAACCAAACCCUGCAACUUCCCUUAGAUGUAGCAAAUGCCUUUAACAAUUAUUUUGUCGGAUGCUCUACUGCCCCGAUUGCCAAGCUAAUAAAUGACACGCAUCCUGAAACUACAAAUGUGGAUCAGGUCCCACUAAAUUUGCAAAGGCCCAAUAUAGACAAGUUCAUUUUUAGAGCAGGGGGGAAGAGUCAGCGCUAGAUAACAGACUAAAGGGCAGCAACCCAAAAAAGGAAAUCCCUCAAGACCCUUAAAAACAAAAUAGAAAAAUGGUAAAUAAAAGUCACAUAAAAAGUCUCUCUACAUACCAGGAUGGAGGGAAAGUUGGCAAUCCUCAGGAGUUGAUCCAUCCAGAUGGUUUAAAAUAUCGGUAUAUGUGGAGAGAAAGGGAAACGACAAAAUAGCCGAUGGUGUAAUAUCGUCAGAAUCCAGUAGAAAAUUAUUAAAAUUAAGCUAAUACACUCACAUUUAGCAGAGCUCUAGCCAGCUCUGGGGUAAAGGGCGUGUAGUGGUAUGAUCCCCGCUAACGGAUAUAGUGGAGAGGUACGUCCGUCAAUCCAGUCUGAUUUAGGAUUAGUCGUCAUAACCUGUAAACAAUCACCAGGACAGAACGGUGCAGAAAAAGCAACUGCUGUGCCACGGCGGGCUGCAUGGGGGGGAACAACCCAAACCUGAGCUUUGGGAUUCCAACGGCCGCCACUGCCAAAACAACAAUAACAACAGCAGCUCCGCCGACCGCGCUCCACUUCCGGGAUUCCGUGUUACCGCCACGCCCCCCUUUUGUAUUUUUCUAAAUUCAUUUUUAGACCUGUACCUGUUAGUGUCAUUAAAAAACAUCAUAAUAAUCUAAAAAUGAAAAACCAGUCCGAAACUGAUCAAAUCCAAGCAAUGCUAUUGAAGCUCAGUGCGCCGGCAAUUGCUAAACCCGUCGCAACUGUAAUUAACGAAUCAUUGGUGUCUGGAUACAUACCCAAACUUUGGAAGGCUGCGAGAGUAGUGCCUAUCCAUAAAAGUGGUGACACUACUUUGGUUUCUAACUAUCGCCCAAUAUCAUUGCUCCCGGUAUUGUCAAAAAUCUUAGAAAAAUGUGUCCAUACGCAACUAUGUGAGUACUACCAACAAUUAAACUAUGUGACUCCUGAUCAAUCAGGCUUUCGCCAGACUCACUCCACUACAACUGCCCUCUUAAAAGUUUGCAAUGACAUCCAAACUGGCAUGGAACAAGGAGACCUAACUGGAGCUAUUUUACUUGAUUUUCCAAAGGCCUUUGACACAGUAGACCACGACAUUCUACUGCACAAACUCAAAAACUCAGGUAUUGGUGAUCGUUCGCUAACCUGGUUUCGAUCGUAUGUAUCGGAUCGCUCGCAAUAUGUGUCCAUUUCUGACAGCGACUCCCUCCCUCUCCCAGUCACGUGUGGUGCUCCCCAAGGUUCCAUUCUCGGUCCCCUACUAUUUACAUUAUUUAUAAAUGAUCUGCCUAAUGUCUGCAAAUCCUCAAAUGUACACAUGUACGCAGAUGACACAGUAAUCUAUGCGAUUACUGUGCUCCAAGACCAGUUUACAGAGGUAGAAAAGUGGAUCGCAAAAACCAAACUCUUCCUGAACACUGACAAAACUGUCACAAUGAUCUUUGGAACAGUACCUAAAUUACACAGUUCCCACCUAUCAAUCAAAACAAAUUCAAAUGGCACACUGACCGCAGUCCACUCUUUCAAAUACUUGGGUAUGAUGUUAGACUCCAAUCUAUCUUUUGGCCUGCACAUAGAAAAGCUUGCAAACUUUAUCCAAAACUAGGUGCCCUGUUCAGAAACAAAUCCUGCCUAAGCCCUACAGUAAAGGAAAAGUUUGUACAGCAAAUGCUGAUGCCAAUCAUUAAUUAUGGGGAUGUAGUAUAUGCAUCUGCAUCGCAAUCCCACAUUAAUAAACUCAACACAUUGUAUAACUCGUUCUGCCGAUUUGUGCUACAAUGUAAUUACAGGACUCACCAUUGUGACAUGCUAAAAUAACUAAACUGGCUGUCGGUGGAAUCCAGACGCACCCUUCAUCUUUCCAGCCUUGUGUUUUAGAGGUUUUUUGGGAAACUCUCACCCUACCUGAACAAAAUGCUUUCCACAGCUGUUCCCACUUCCUAUAACCUCCGAUCCAGUACCAACACUUAGUCUACCUCAAUACAAAAAGAAAGCAGCCUGAUCCUCCUUCUCCUACAGAGCACCGCAAUUGUGGAACGACCUCCCGCACAAUUUAAAAUCUUCCCUAAGCCUAAAGUCCUUUAAGAGAUCCCUCUUUACAUACCUCAAAACAAAAUGCACCUGUCAUGGUUGAUUAUAUAGUUCCUGCCUGUUCUAUGUUAAAUUUUGUAUUUAUUGUGUAUUAAUAUUGUUUUUGUAUUUUAUUGUACCCUAAUGUAACAAUGCAAUGCUUUGUUGACCCAGGACAUACUUGAAAACGAGAGAAAUCUCAAUGUAUCUUUCCUGGUAAAAUAUUUUAUAAAUAAAUAAAUAAAGUGAGGUCUCACCAGUGUUCUGUACAAUGGCAUGAGCACUUCCCCUUUUCUACUGCUAAUACCUCUCCCUAUACAAGCAUUCUGCUAGCAUUUCCUGCUGCUCUAUUACAUUGUCUGCCUACCCUUAAGUCAUCUGAAAUAAUCACCCCUAAAUCCCAUUCCUCAGAUGAUGUUAGUAGGGUAUCAAAUAUUCUAUACUCUGCUCCUGGGUUUUUACGUCCCAAGAUGCAUUAUCUUGCGCUUCAGUGAUUUGAAGUGGUCAUGGUGGUAGGAGUAUGUAUGUGCAGUAUUUUAGUUCGAAACACCGCACACACCUUGUUGGCAACAGAGAUGAUAAUUUUCUUUAUAAGAAGGCAACGAUUGGGCCUUGCGUGGCUGCCCUGACAUCACAAAGAAGUAUGAUAAGCCACGCCAGGAGCUUUGCUUGGAGCUGGACUCCAGAUGACUAAAAACCCAUUUUAUAACAAAAAAGUUCGGGGGUAUUGUUAUAGCAAAUAAAUAUAAAAUCUGAGGUGCUUUCCCUUUAAGAAAGAUCCUCAAGGCAUCCGAAGGUGGGGGCGCCGAGAGGAGCCCUGUUACAGCAGAGCCAGGUCAUGUCAGUGAAUGUCUGUCUGUGUGUGUGUGUCAGUGAGUGAGUGAGUGUAUGUAUGUCAGUGAGUGUCUGUGUGUGUGUGUGUGCGUGUCUGUCUGUCAGUGAGUGAGUGUAUGUAUGUUAGUGAGUGUCUCUGUGUGUGUGUUUGUCAGUGAGUGAGUAUAUGUCGGUCAAGUGAGUGUGUGUGUGUGUGUGUCAGUGUGUGAGUGUAUGUCUGUCAGUGAGUGUCUGUGUGUGUCUGUCAGUGAUUGUAUGUCUGUCAGUGAGUGUCUGAGUGUGUGAGCUUGUGUGUAUGUCUGUCAGUGAGUGAGUGUAUGUCUGCCAGUGAGUUACUGUGUGUGUGUGUCAGUGAGUGAGUGUGUGUGUCUCUGAGUGUGUGUCUGUCAGUGAGUGUGUGUGUCUGCCAGUGUGUGUCUGUCAGUGAGUAAGUGACAUGAGGGGGCGGAAAAAUUUAUCUUUGCCUAGGGCGGCAGAAAUCCUUGCACCAUCCCUGCCCCUAUAUAUAGAGUAUUACACUAUUGGAGGAUAUAUGUACUUUAUACCAUAGAUACCAACUGGGACUUUGCACAGAUCUAGUGCGAGAUCUCCACGUAGGGUGUAUAUGGUGGAGGUUCCUCACCUGACAAUAUUACACCAUUUUAAGUCCUUAUCCCCCUAGGUUGUCAUUUGAAUUAUAAUCCCAGGAGUGUGGGAGGAUGCAGAAGGGGUGACUGAAUUUAUGGUGUGGAUUAUAUGAUAAUUGAAUUAAUAAGAGACUAUUAUACAAGCUUCAGGACACAUUUAUAUAUGCUUAUAUUUUUUUCCGUUUCAGAGUAUCAUUUCAAAUAAGUUCUGUUAAUUUUCAAUUUUCAAUUUUUUUCCCCAAGGUUUGUGCGCUAACUCAUUGCUCUAAUAUAGACUGUAAGCUCGUUUGAGCAGGGUCCUCUUCAACCUAUCGUUCCUGUAAGUUUUCUUGUAAUUGUCCUAUUUAUAGUUAAAUCCCCCCUCUCAUAAUAUUGUAAAGCGCUACGAAAUAUGUUGGCGCUAUAUAAAUGGCGAUAAUAAUAAUAAUAAUAUAUUUAAUUUUAGGUAUUGUUAUACUGCCCAACAGGGCAUUAGUAGCUUAAAUAUACUUUGUUGAAGAAAGAGUUAUAGUAACCCUAAAGCAGUAAAGGCUGCACAGUAAUAUGGUGAGGACCUGAAUGCUACAGUAGCCCCUACGUCUGUCAGUGGUUAGUACACCACUGGUUACUACUUUUAGUUCCUCUGUUCUCUGUGUCAUUGAUGCUGUGCACUCCAUUAGUUUGAUGUAGCUCACAGCCCGAUUGGAGAACCUCUGCUGUCAAAUAGCUCUGUGUCGUGUACGUAUCAUUAAAGAGAGACUAAUGUUCCUAAAUAAAUGGUUAGCUUUGGAAAAGCUCUACUUAUUCUAAAAAAAAAAAAAGAAACAAAAGGAACAAAUCUAACAUCGACCUGAAUCUACCCAUUAAAUAUAUUGGCCAGUCCCUAAUGUCAGCACUUCAGCAGUGAAAUAGCCACAAACCCAUCUUUUUAACAAGUAGGGCUGCAAACAUAGUAUAUAUCCCCACUAUCUUGGUACAUUAAUAGUAUAUCCAAACAAGUUUCUUUACAUUAAUAUACGUGGUAUUAAUAUAUAUAUGGUAUUAAUGUCACACAACAUAAUAAAAUAUAUAUGUCCUACUGCACAUGGUGAAAAAGAAAACAGAAGAAAAUAGAACAUUUUAUUUAGUGCUGUCAAGAUUAUAUCCUAAGCAAUGGAUUGUUAAGACUUCAUAGGAGAGUUGCAGAUUUUAGGCAAAAGCUGACUUGGAAAAGAAUCUACGUUUGGUCAUUUUGAUCUAAAAUGAGCGAUUUCCUGUUGAAUUCCCAGCGGAUUAGUGAGUACACCUUAUAUAUCCUUAUUUGAGGUACAUAACCUGAAUUCUUCCAAAAUGAUACCUUGUCUAUUGAAUCAAUGAUAUCAACGGCAUAAAUUAGCCUCGGUAUAACCCAAAUUACACCAAAAGCAAUUACACAGUGAAUGAUUUUCUUCAGAAUCAUUUGUUAUUUAUAAUUUGCACAUAUAAUUGUACAGUGGGAGCUCCUCGCUAAAUAAACAGCUGUGCUUCCUGCAUUCUCCCUACCCCCAUCUUCUAAGUUAUGGGAUAUAAUGAAAAUUGUUAAAAAUAAGGUGGUUUAGCUAAGGGUCUCCUCCAUGCCCCUAUUUUUAGGUAACGAAGAAGUAAUUAGAAAUGGGAGUGGUUAGAUAAUUCUCUUCUAGCCUGCACCUUACUAUUAUCCAAUAAGUUUUGACUUAUUAAAAUAUAGUUUAAGAUAGGGGGCAUGCUGAAGGGUCCCCUGUGACACUUAUCCAUUUGUGGCAGGUGAGUGGCUAAAAUGUGAUCAGGUGGAAAGCUCCUAUACCACUUAUCUAUGUCAGGGAGAUAAAGGAUUAAAACAAAUAGAAUGGGUGAGUAGGCUGCAUGCUUCGCCACAUCUGAUAACAAUCUUAAAAAUUAUUUUUUUUCCACCUCUGAAAAAUUGGCUCCCUCAGACCACAGUCUCAAUGGUCCCGCUGGUUCUAUCCUCGUUUUCAUCCAUUUAAAGACAGGUCUCUUAGCCGAUUGGUGGAGGAGCACAAAGUUGUUCAAAAGCAGCAUAAAAAACCCCCCAAAACUACACAACUAAAAACAAAAUGGCAACAAAACAGCUCACACUAUUUCAAAAUCAAUCAUUUAUUAAUACGAAUAAAAUACAAAAUAAAAGUACUUCGAAAGCACCAAAGAAGAAUUAACAUUAAAAACAUAAGAAUUUGCUGGUACAGCUUCCAAACGUGAACAUAUUUAUUAUGUACAGUAGUUGUAAAAUCAUUGCGUGUUACAAUGUGUUUUCUUUAUCACUUUGAAUUCCUGGCAAUUCACACUUUAGGUUAUAAACCCGACAGGAUUAUUUACUAAUGUCCAAACAGCAGCUAACUGAGAUACAAAUGGCAUCAGUGAAGCUUAAAUUGUCAAGCUGUGACUAACUGAGCAGGAGAAUGUCUCCACAUUAGCUCUAUGUGUGCGUACAUCUUGCCAUUCAGAUUUCAGUUCUUUACAAGUAUAGACUAGUGACUUGAAAUGGGCUGACCCCUGUCUGGAGGAUAUGUAAGCUGGCAUUUUAGUUAGAGAAACAGUAAGAAUUAGACAUAAGUUGAUCUUAUGUAAAAUAUCACAUUGUGACAUUCUAAAGCAUAUAUGAAUGUUAUUGAAUUUGCCCUUUUAAAUGUUAUUGCUCUAGAAACCUGCAUUUUAUAACACAUGGAAAGCUGAAAUUUGAAUGUUCUGUGUUCUUGGCUUAUUACAGAUGCCAAUAGAUUACAGAUUUGGUUUCACAUCAUCAGAUUGGCUGUAUAAGCACAGUAUAAUAAUCUGGCGCGCUCGGUGGAAAUGUAUAUUGUCAUCUUCCCACCCUCACCAAACUAUAGAAUGGUUAGUUGUUGUCGCUCUACAAAGCCGAUAACACUCUUUUGUGAGAGAAAUGACAAACACACCCCCCUUACAUAUAUUUGAAGGCUUGGCCUGUAGUUGUGAGAGGGGCUUGAAUUCCCUUUAAAAGGGCUGCCAAUCCACUCCCACCUUACCGUUGCUGGUCUGGCGAGUCUGAAACGUUUUACUUCCGGUUCAGAUCGCCAUAUUGGAUUUUCUUACCUGUUUUCCUCUUGGUCUUCUGGUCGGGUGCUUUCCUGACUCUCCUUCCCGUCGCCGGCGUCCGCACGGCUCGUUAUUUUGCCACCGCGAAAAAAUGUAAGUCAGGCCCGCUGUAAAGCAACUGCCGCAAACUUCCUAGCUUUACACGGCGGAGCCCCGUUCGUUUGAACCAGCGUUCGGUUCUUUUCCUUUUUGUACAGUAUGCCGUUCGGCUAACUUCCCUUAUCUACUUGCAUGUUUCACAUUUCUUAAUCUAACGAACGCUAUCAUUCCGUUAUAUACAUAUAAAUUUUCCGUUCAGUUUUCGAAUUACACUUAGGAUGGAUCCAUUCGUAUGUUUCAACACUCUACCUAGUUCUUUCAGUGAUUACAACAACUCACGAAAUAGGCACAAAUUCAACCGGUACUCCAGUGGAUUUUGCCCCUACUGGUUACAAACACUAUUACAGUCACUUAUAAAAAUUCUACUAAAGUAAAUAUAAAUGUUUAAACCUGGAUGAUGUGUCCUGAUUUUCCUGACCUUUUCCCACAGGUUCAUACCAGGAGUUCGUACUAGGAAUUGUGAUUUCUGACACCUGUGUCAAUUGUAUUUACUUUCUAGGUUGGUUGGAAUUUAAUUAUGAUUCAAUUUUGAAGGCCAAUGAUACCUAUUAAAUUAGUUAAGUGUGUCAUUUAUUCUUUUAGGUUAUUAUACGUUGGACGGUAGCUUUUACAAGCACAGAAGCCUUCAUCUUCUUUUCGUUUAAAUCUACCCUCUGCAGAGUGUCAGGUAGGUUCUGGUUUUUAGGGCCCACGAUCUGGCCAAACUACUACCUUACAUUCAGACGCUUAUAUAUCAAAUCUCAUGUCCACAGGUCAACAUCUUGAUACUAUUACAGUCGCUGUUUACCUCUACAUUGACAGCUUGGCCUGACUCACAUAUCAGGUACUACGCCAGAACCCAUUACUUUCUAUGUUCUGAGUGGUACUGGUCCUAGGUUACGUGACCCAAUUAGGUAUAAAAAUAUUUCUGGUCUUAAUCCAUAGGCUAGCGCGAGGCCAACAUCCCCAUCCUCAUACUCGGAGGUACUACGCCCCUCGGGCCAAAUCAUAGCUAGCCGCCUCGCACUGUUGCAAAGAGAGGGCCUCACCUGUCACUCACAUUCUUUCUUAUGCUUUAAUUGACACCGAGAGGCCAACACCCCGCCACAACGUUCGGUGGCCUCAAUUUCCCCUCGGGCCCACGCAUAGAUAGUGCCUCUCAGGCCGCUUGGCAACUAGCAGGGACUCAUCUGUCACGCUCGCAAAGCAUAAUUCUUUCACCGCUUGGUAUUUAGCUAGCCCCACCAGUAUCCACCCAAAUUCAUAACAAAUGACUGAUUAAGCAACUUUUAUAUUUUUCAGUUAUGUCACAAACUCCUGAUAUCCCAGAGGAACUUUCACUACCCAGCACACCCGCUAGUCCUGGUACCCCUGUUUCUGGUACAGAUGUGAAUAGCCCUUCAUCCCUUAAAUCAUGGACCAUCCCACGUCUCACAGCAGAACUCAGAAGACGCUGCAUCCCUUUCCCAGCUAUUGCUAGAAAGGCGGAGUUGUUUAGAUUACUGAACACUACCACCGACAACUCCGAGGCAGGGGAAGGCCCUAGUGGGACUCAAUUACCAGCUUUUCAUGCCAUGAUGACUUCUCUAAUGGCAUCCAUUGGCACAAUAAGUGACAGGUUGGAUAAAUUGGAGGCUGGUGGUGCUAAUCAGUCCACUACCAAUACUACGGUCACCAGUCAUCCUCUCACUAAUACUAUGCCCGGUAAUUCCUUUGAAUCCAUGGCGGUUAUAGAAUCAAUUAAUCCCUCGCAUAUGGUCCCAUCUCACCUUAAAAAGGACAUUCUGGAAGGUAAGGACGUUAACCUGGUCUCAUUGCUCAUUGCCUCCCAGGAUGUCCUAGAGAACAGGACCUUUGCAUAUGGGGAUAUUUUAGUCAUACUAAGGGCUAGAGACCCCCAGUGAAUAAGAAAUUGACCAUCCCUGAAUUCGUGCUGGGGUUUGGGAUUUAUAGAGAUGUCUACUGCUCAGUUUACCCUGAGAAAAGAGCAGAGGUGGAUGCGUGCAUGCACAAGAUCGUGGAUCUGGGGCACAAAUACGGUGGUACCGCUUUUUACGAUUAACACCGUUCCUUCUCUGCAAAGGUGGCUGCGGCUCUGGCUCAGUUCAAUUUAAGCAUAAAUUGGAAUAAAUUGGACACGGAGCUAUUCUGCAGGCACUUUGCAGGCCUCAGACCCCCAGCUUGUGCAGUAUGUGCAUCGGCAACGCAUAGCACCAAUUUCUGCCCGAACUCGGCUGAAAUUGAACAAAACCAACCGGCUUCUAACUUCCAAAGACCUACUAGAGGAUUAAAAGACAAACUGGGCAGGGAUAUUGUAUUUUUAGGGAAAUCCCAAGUUUGCAAUAAUUUUAAAGCGGGCAAUUGUGGUUUCAGCUCUUGCAGGUUAAUGCAUGUAUGUUCACACUGUUUCAGGGCCCAUUCCAAAACAAUGUGCCCAAAUAAAGCAUUUCCUAAACCAUAUCUCAUGUGCGUGAACCUCAGAUUAUUCACCACUUUGUUACAACUACACCCAUCACGCCAUUUCAGUAACUACCUUAUAAUGGGACUGACUGAGGGAUUUCACACUGGGUUAAUACAUUUACCUACAGGCAUGCUGGAAUGUGACAACCUACUAUCCACAUUAAAAGACCCACAGUUGGUACACAAACUUAUCAUGACCGAGGUAAACCAAGGGUUUUUGUUGGGCCCAUUCUUUUCACCACCCUUCACAUCUUGGAGAACCGACCCCAUUGGGGUUGUCACGGGAAAAAACUCACUCAAACCUAGACUGAUCAUUGAUUUAUCAGCACCACACUCCUCCACGGUCCCCAGCCUAAACUCACUUAUACCUUCCGAAGAGUUUUCACUACAGUACGCCACUAUCGACCAUGCCGUAGGUGCCAUCAUUAAAGCAGGCACAGGGGCAUGGUUAAGUAAAACGGAUGUAGUGAAUGCCUUCAAGUUACUUCCCAUGCUCCCUUCCUUUUGGCACCUUCACGGCAUUAAAUUGCAAGGGUUAUAUUAUUUCUUCACCCGUCUCACUUUUGGCUCCAAAAGUAGCCCACGUAUUUUUGACACAUUUGCAGAAGCUUUGUGUUGGUUAUUACUUAAUGUGUGUAAAUGUCCUUCGGUUAUUCACUAUCUGGAUGAUUUCCUCACGAUUGAAAACAACACACUCCCCCCAAGUAGUUUGAAACACAUAUUGGCUUUGUUUGAAUCCCUCACUAUCCCAGUCUCCCCGCACAAGACGUUGGGUCCCCACACUAACAUGCAAUUUUUGGGGAUACAACUAGACACUGUACACAUGCAGACUAGCCUCCCUCAGGACAUAAUUGAGCGUACCCUGGCAAGCAUCGAACACUACCUACUGCAAGGGUGUUGCACCUGGAAAGAACUGCAAUCACUGCUGGGAUCGCUCAACUUUGCAAUGAGGAUCAUUCCACAAGGUAGAUCUUUCAUUUCGCAUCUACUAUCCCUAUUUCCACAAUUCACCUCAGACACUUCACGUAGUACGUUAGACGACCAUGCAACCUCUGAUUUACGGAUGUUUUCUCACCUCUUGGAACGGGCGAGCCAUGUUUAUAUCACCCCACUCUGACACUUCACCUACACUGUGGACAGAUGCCGCAGCAAACACAGGUUUUGCAGCCAUCUGGGGAGAUAAAUGGCUUUGGGGACAAUGACCGACCAAAGUCAAAUCACUGCCCAAAUUCACAGAGACCUCAGCUUUAUUUGAGCUGUACCCAAUCGUGGCGGCGGCCAUUGCCUGGGGACCACAUUGGUCCGGUCACACGGUUAGGUGCUACUCGAAUAAUAUGGCUACAUGCCAUUUUGUCAAUAAAGGCCGGUCAGCAUCCCUGGUAUUUAUGAGACUCCUAAGACAACUCACAAGGGGAGCGGCCACCUGUCAAUUCUUUAUCACAUGUAUUCACGUUCCAGGGUGCACAAACACUGGUGCUGAUCACUUGUCUCGAUUUAGUUUUCAGGAUUUCUUCACGACACUACCCUCCGCUUCCAGACUGGCAACUCCUGCCCCACUUUUCCGAGACAUGAUAAUGGAUUAAAGGCUUUGUUAGAUCACGCACGUCACUUUCUCACCUCGCACUUUCAGUACACACUAGGAACACAUACUACAGGGCUUUUCACGUAUUCAAGAAAUUCAUCACUGAAUUCCACAUCCACGACAUGUUCAUGUUAGAAUCAAUAUUGGGUUUCACUUCUUUUUGCCACAUCAACCUUAAAUUAUCAUUCAACACUAUAAAACUGUACCUUACGGGCAUUCAACACCACAUGCUUAUCCAACAACCCAACACUACAGGUUUCCUGUCCUCAUAUCAAAUUAAGACAGUACUUAAAGGCAUUAAAAUAUUGGACGCACAUGUCCCCUCACAAAGACUACCCAUAGACAACAACAUAUUCCAUUCACUAAUCAAUUUAUUAGAUUCUUCUUCUUUCGAACCCAUAACUAAUACUGUAAAAAAGACAGCUAUAUAUUUAGCUUAUUAUGGGUUGCUCCGACCCAACAAUUUCACGAUUAGGACCAUUACAACCCCCGACUACCUAAGAACAAUGGACUUACAAAAACAUAACGACCAUUACUUACUAUUUUUAAAACAAUCUAAAACCAGCACCGUAGGUCAUACUAUUGAAAUCCCCUUGUAUCCUACUCACAAUAAAUGGUGCCCCGUACAAGUUUUUGACGCUUAUUUUCUUUCACUCCACAAACAACCUCUACAACCUUUGCUCGAACUGCAUGGAAACAUUCUGACUACAACAAAAUUUAUGCUUUAUGUACAUCUACUGUUGACUAGGCUCAACCUAAACCCCAAUCAUUUCUCAGGUCUUUCCGAAUUGGGGCAUCAUCUACAGCAUCUGCUAAUCACGUACCCAUUCACAUUAUCAAAGCAAUGGGACGCUGGAAAUCCUCAGCCUACACACUCUACAUACCUAAUCCCGUUAAAGAAUUAAGACAAGCUUUCUGUGACUUAUCUAAAUAAAUAAAGUUGGUUAACUGUAUUACUUCUUAUGAUAUUUUCUUUUGCCCACUUUUAUUACAGGCCUACUGCUUUGUCGGUUCCGGCACACCACAACCGACUGGUCCCAACUCAUUGAUGUUAUGGUUAUUAUAUGCUAGAUUUCUGUAUAUGACUAUAUUGCCCUGACUACAAAUUUGAAGGCUUGGCCUGUAGUUGUGGGAGGGGCUUGAAUUCCCUUUAAAAGGGCUGCCAAUCCACUCCCACCUUACCGUUGCUGGUCUGGCAAGUCACUCCUCCCACCAGUCCCUCUAUUCAUAAACACCCUCUAAGGUAGGCCCACUUUUAUUACAGGCCUAUUGCUUUGUCGGUUCCGGCACACCACAACCGACUGGUCCCAACUCAUUGAUGUUAUGGUUAUUAUAUGCUAGAUUUCUGUAUACGACUAUAUUGCCCUAACUUCAAAUAUAUAUAUAUAUAUAUAUAUAUAUAUAUAUAUAUACAUAUAUAUAUACAUACAUACAUACACACACACACACACACAUAUAAAACACACACAUUUAUAUAGAUAUUUGCUCAUAUUCAUAUACACACACAAAAACAUUCAUAUGCACCCACACUCACAUUCAUACACACACACAUGCACACAUUCUUAUAAACCCAAACAUUCAUACGUACACACGCUCACAUUCACAUACUCAAAUUCCUAUACAUUCACAUGCAUAUUCAUACACGAACCGUCAUAUUCAUAUGCACACACAUAUUGAUAUACACACACUCAAUACAUUUGAUUUUUAGUCAGAUCCCUGGUGCCCUGUGGUUUGCUGCUCAGAACAGCUCUGUGCAGAUCUGUAUUGAUACUGGGGUGAUUGUACCUCCUAACUCCUGGCAUUAGUGCAGUCCGGUGAGGGAGCUGGGAAGUCAGAAAACAGACUGACUCCAGCAAAUCCCCUGCUGUUUGUGAGUUCUGCUAAACGGAAUCUGCAGAGCAGGCAAUCUGCGUGGCACUUUCCAUUAGGACAUAGGAGCCAGGUCUGGCGAGAAGGGUUGUUCUGUUCUCCCCCUGUUAUCUGUCACCUGGGACAGACCUGUACUGGGCUAGUACGCUAUUGAUACUGAUGACACAUACACCAGGUUCCCUGUUUUUGUUGUGUAAUAAAAUAAAAUCAGGAAUUGUACCGAGGAUAAGUACAACGAGUUGUAAUUAAUGGUAAAUUUUCAGGCUGGACAAAGGUGGUAAGUGGUGUCCCUCUGUUCUGGGACUGCUUCUAUUUAACAUAUUUAUAAAUGAUCUUGAAAUAGGCAUUGAAAGUCGUGUCAGUGUUUUCAGAUGAUUCAAUACUAGGUGGACUAAUUCAAUAUGAGCAGGAUAUUACAUCACCACAGAAGGAUUUAUUUAGAUUGGGGGAUUGGGCACUCAAAUGGCAGAUUAAAUGUAUUAUAGAUAAAAGUCAAGUUUUGUACUUCAGGCUAAAUAAAGCACAAACAACUGAAUUAGGGAUAACAACACAUAAGAAGAAUUUAGGAAUUGCUAUAGACUACAAACUAAGCAACAACGUGCAAUCAGCAGUUGUUAAGGCAUGUAACGUAUUGUCAUGCAUGAAAUGGUGGAUUAAUUGGCAGAAUGAAAAUAUAAUUUUGCUUCUUUAUAAAUCAAUUGUGAGACCUCACCUUGAGUAUGCUGAAUAAGAAGGAUAUGAUGGCUCUAGAAAAACUACAGAGUUUGGACAUAAAAUUAAUAAAAGGAAUGGAGCAAUUAAGUUAUGAAGAAAGGCUAACAAAUUGAAAUCUAUUUUGUUUAGAAGUAUAUUAGAGGCCAAUACAAACCAUUUUCUGAAAUCUAUUCAUUAACAGGACUAUGUAAAAAAUACAAGGUCACGCAUUUAGACUGGAAGAAAGGAGAUUUAGUCUAAGGCAAAGGAAAGGGUAAUAUGCAGUAAGAACAAUAACAAUGUGGAAUUCUCUACCUGAUAAGGUGCUUUUGUCAGAGUCUGUACAGAUGUUCAAACAGCAACUGGAUGAAUGCCUGCAAAAGCAUUAUAUACAAGGAUACCAUUUUAUUAUGUGGCUAACAGCUUCUUGAUCCAAGGAGAAAUCUGACUGUUCUGGGGUUGAGAAAUAAUUUUUAUGCAAAAAAAGAGCUUCAAGCUCUCCCCACAACUCCUCCCCCCCUUAUUUUAGAUCAACAGCAAAUAUAGAAUUUAUUUCAGCCAAUGUAACUAUAAUUGGCAGCUGUCAGCAUUGUACCUAUUGGUGCAGACUAUAUUUUGUGGUGGGGUUGCAUCCAAAAAUGCUUUUUUUUCCCGUUUGAUUUUCUGUUUUUCAUGUCAAAAUAUUCAGUGAGAUUAAGAUGACUACAACACUGAAAAUGUUGGUGUACCUUUUUCCCCAAUCGGUGCUGCAUGUUAUAUAGCAUAGCACACUGGACCGUGUGCCGUAUAUCAGUAUAUUUACUAUGUUUAAGCAUUUUUGGUCUUUGCUGUUAUGAUAUACAGGCAGUAAAUUGCUGCUGCAGUUUUGGGUUUAACUGUUACUGUCUAUUUUUGGGGCUGAUCUUUAUUUGUAUAUAUUUUUUAACCGUAUGACCUGUCUCAGGGCACAGUACCUGCAGACAGACUGCUCUUUACCAGUAUUCCAAGGGCAAUGAAAGCACAUUAAUUAAGAGACACACACAAAAGGUGUUUUUUAAAAAUGUCUGAAAACAACGUACACAUAUAUGAGAGCGUGUAUCCAAACAUAAGGCUGAGUAUGUUUACGUAUGCAGGGCCGCCACCAGAAAUUUUGGGGCCCCUGACAAAGAACAAAGGUUUGGGCCCCCCUCGCCCCCACGGCCCACCCACGAGUCCGCCCACAGGACUCCUACCUAGUCCGCUGACAAUGAUGCAGGACUGAAUGUGGUGUGUAUAGUGGAAGUGAAUUAGAAUGUGUGUAAUGGAGGUAGUGUUUGUGUGUAUUAGAUACUGUUUGUGCAGUGAAUGCAGAGUGUGUGUUUGUGUAGCGGAUGCAGUGUGUUUAGUGCAUGCAGAGUGUGUUUGAGUAGUGGAUGUAGUGUGUGUACAGUGAAGAGAUGUAGUGUGUGUUUGUGCAGUGGAUGUAGUGUUUGGUUUGUGCAGUGGAUGCAAUGUCUGUAGUGUGUGUAUUAGACACAGUGUCUCUGUAUAGUGAAUGCAGAGUGUUUGAAUGUGUGGUGGAUGUAGAGUGUGUACUGUGAAUACAGGAUGUUUGUGUAGUGGAUGCUGUGUGUAUAGUUAAUGCAGAGUGUAUGUUAUUGUAGUGAAUGCAGAGUAUGUGUUAGUGUAAUGAAUGCAGAGUGUGUGUUAGUGUAGUGAAUGUAGAGUGUGUGUUAGUGUAAUGAAUGUAGAGUGUGUGUUAGUGUAGUGAAUGCAGAGUGUGUGUUAGUGUAGUGAACGCAGAGUUUGUCAGUGUAGUGAACGCAGAGUGUGUCAGUGUAGUGAACGCAGAGUGUGUCAGUGCAGUGAAUGCAGAGUGUGUGUCAGUGCAGUGAAUGCAGAGUGUGUGUUAAUGUAGUGAAUGCAGAGUGUGUGUGUUUACUAGUGUAUACUUUUCCCCCUCCCCCACAUUAAAUCUAAUUAAAGUUAUUCCACCCUCCCUGUUUCUUACCUGGUCCAGGGAGGGGGGAGAUUCCAUUCCUGGUGGUCCGGUGGCAUGGUGGGGCCCCCUGGCUCCCUGCAUUUGCAGAGGGGGCCCAGCAGACUGCACAUUACUUUACAGCUCUUCCCUCUCUCUAACUCUCGCGAGCGUGGCAUGCGUGCCAUGGUAACCCGUGGCAACGCUCUGAUGGCCGCGGGUCUCGCGGGAGUUAGAGAGAGGGAAGAGCUGUAACAUUCAGAUGCAGACUGCUGGGCCCCCCUGCAAGUAUAGUGAGCAGUCCGGGCCGCCCAGGACCGCCGGGCCCGUGACAACCGUCAUGGUUGUCACCCCCUGAUGGCGGCCCUGUACGUAUGUAUGACGAUUUGUAAUUCUGCACAUAUGUAGGUAAAUGUAUAUGCUUAUAGGCAUGCUGAUUUUGUGUAUGUCUGUAUGAAUGAAUGAGUGAAGAUUUAGGAAUGAAUUAUUACAAUGGAUCUUGAGGCCCUAAACAGUCAUUAUAGUGAUACUUAGGAAGGAAACAUGGCUUGCUGCUGUGCCUUUUCUUCAUCAGCCUGUUUAUACGGUGUAUCGUCAUUUUGUAGAAAAUAACUCUCAGACUUUUCUUAUUACUACUCCUCUAAAUAUUAAACUGUCAUAUUUGUACUUUUAGCAAAGAUGUUUUGGAAUGACAUAUUCUGCGGAGCUGCAGUGGUAUUGCUGUGAGAAUUUUUAAAGGAUCAUUUUUGGAGUCAGAACACUAUAAGCCUAUUGUAUAGUUUAUGGUGCAAGGAGGUCCCCUGUCACAAGGUCCCUGUGCUCAAUGGCGUUUACCGCAGCUAUAUGCCAAACCUGCUGGGUCUGUAAGGAUGUCCUUUUCAUUUAGACCAUAUAAUAAUUACUUUGCUGACAAUAAUCCAUCCCAUUUGUUUUUGUGGUGUUGUAGGCUGAUCAAGCAGACACUGUGCAUGUUCCUACCUGUCCCAGAGAAGCCGUGAAUCAGGAGAAUUUUAUUACAUGACAGGAGGCUUUGUAUUUUGCUUGUGAAUAAACUUUGCACUAUCAGUCACUGUAUGUCAGCUUUCAGCAUAUUCAGCAGUUAUACCCAUCAUUCAUGAUGACUAAGACAGCUGCUGGGGUCUGAACUACAUAUCUUAUGUCCAAUAUUUCAAACGGACAAAGAGCGACUCGUUUUAGGGGUGUGGCCAGGGGUGGGCUGUUCUGAGACAUUUUAGAUUACUUACUAACUACAACGCUUUUUUUUUUUUUUUUUUUGCACAGACAGAUUUCUAAAUAUGUUUAUUGUAGUUAAAAUACAAAUGACUGGGAGUAUUAUUGCUGUAGAGCUCUCUGAUACACUCAGACACAUCAACAAUAUGGAGCUCCUACAAAAGUGGGAAAUUAGGAUAAAAAGAGCGACAGAUGAAUUUAAAGUCAAAAUUGUCCCUUUGGACUUGGGCGGUAGGAACCCCUAAUGGACAGGAAUUUACAGAAUAAACCCCCAAAAGAUCAGAAUGUGAGGUUGCAGAUUAGUGGUGUCUCUUCAUGGUUUGGGUGGAGGCUGUAUUCUACUGCUUUCCUUUCCUGGAACUUUGCCUGGAAGGUUCAAUUCUAACUAUCUUGUGUAUAAAUUCUAGGCUUCUCAAUGGUGAAACACAUGAGUAAGCAGCCCAGUCAUGGGAUCCUGAGCCUUAAGUCAACUAGUUCAGAAUGGGAAGCACAGCAUUGGAUCACAUGCUUUUCGAAGAUGGAAAACAUGCUGCUUGAAGACACCUAACUUUAUUUAGUGCAAACACAUUCCAGUCUGUAGUGUGAUUCCCCAUCCUAGCCAUAUAACAUUCCCCAUCUAUUCUCAACAUUCUUUUUGUGUCUCCUGUACAAUCCUGUUCAAUAAACAGCAGCUUGAUGCACUAGAGCCCUUGAUGCUCUGUGUUGACUGUUUUACCAGCACUCAUAUCAGUGUGACUGACCAUCUCAUGUCCAGAGCGUCCAGAGGUCUUGCAUUUAAAAAGCAAUGCCUUGAGGUGAACCAUUUGCAGUAGGAGAUGACUGAAAUCAGAAAUUGGACAAUGUAUUAAUUACAGUGUUGGUCAGCAUAGGACAUAUGCCAUGUUUGAUCUUGGAGUCCCUCUCUCUCCACUGAAUUGGAUAAUAAUCCCAUUUACCUAUAUUGGCUGUAGAGUUCCAUUCUUACAGUAUGUGGGUGUUAUGAUGAACUCAGUUAGGAGAUGAAUAAAUUAGUCUGAUGUUAAACUAAUUUUCUCUUCUCAGUGGGAAGGCUGUUUGGGUUAUAUACUCUUAUGUGUAGGAAAGGUAAUAAUUGUAGUGUCUUUCCUGUAUCCAGGGUAACACAAAUUGGAUUAAAGUACUGUAUGUAGUCCUAUGUUACUACCCAGGCAUUAAAAGCCACUGGAAGUCAUAGUGUUUCCUCCAGGGGUGUAUUGCUACUAACCCAAGGCUAGUGGCAAGUAGAUCAUUUGAGCCCUGAUAGAUAGAUAUGAAUAUAAAAUCUACUUCUCUUCUUAUCACCUGCAAUUGUGCAAAAACAUAAUGUUUUGUAGAAAAUAAUUAUGUAUUCCUUUAUUUUGUAAUUUUGAUGUGUUCACGUGUAACUACAUGAUAUUUCUCAUGCAUGUUUCUCAUUGUGACUCAUUGUCUGGAUAAUUAUUUUUUAUGACAUCAAAAUGUUAGCAUUUUUCUUCCCCCUCCCCCACCCCCUCUUGGCGUUUCCAAAGCUGAUUCGGAUGCUACCAUUGUGUAAAUAAUUGCAUGUCACAGUAUAAUAAGGAGCAAUAUUUAAUAAUGACACAUUUACUUGCAGGUAGGUUUUUAUCAGUCCCUAGAGGGCUAUUUAUCUAUGGAUUUAUGCACUGCAUAAACAAGGAAAGCCAUCAUACACGUGCUUUUCUAUGCUAUCACCUUGCAGUUAUUCUAAGGGCCCGAUUUUCUAGAAGGCAAAGUAGGCAUCUGCCUACAGGCACAUGGGCAUCAUUGCUGGCAUUUCAAUGUGGCUUUUUAAAAAUAUGAAUUCAUUUAUUUUUAAUGAUUGCUGUAGGUAUCGACAGACAAUUGUUGGAUACGGCAGUUCGAGAUAACCUGUUCCAUCAUGGAUGUGCACUUAUUCAGUACUGGCAGGUGAUAAAUAGGUGUAAGAGAAAUUCCUUGCUUUUACUCUUUGACAUUUGUCAUAUCUAUCGGCUUGUCUGUAUAUGGACUGACAAAGCUUAUAAAGAGCAGUGUGUUAUACUAGAACUUUAAAGGGACACUGUGUAGUCACCUAUACUCACCUGAACAACUUUAGCUUAAUGAAGUUUUGGUGUAUAGAACAUGCCCCAGCAGCCUCACUGCUCAAUCCUCUGCCAUUUAGGAGUUAAAUCCCUUUGUUUAUGAACCCUAGUCACACCUCCCUGCAUGUGACUUGCACAGCCUUCCAUAAACACUUCCUGUAAAGAGACCCCUAUUUAGGCUUUCUUUAUUGCAAGUUCUGUUUAAUUAAGAUUUUCUUAUCCCCUGCUAUGUUAAUAGCUUGCUAGACCCUACAAGAGCCUACUGUAUGUGAUUAAAGUUCAAUUUAGAGAUUGAGAUACAAUUAUUUAAGGUAAAUUACAUCUGUUUGAAAGUGAAACCAGUUUUUUUUUUUCAUGCAGGCUCUGUCAAUCAUAUCCAGGGGAGGUGUGGCUAGGGCUGCAUAAACAGAAACAAAGUGAUUUAACUCCUAAAUGACAGUGAAUUGAGCAGUGAAAUUGCAGGGGAAUGAUCUAUACACUAAAACUGCUUUAUUUAGCUAACGUAAUUUAGGUGACUAUAGUGUUCCUUUAAGAUAUUUACAGGGCAUUUAGAGCACAUUGCAAAACGUACAGGUCCCACAGAAUAUGGCUUUGCAUACUUUGAGAUAAAAGGUUACUUAGAUUUAGAUGGUUAUUUACUAAAGUGGGACUUCAAAGUGAAUAUCAAAUGUCAGCUCAAAAUAGCCAAAUUGUAAAAAAAAAUCUCUAAAUCAGCUAUGCUUUCAGUUUAGCUACUCUGACCUCAAAUUGGAAAUUCACUUUGAAUUCUCAAUUUAGUGAAUAACCCUAUUAGUCUUUCUGAGUGAAAACAAAAAUCUGUGAAAAACGCAACUCUGAGGAUGUCUCAUUUACUUGUAUUUCUUGUGCAGAAGACAUGGGAUACUCACAUAAAUAAUUGCCGGACACAUUCUUCAGAACCAAAAAAUUAGCAAAAAUAGUGGACACCCAAAAUGCAGUCUUAAGCAAUCUUUUUACUCAUAAGUCAUUGACAAACCUCUUCAUGAAUGUCACGCAGUAAAAGCACUGACAUUGUGAGCAAAAAGAUCCACAAGAAACUUAACCAUCAUAUAUAUUUUACAUGAAUAAAUGACCAUCAGACCUGCAGACCAUGUAAAGUCCAUGCUACAUCCUUGCGCUAUUAAAGAAGCAUGCAUAACGCAAGGGCAACAUUUUCGUGAGCAAUUCUAAAUCGGUCUCUGAGUAUUUCUUUGGUCAAGUUCAAAUGAAAAUAUCUUUGCCCUUGCUUUUACUCCGGGCAUUCCAUCUUACGCAAGUAUUUUUCUUUUACUGCAAGAUUUUAAAAAAGGUACGUAGUGCCCUUUAAAAACAUUUUGAACGUAGCUGUUAUCUCAUACACAUAAAACUAAUGUUAAUGAUUAGAAAAAAAAACCUAAAUAAAACAUUGAUUUGAUAUUAAUUAUAAUUAAUUUCAGGUAACACAAAAAGAUAAUUGUUGUUAAAACAAAACGUAUUAUUUUGUUUUUCAUUUACGGCUAAAUUAAAUGUACUUAUAUUUAUGAUUCCAAAUUCCCCUUCAACCAAAUUUCCCAUUACAUCAAACUUUCAGAAGAAAUAUCUUUGGGCUAUAUAUGAAAUAAUUGCACCUGUCUGGUAUCAAUCUUAAAUAAUGGUUUGCAUAAAUUAGAUCUAUCACGCUGUUUCAACAUACGCAUUAAAUUGUAAGCCAUUUAGCCCUGCUCGUGUGAUUAGAGUAGCUAUUUGGUAGAGGAGAUAUGCUCAUUGAUGUCUUCUCUCUAAUUAGUGAAACUGCAAUCAGUUGCAACUUUAAGUUUGCCUUUUUCCAUUAACACUUUGGCUGUAUGGGGAACUUGGCAUUGACUUACAGAUCUGUGACAAUGACUUGAAAGAGAAGAAGCCUAGUAGAUAGUCCACAUAUAAUGUCAUGUGUUUUUUUUUUUGUGCCUGUCAAGAUGCAAUUGAGUCAGACGUGUUACUGACUAAUGAUGUAACCGUUAUCAACAGUGGAUAAUUAAUAUUAAUGAACAUAUUUCAUACUUGGUGCGUGAACACUCUCAAGGUGACUGUAUUAAAUAUAGUCUUUUAUUUAUGGCAUUUAAUUAAAAUUGAAUGAGUAAUGCUUGAAUUUUUAGUUUCUUAAAGGAGAACUCUGAGCUGUUAUUGACCCCUUUUUUUUCUUUAAUGCCUUGCAUUGAUAAUGCAUAAAAGAUAUGCAAAAUAUUUUUCAAAAAUAUUACAUACAAAGUCACAUACAUUUGAAAUUGCUGCAUCAGUAAAUUAUUUUCAUAUUAUUAUUAUUAUGUUAAUUAUACAGCGCCAUCAAAUUCCGCAGCACUUUACAAUGAGUGGACGAACAGACAUGUAGUUGUAACCAGACAAGUUGGGCACACAGGAACAGAGGGGUUGAGGGCCCUGCUCAAUGAGCUUACAUGCUAGAGGGAGUGGGGUAAAGUGAAACAAAAAGGUAAGGGUAGUGUUAGACUAGUGACAGUUGCAGAAGUGGAAUCAGUCAGGAGCUAGUAACAGUUUUAUUGAUACGCUUUUAUGAAGAAGUGGGUUUUUAACGAUUUUUUGAAGGAGUGUAGACUGGGUAAGCAUCUAACGGAGGAGGGAAGCGAGUUCCACAGGAACGGUGCAGCACUCGAGAAAUCUUGAAGGCGAGCAUCAGAGGUGGGAGUGCGGACAGAAGAUAGACGUAAGUCUUCAGCAGAUCGUAAGGGCCUAGACGGUACAUACUUGUGUAUAAGGGAGGAAAGAUAGGUGGGAGCAGCAUUAUGUAGAGAUUUGAAAGCAAGAACCAGAAUUUUAAAUUGAGCGCUAUAUCUUACAGGAAGCCAAUGUAGGGACUGACAGAAGGGUGAGACGUGGGAGGUGCGGGCGGACAGGAAGAUGAGCCUCGCCGCCGCAUUCAUUAUGGACUGUAACGGCGCAAGUUGGGAGCACGUAAGAGCACUGAGAAACAGAUUACAAUAGUCAGUGGGACAGUGGAAUGGACCAGCAACUUAGUCGCAUCUGGCGUUAAGUAAUAUCUUAAAAUAAACUGCAAGUUAUUGCUGCCUACUCAAAAAAAAAAAAAAGUGUUUGGUCAAUUAGGAUUCUCUAAUGGGUUUUUUUUAUGGGACUUUUCAAAGCGUUGACUUUAGUUUUGGGUAAGGCAGAGGUUUUGGACGUAGUAUUUUAGAACAAGUGUAUAAUUAAAGACAAACUUGAGAAAAUGGGAGCUCUAUGCACAUACAGUACAGCAUGGAAGAAAUAUUUCACAUUAGAUGAGGUGUGAUAGAAAAGGUAGCAUACCUCCCAAGUGUUUCUAUUUAGAAUGGACAGUCACUAUUUUGGUACCAAAUCCCUCUGUCCCUCUUCAAUCCUAAUAUCUGUUUUUUUUUUUUUUUUUAAAUGUAAUCUUUCUUUUUGUUGUGCAGGUACAUGCACUAGCCCCAGCAGCAUUACGAACAUGUCAGAGAUAUGAAAUAAACAGAAGUGCCAAUAUCAGAAGAAAGAUGUCAAUAAAAUAUGCUGAAAGGGUGGCACGUAAGCCUUAUAUAGAGUUAUGAGACAAUAAGGUUCACACUAUCUGCUAACUGAAAGCAAUAAAUGAAAAUAAAUAAAUACAACAGCAUGUUUUUGUUUUUCUAGAAAUUAUAAGAGAUGCUUGUAGUAUCCUGCUUGAUAGGACACAUAUUAGAUCAGACAAAUUAACUUGGAGAUACCUAGUAACAUUAACAAAACAGAAUUUCCACUGGGAGAUAUAAUGUAUACUACAGCAUUGUAUGAGUAAAACACCCUAAAAUAAACAGUAACUAUGCCUAAAGUAUUCAAUUGGUAAAAUUAACCUUGCUGUAGUAAGAAUCUGUGGCCCUCUCAGCCAAUGUUUUCAGAGGGAGAGACUCUGCGGCUAGUAAACUGGAGUCCAGCCAAGCUGAGAAAGUUGCCCCACCAGUCCAUGGCCACAUCACACUUCAGCAAGAUGCAACAUUAGAUCAAACUGCAUCUGGCUGCUGACAUAUUCCUUAACCUCCCGUCACAUGGCCCCAGCGUCGCACAACUGAAUCCCUCUGAUUAUAUGCUCUGUGCCUGGGGAGGUGACUCCAGUUUAUUAGCUAGACCCUCAAUGCCUAUGCACCGUCCACGGUGUCUGUUCAUGUCUACUCCUCCGUGAUGCCAUGCCAGGAAUGCAUGGGAAAACCCCCAUCUUUCUGUUCUGGCCAGCAGAUGGGGUCUGAGAUGCCUUGUCUCUGAAUAUAGGAGAACAGAGGCCUACCUCACAAGAUGGCCAACACACAGAGACCUUCUGCUUUACAUGCCAUCCCACAGACACCUUCCAAUAUGGAUCCGCUUCUGCAGGCUUUCAACUGCCCGUGUGCCCAUUUUUGGGCAAAACUCUGCAUCUGAGCAUCUUCUUCUCCUCCUAAUGUCCCUCUUUUCUUGAAGCUUCUUAUUGUUGGUGUAUCUGAGUGUAUAACAGAUCUCCACAGCAAUAAUACACCCAGUAAUGUGUCUUAAAACUACAAUAAAUGUGUUUAGAAAUCAGUCUCUGUAAAUAAGAUGCAUUGCUAUUGUUCUAAAUUUUACCACAUGACAGGAGGCUUCAUAUUUGCAUAUCUUUCUUUACUGAAAACUCCAGCAGCAUAGAAACAGUAACAACCAAUCAGAGAAAAGAUAUGGUGCCCAUAAGAGGCCCUGUCUAUGACAUCACUUCCUCUUUCUUUGCUGCUCCAGCCUACAACAGGUCAGAGUAUUAUUACCUCUCUGAUGUAUUUAUAUAUUUUUACUCUGCCUUCACUUUGUAACUAAAUAUCUAUCCAUCUACUGCUCCUUGCUCCCUUCCCUGUCCCCCUGUCUCUCCAUAUUCAGUGUGUUACUACCACUUUAUCUAAUGUUGGUCGGGUGGUCCGCGGGCGUCACGGCUGUCCGUGCCGCGCUCGCUGCGUGGACCUGCCCUGCUGACACUCAGGGGACUGUGUGGGGACGGGUGGAGGGUGGCCGGGGCGGUUUUGCAUUCUUCCGCCGUGUUUUUCUGCUUACUCACGGCAGCGAGCGAGUAAGCCUGCUGCAUGCGGCUGUCGGCCAUCUUGGAUCUCGCGUCUCACGAGACCAACGACGGCCGCCUUCCCUGCUCACGCGGCGGUUCGGGAAUCACCCGAUCACCAGUCCCUGCAGCUGCAUUAACCCCUUCAGGGGUCCCCCUCCCUAGGCACUUUCGUUCUUGGUUGAAAUAAAACAUUUUCUUCUCUGCUGUGAAUGCCACAUGGAUUUAACUCUUAGUGCCUUACACUGGAUGAUUAUGUUGAGCAUGCAAACAAUUUAAAUGUAUUAUGGUUCAGUCCAUACAAUACCACUAUUACUAUACAAACAAUUACUGUGACAUAUACAGAAUCAACUAUCUCACUGUACCCUUCCAAGGGCAUAUUGCGUUACUGUACCCUACACAGGGCAUAUUAUAUUACAUUAUUGUAUCCUACAGAGGGUCAUAUUAUAUUACUGUACCCGACGGUGCAAAUUUAUGUGGGUGUCCUCUGGGUAUUUUUUCAUGCCACACCACCUGGGGUGACCCCCCCAGAUAGGCAUGCAAGGUCACUGACAGACCAUUACCUUUGAUGUGGGUGUCCACUGGGUUACCACGGCACACCACCCGGGGUGAACCCCGAUCAUAUGCACGGAGGCCUAUGCCUCAACUUUACCACUGAUUACUACAGACAUAUAUGGAUGUUUAAACACUGCCUGUCAGUUUUACAUUAAAGCAACAGUACCAUGCCGGAUAUGAUUUGACGGCAGGAUCACUAAGGAAACUGAGGGUAUUACGGUGUAUCCUUCACAUGGAUACAUAUAUGUAUAUUUACUGUGCCUAGUGGACAUAUUGAACGUGGGUGUCCUCUGGGUAAUUUUUCAUGGCACACCACCUGGGGUGACCCCCAGAUAUGCAUGCAAGGCUUGUAAGGUGCUAAUAAUUAUAAUAUGGGUGUCCUCUGGGUUACCAUGGCACACCACCUGGGAUGAACCCAGCCGAAUAGACAUGGGUCCUGCGGCUGCAGACCUUAUGGAGACAGGCCCCACGCUCCUAUAUAAUAAGCCUGUAUAGUUAAAAACCGUGCAUACAGCUCUGGCGUACAUUUGUGGUGAACCCGGCUAGCCAGACCAACACCACUACCAGUUAAUCGCGCCUGCACCGCGGCUCUCAGUAGCCAGAUUAAACUAAUAGAGGUGACCCCUCUACACUUUGCACGAGUAUUCAUACUCUCAGACAAACUAAAGCGGGCAAUUCAAACCGUUUUACCUGAGUGAUCCCCAGUUCUACCAGGAGUCUUGCACCCCUACGUACUGACCCUCACACACUACUCCCACUGUCUCCCAUCAGGACAGAAACGAGUCAUGAUGGACACUCUCAACCUUCCCAAGAUUUCUAGGAAAUGAUAAACGCCGCAGUAGCGGCCUCAGUGGAGAAGGUUCUGUUAUGAGCUCUGCCCCACACUGCUUGAUGGAGACCUCAGGCCCACAAGCCUUCAAGUCAAAACGGCAAGGGAAGGGCUCCAGCCCCCCUGCCACUAAGGCCAAGGGCAAGACGCCCAUCGAACAGACCAAAUAGGUGGAGCACUGGGAAUCCAAACCCCGUCCGCCACAAUCUUCCGACAAAGAAGGCUAUUUCCCACCACGUACAUGGUAGAUGAGCGACACGAAGACAGCUCACCGUCUGAGGAAGUGGAACGGCAAGACCUACCCCACACUUCCUCGAAGUACAUUAGGGAAACCUUACUCUGUGACGGCGGGUGAGGCAGAGAUAGCAGUAGUGGCACUAAACCAGAGUAGCCGAAGACGGAACGUUCCUGGACGAACACUAUUGGCUGCGCAACCCUCUGGGGAUGGAAGUAUGCGCACGCCUCCAGACCGAAUACCCCAGACCACUGCUACCAGACAAAGUGGCAGUUGCGUCCAAGCUCAACAACACUGUGGUAGUCUUCAUUGCAUGCUCAGAACGAAACCCCGCAAUGGUGGGGAGUAUGGCCUGAGGUCGACACGCGAUAAAGUACUUGAUUUACCAGGCUUGAUUGCAAGAUACUCUAUUUUGCGGAUCUGGCACUCAACCAGGGUACACACCUCAACCCUACCACCUCCAGAGAAUGGGCUCGAUGCUCGAUAUGCCUCCUGGGCAAUGCAAAUGACGCACUAUGCGCCGACAGAUGCAAAUCUGUACUGGUCCGCAUCGAAAACACACUAUUGGACUUAGGAAUGACAAGAAUUCGGCCCAAAAGCACAAGGCCUACUAUUCAACGUAGUGUUCAUUGCAGUACUCAAGAAACACGUGUAUUAAUUCACACACUAAAUUAAACCCAGACCUCGCUAAAACAAGUCUUCCACACCCCUACGGGGAAAGGUGUUUUUGGGAGGGCUGGUCGGUAACGGAACCGAGCCACCAGCCGCUUCUGGGCGACAGGGUCCAGAUCGUAUACACAGUCCUCAUAUUUCUCCCAUCUACUACACUAAGGACCUCAUCCGCUUCAUCUACUAGUGAGUCAACCUACAUAACUAACUGUUUCCAAUUUUAUGACCGGCAACCUGUCUCUAUUUUACAGUUUUGGGAGACGACUACCAAAGUCACCUGGGUUCUCCAGACGAUACAAGACUAUGUCAUAUAGUUUUUUAUCACAGCCGUUCAGGUCACCCCUUCACCUCCAUUGUGCACGCUGGCGGAACAUCUCGUGGACAAGGAAAUCCACACCCUCUUCAAGAAGUGCGCAAUUCAACAUGCACCGGAGGCAGGGCCAGAUUAAGAGCCCAGUGGGCCUGGUGCUGACAAUUAUGACGGGCCUAAUUACAGAAUCAUAUCGACCAAAAACAGUAAAACACUCCCAAGUGUCAUGUAUCUGAUGGAGAUGGUGCUGGAGAGAAAGAAAACAGCAGCUAUAAGAAAACACAUACCCUAGGCUAAUCUCUCACUAAUUUAUGUUUUCAUCUUUCAAGUAAAUCCAUAACCCCUAACAGCAGUGUCCAGUCAAGCAAGAAGUCAAUGGGCACGGUAAAAGGGUGUGCCACUGACACAAAUCACGUAACCUGCCAAAAGGGGCGAACAUGCCCAAAAAGAGGACAUGUCUGCUCAAAGAAUUAGAAGGCCAGCCUGGCAUGAAUGCAUGUCAGGCUGCAUGCCAAUCAUGCAGCUGGCCAACUAAGGGCAUACUAUGCAGACAGCACCCUGAGCUUGGCAUAAAUGCAUCUAAUGAUGCGCUCGCUCAACGCUUUCUAAGGACUGUCCCCUAGCACUCGCUGGUCCACUUGUCUCCUUACCUUCUUACUAGCAGGCAGAAGCUCCUGGUAUAUAGUCUGGGACAGAGAAAAGCUGUAUGUAGUGAGUGUAGAAGAAAGGGAACAUGCCACAGUGUUAGAGAGACCAAAGUCACAUUACCUUAAAGGAUCACUAUAGGGUCAGGAACACAAACAUGAAUUCAUGACCCUAUAGUGUUAACACCACCAUCUAGCCCCCCUGGGCCCCUCAUGCCUCCAUAAAUAUAGCAAAAUCUUACUGUAUUCAAGCCUGAAGCUGUAACUCUGCAUGCUGUUAGACUCAGAAAAACAAGCAGUCUGCUGACAUCAUUAGAAGUGGUGGCCUAAUCCAAUCACAGUGCUUCACCAUAGGACUGGCUGAGGCUGACAAGGAGGCAGAUCAGGGGCAGAGCCAGCACGAUUCAAACACAGACACUAGAGACACUGGCUGGGUGACAUGGGGGCACUGGGAGACAUGGGGACAAGGAGACACCAGGGUCACAGACACUAGGGACACUAGCUUGGAGACAUGGGGACAUUGAGACACUUGAGGCACUGGGAGACAUGGAGGCACUGGGAGACAUGGGGACAGUGAGACACUGGCAGACUGGGGGCACUGGAAGACUAGGGGGCACUGAAACACCAGGGACACUGACUGGGAGACAUGGGGACACUGUGCCCCCAUGUGUCUGUGUCAUAAUGUCUCCCAAUGUCCCUUAGUGUCUCAGUGUCCCCAUGUCUCCUUGCAGCCUUUACCCCCAUCCCUUACUUCCCUGAGCUGUAGGCUGUCUCUGCAGGGUGGGAGUUGCUGUCUGGACUCUCUGUAGCUGCACCCCUGCAGAUCAGUGAGUAUAGAUAGGCAGGGAAGGAUAUGCUGGAACUUCCUAUCCCUGCCUGUCUUCACAUACAACGACCCCUACUGGCCAGUGCUGGUAUUGCAUAGUAAUCUUUAUCCUAAGAUUUAUACUAAGAAAAAUAUCAGCAUUUGUAUUGCCAGUAUCACUGUAAUAUUAGCACCAGCCAGGCAGCCUCAAAUACUGGCUGUGCCAAUAAAAUAAAAGCCAGGUAGAAUCCCUAAGAGUAGUGUGUGGGGGAAAAAAAAAAAUAUUUUUUUUUUUAUUUUUUUUUUAAUAAAUCAAUGGGCCUAUUCCAUGGGCCUGGGCCUGGAGCUGCAGCUCCAUCAGCCCCUAUGUUAAUCCGGCCCUGACCGGAGGGGAAGGCUUCCUCAGCAAAAUUUUUCCUGGUCAAGAAGAAGCCAGGAGACUACAUCAAUGGAACUCCUACGUGGUAUACAAAUGCUUCAAGUUGGAGGAAAUUCGUCUUCUACAGGACCUCCUAAGCGGUAACGACUGGUUUACACAUCUGGACCUCAAGGACGCACGCUUGUCAUUACCCGUUACCCUGGACUGCCGAAGCUUCCUCCGAUUCCAAUGGUGAGGACAAACAUGGCAGUUUUACGACUCCGUGGUGCUCGCGAAGCUACUGAAACCAGUGAGGGCACACAUCCGUAAAUUUGGGCGUGCAAUGCCUCGUAUACCCUGAAGAUUUGCUGACUCUUUACGAAUCCAGGCUACAUUUGCAGACAAUUUGUCGUUCACUUUCGGGACUCCAUGGGUUUUUUGUAGUACACAGACAAAAGAUCGCUUCUCCAUCUGAAUCGGGCCAGUUCCUCGGUUUCGACAUCGGCUUGGAGAACUACGUUCUGCGUCGAUCCACGGCAAAGAGCACCUCUAUAAGGAUAGCUGUCGGACACGCUCUAAGGUUGGAUGCGAUUCCUCUCAGGAUACUCGCCGGAUUGUGGGAUUCCUCUCCUCCUCUCCUCCUCCAUACAAGCGAUAUUCCCUGGCCCACUAAACUACAGGGCCAAUUAACGACGAGAUACGUACGCACCGGUCACUCAUACGACCACUGGAUACCACUGUCAGCAGAAGGGAGGACGGAAUUUCGAAGGUGAUUACUUCACAUACAAACUUGGAUUGGCAAAACGAUCUUUGACUCUUCCUUCGGAUACGAGGCGAUGGAUGAACCCCUACAAACGUGACCCAACCGUUCUCAAUAGCAAGGGUGCUUCGAUACACACGCACCCACAAGAUAUCGCUCCUGCUCAUGACACCCCUCGGACAGGGCCAACCGUGGUUUCCCGGAUCGCCUGGAGAUGUCUCGCGAAGACCCUCUACUACUCCCUACCUUCCCUCUACUUCCGACGGGACCUCGAGGGGAAGCCCACUCCCUUGUCAUGGAGGGACAACUUGCACUAGUUGCCUGGCCGAUUUCAGGGGCUCCUGGUCGGUUCACGACCUAUUGCAUCAACUGAGACCUCCUAUAGGACUCAUAGGCUCCAGGCACCAGGAAAGGCUAUGUUUCUGCCUGGUCGGCCUGGAGUGAUAGGUGUGUGGAAAGGGAGUCUGAUCCCUUUACCGCACCUGUCCUACUGAUACUCAACUAUCUGUCACACCUGGUCUCGUUGGGUUGGUCAUAUCGACCCCUCAACGUGAUCAGAUCCGCCAUAUUGGCGGCACACGUUCCGGUACAGGGCAGACCAGUAGGUCAAGAUACACUGGUUUGUUGACUACUACGGGGUGCCGAAUUGUCGAGACCCCGGCACCCAAGUAUUCACGCCUCUGGCAGGUGGAUGUGGUACUGAGAUUCCUUAGUGUAUGGCCGGACAAUCCUUGUUGGUCACUGGAAAAACUUUCAGCCAAACUAGCCCUCUUAUUAUGCCUCGUCUCAUUUAGACGGGUGGUGGACGUUAGGGUUUACGAUAUGGAUGGUUUCUCUCUCACCCAGACAGGUUACCUUUACCAUGUCGAGUCCGAUCCGUCUUCAGUGUCAUACCCAUACUUUGUGUCAGACGCCACACUAUGCGUGGUCAGAACGCUAAUGGGGUACACUGAUAUCUCUACCCCUUCGAACUCAUUCGACGGGUCACCUUCUGACUUCUCACGUGAACCCUCAUGGACCGGUGUCUACCGCAACACUGGCCAGAUGGGUCCGCUGGCUAUUGUCUUUAGCGGGCGUCGAACCUUGUUUUGGAGCCCACUAGGUCAGGGAGUGGCGGCCUCACAAACCUUUUCGGCCGACGCUUCCCUAGCUGACAUUAUACGCUGCGUGGACUGAGCGCGAGAGAGUACGUCUAGAACGUUCUAUUUCGACAAACAUCUCAUGCUUCCUUCACAUUGGUCAAUUCAAAGCUUUAAAAAUGCAAAUAUGAAGCCUCCUGUCAUGUGGUAAAAUUGAAGAUUAUAUUAGCUUUAGUGUACUAAUAAUCUUAAUUUUAGUAAUGACAGGAGGCGAAUAUUUCCCACCCUAUAGGAUCCCUCCCAUGUUUCUCGUGUUGAACAGAAUAUGUCCUUUAUGUUGAGGAAGGUAAGUACGUAUGGUUUGUAUGUUUGCUACUUAGACCUGUAUCUUGUGGAUCUUGGAUAGGUUGAAUAUUAGACAUGAACCUUGCAUUAUGUUGUGUUUAUAGAUUCUUAAAUAUCAUUGCUUUAGAAUAAAUAUACAUUGAUAUGUUUCACAUUCUAAUGUUUGUUGGUAUAUCAGAUGCUUAAUGCUUAUUGUAUGCGGAAAAGUUAUCACGCCAGAGACCUUUCACCUUUUUCUUUUCUUGCAGCGUGAACGUCUUCUCAUCGAGACAAAGAUUCACCUUCCAUACCUCUGCAUCACGGAACUAAUGGAGUUGGAUAUUCUAAUAUGUUGUUGAACUGUUGACGUAAUAUGAUUAUGUCUCUUGUUGUUAUUUAUUGUUUCGCUUCAAAGAAAGAGGAAGUGAUGUCAUAGACAGGGCCUCUUAUGGGCACCAUAUCUUUUCUCUGAUUGGUUGUUACUGUUUCUAUGCUGCUGGAGUUUUCAGUAAAGAAAGAUAUGCAAAUAUUCGCCUCCUGUCAUUACUAAAAUUAAGAUUAUUAGUACACUAAAGCUAAUAUAAUCUUCAAUUAUAUUUUAGUUUGAUCAAUUGUUUUUAGUAAGUUUCCUAAAAUUUCUCAGAGCAGCCUGCCCUUGUCCAAGCCCCUACUCACACCCCUCAAAUUAUAGUGACACUCUUUGUCCAUUUUAAAUAGUGGAAGGUAUGAAGUAGGGUUAAGAUGCAGAAUUAUGUAAAACAUGUCUUUUGCAAAAAAUAAUACACACACACAUAUAUAUACAAAAUUGAGCAUGCAAAAUACAUAGAUAAUUACUUAGCCCUGAAAGCAAUAACUUCAUAAAAAUUGUGUAUUGCUACCUAGCAUGUCUGUUUACUGAUAAUUCAAGUAAUUUUAUGCACAAGUGAAAGAGAAAAGGUUGCAAUUUAGGAGUAAGCUGUUUUCUCCAAUCAGAUUCUCUUAAAGUACAAAUCUCAUCAGGAGCAGAACUUAUGAAUUAUAUCUUAAAUGAACUUGGCUCAUAGAGGUAGCCUUCCCCAGGUAGUAUAAAAAAUGCCAUGUAUUGGUCCUACAGAAUAGGUUUUCCUUAGUCCCUGUAGAUUGUUUUAAAGCUUUCUUAAUCCUACUUAAAGUAGUAAACUGUAGAAAUUUGAAAGCUCUGCACUCCAUCAUGGUAACUAGUAUGAGGAUAACCUUUUGUGUUGAAAGUUUUAAAUAAACAUUAUGUUUUACAGAGUAUCAGAUAUGGCUCAGAUCCAGAAUAUGAAAGGAAAGGCUUGGAAGAGAAAAAGGGGAUGUCAAAGGACCAUUAUGAUAAGACUUUUCAAAUCAAACAUAGAACCAAGAGGAAGCACUCAAGUAAACAUGCCUACAUAAAAUAAAUGCUGCUAGGACCAACUGCAGUGAAGUAGUGUACCAACGAAGAGGGGGACAUUCUGUCCCAUGUUACAGAUGGGAAUUGGUCCACAGAUCAGCUCCCGCCUGUCAAUUCUUGUAGCUUGGCCUUGUGGACCUUCUGUGGAUGAUCUUCAUUAUCCUCUGCCUAGUGUGACAGGGAGCUGCAAGUAGUGUGCAGAGAUAUGAAUGAACAUUGUGAAGAAAAUAGACUUAUUUUUGGCAUUUUAUUCUUUUAUUCGUGACUUUCCGCUGUAUUUGUUUAUUUGGGAUUUAUUGGUUCAGUAGAUUAAACUUCAGCACAUCGACCACCCUCCUGGCUCAUUACCGUCAAAGGGAACCUUCUAUUAAGCGUUCUCUGUGCGGCCGACGUUCGUAUAUGUGAAUGCCACGUGGAAGAGAAAAUGCUGGCCAUCUUGUUUGCACGAAAGGAGGAAGCGGGACUUGGUCGUCGAGUGUCUGGAACCAAAAUCGGACACGACUUAGAACCACCGCUGAAACAUACAAAUGCCUACUUCCUUUUGUUGCCGAACAGCUAGGAGAGCGCCAUUCGGUAGUUUGGUUCAUACGAAUACGGGAAGCAAUCGCUCCUAUGAGCCAGGAGGCUCCGUUCGUGCUUUUAUUCAUUUUUAUGCUGUUCUCUGAAUUGACCGACCGCACACACUGAAUUCGUGGAACUGUUUUGGGCAGGAGCUCGUGUGCGGUCAGUGAACUAAGACUUCCACACUUUUUGAGAACCCCUAAACCGAUCUGGGUGGAAUUUGAAUAUGUUGGUCUCCAGAUAUGGGCUAUCAGUGGACAUUUGUGGGGAUACCUUGUGUAUAAAGGGGUGUUCCAAGUUUUGGGGAAAUUGUGUGUCCUCUGCCUGGAGAUAAUUGGGUUAUUCCUUAACUUAUCUCAGAAUCUCCCAGGCAGAGGAAAGGAGGGUUUUACUGUAAAACUGUAUAAUGAAUGGUUGUUCCUUUUGUUUAUUGUAGGAGGUCCUCUGGCAGGAGGAUUUCCAUAAAAGCCAGUGUGGCGUCGAUAAAGAUCAUUCCUGUUGUACACUUCAUGAAGUCUAGGCUCAUGCUUGGGAAAUAUUUUAUUUGCUGGGGAGAAUCGUCUUGGAAGCUGCAUUCAUCUACCCUAUUCCUCUACACCCUAACUGCCGUUAUAAUCACUUAUGCUCAGCUAUUGGGAAAGGAAUAGAAGACCUCAGUACCACAACCACUGAAGGUCUUAACAAACAUUAUAUCCCCAGCCGGUCCACUCUGAUCCCUGCUUGGAGCUUCCUGUCAGACUAGGCAAAGGAUAAUAAUAAUCAAAAUAAAAACCAAGUCCAAUCACAAUGUACUCACAGUGUGGGCUUUUCAGAAUGACAGAAAUCUCCCUGUCCUGCCAAAAACAGUCAGUAGACGGCCGCAGAAGGAGCUGGGAAGGCAGCCGCAGAAGGAGCUGGGCCCUGGAUAUAGCUGUGAACAAUUUCAGGAUUAUUAUUACAGCAGCUCACAUCAAGUUUACAAGAUAAACCAGACCACAGAAAAUAGAUACUGAACAUUCCUCAACAUGUUGGAGAUGUGGCCUACAUGAAGGCACACAGAAGCAUAUCUGUUGGUCAGUCAUAUUAGUAAAUAAAACCUGGAACAAGAUUUUCAGUUUAAUAUCAGAUAUGCUGAAAACUAUGCUCCCUUUUUCUCUGAAAGGAGCCAUUCUUUACUUACAUUUAGAUAGUAUGAAUAAAAAUGUAGCAAAUCUAAUUAUUUAGAUACUUAUGGCCAUGAAACGAUUGGCCAAUGGUAAUGAACCAAGAAAACUUCCAACUUAAAUAGGAGAAGGCCUUUUUUUCUACUUUUAAAAUAUAUAGUUCUUUUCUUGAGAUAUGGAAACCCUAUAUAAAUAAAUUCGCAAACUUUGAGUAAUGUAUGAUUCCUUCUUUUUUUUUUUUCUCUUUUUAAUGAAACUGAAUAGGCCUGGCACACAUCACCAUCACGCAAACUUGUAUUGUCUAAAUGUAUGUGUAUGAAAAUACUACGCAAUUUAAAGUAAUUACUAACGGCAAUUGUUUGUAAAUCUAUGAUUAUUUAUUGUUCACCUUUACGCAAACUAUGCAUUGUAAAAGCUAUUUGUAUAUUCUUAAGGCAAACUCUCAAUUGCAUAGAUAUAUGCCUUCAGUAAUUUGGUAUGUAAUUGUUUAUUGUUUGUAUUGGGGGGAAAAAAUAAAAAAAAUUCAUCAGAAGUUUACAAGAUAAACCACUAAAAUGCAAUGUGCAUGUAAAAAAACAAACAAUAAACAAAACAAAAUAAAAUGCUAUAAACUUUGAAAUAAAUUGUUCCUAAAUGGCUGUAGAAUAAGGCUCAAAAUAUACCCAAUGACAUAAGAGGCUCGGCAUCCGGCAGGACCAAGAUUAGAUGGCAAACCAUUGCAAAACGGCACUCCAGCCCACUAUGAUGUUUUAAAAAUAUUGCCAUUUAGAGCAUAAAUAUUAUUUAUUUAUAAAAUAUUUUAUCAGGAUGGAUACAUUGAGAUUUCUCUAAUUUUCAAGUAUGUCCUGGGCCCACAAACAUUGCAUUGUUACAAUAGGAUACAAUAUAAAACACAAAAUAUACAAACUAUAUAUAUAGUAUGCUAUAAAUAUAGAAUGCUAAAUAUCGUGCUGGUACUGGAUCGGAGGUUAUAGGAGGUGGGAACAGCUGGGGAGAGCAUUCUACUCAGAUAGGGUGGGAGCUUCCCAGAAAUGCUGUUAUGCACCGGGCUGGAAAGAUGAAGAGUGCGUCGGGAUUCCAGUGACAACCAGUUUAGCUCUUUUAACAUGUCACAGUGGUGGGUAAAGUAAUUACAUUAUAGUACAAAGCGGCAGAACAAAUGAUAUAACGUAUUAAGUUUAUUAAGGUGGAUUUGCGGUGCGGAUGCAUACACUACAUCCCCAUAAUCAAUGACCGGCAUUAGCAUUUAUUGCACUACCUGUUUCCUUACUGUAGGGCUUAGGCAGGAUUUGUUUCUGUACAGGGCACCUAGCUUUAGGUAAAGUUUUGAAGAGUUUUUUUCAAUGUGAAGGCCAAAGGAUAGAUUGGGGUCUAGCAACAUACCUAGAUAUUUAAAAGAGCAAACUGCUGUCAGUGUACUAUUUGAAUUUGUUCUGAUGCACAGUUGUUGAUUUUGUAGUUUAUGUAAUUUGGGUACAGUUCCAGAGAUCAUUGUAACGGUUUUGUCAGUGUUUAGAAAGAGUCCGCUAUCCACUUUUAUACCUCUGUGAAUUGGUUUUGGAGCACAGCCUUAAGCUGCGGUAGCUUGAGUUUUCUAGUGUAGAUUACAGUGUCGUCUGCAUACAUGUUGUGACGGACGAAUACUAGCGUUGUCCUCAAUUAUAAAAUCCAUAACGAUUACAGUGUCUGCAGGAUGCUUCUAUACUCACUAGGUAGCCAUCCCACUGCUGCCACCAGAUGUCACGGACCGCCUGGCACCCCGAUUGGGUGCCUCCGCCAAUCGCUGCUUCCUUGCUGUCGCCGAGUACCAUUAGCACCGCACCGGACACCAUAAGCACCGUAGCCCCUUAGCCCCCGGAGCUUGGCUGGGGUCUCGUCGUCCAGUCUCACCCUGGAUCAAACUCCUGGAUCCAGCUCCCAGUGAGAAGACCUCUCCUCCAAGAGAGUACAGCAGGUAGAGCAGUGUAGCUCUUACAAGAGCUAGUGAUUAUAGCAAUCCAAAGAAAAAUCCCAGGAGCAGGGAUUAUAGCUGGUAUAGCUUUCCCCUACACGCAUGAGUCAAGGCUCUGUGGUGAGGGUAAACUGGAACUCGUUUAUUGGUAGCCACAACUAGCCUAAUAUGCAGGUCCCCAUGCAAGGGGCACUCCCCCCUGGACCUAUAGUAAAAACAUACACCAGAUUACAUUGGCUCUCAGGUCCAGGACACUCCCCAUUAAAGAAGAUAAUCCCUCCUCUGUGCCUGGGAGAUAAUCAAGUCAAGCACUGUGUUAUUAUCUCCAGGCACAGAAAACAUACAUUUCCACAAAACCCCAAAAAUACCUUCAAACACACAAACCCCCACCCCCCUAUCAGCUACAUCCCCUGAUAGCCCCGAUCUAGGUGACCAACAUAUCCAAAAAUCACCCAGAUCGAUUCAGGAAUUUCAUAAUUUAAUUUCCCCUAGCCUGGAAAUAGUUCCAUAGAAUCGCGGCUAAGUGCCGCUGGGGACCGACCGGGAACCGCGAAGUCUUCAUGCCGAAAAUAGUUCCAUAGAAUCGCGGCUAAGUCCCCCUGAAGCUUAUUCACAGUUUUGGUUCAAUGCGAACGGCAGCCAGGGAGCUAGUGUUCGGUUCUAUGCGCACAAAUUGAAAGUGCUGAACCAAGGGGAAUAAAAUAUGGGUCUGUACAGUCGCUGACCUGGCCCAUAGUCUUUUGGCAGGAAGCUGGCAAGCAGGCCCCUCCAAGAACAUGUAACAGAGGCAUUUCUGCCACACAUGUGUACAGUUGAGGAUUUACAGACGUUAGGCAGAUCAUUUAUAAAUAAUGUGAAUAGCAGGGGAUAUGGAGCUUUGGUGAACACCAUACGUGACUGGAAGAGGGAGGUAAGCGCUAUCAGAAAUGGCCACAUAUUGCAAUUGGUCUGACACAUAUGAUUGAAACCGUGUUAGCAGACGAUCACCAAUGCCUGCGUUUUUAGGUUUUUACAAAAGAAUGCCAUGCUCUUCUGUGUCAAAGGCCUUGGCAAAAUCAAGGAAAAUAGCUCCAAUUAAGUCUCAUUGUUCCAUGCAAAUUUGGAUGUCAUUGCAAACUUUAAGAGGGCAGUCGAAGUUGAGUGAUUUUGACAAAAGCCUGAUUGAUCAGGGGUCAGAUAGUUUGAUUGUUGAUAAUUGUGACGGUAACCCCUGAGUAGUCGGGGUAUUUACCGCCUAGAUGUCGUUUUACCCACUCUGGAAGGGCACUGUGGAGUCCCAAUACAACAUCCUAGUAUACUGCUAUGAUAAGCAAGUUUCGUAGAGCUCUGAGAAGAGCUAGUGAUUACAGCAGGUAAAGCAUUUCCCUAGAGCACGAGACGAGGCUGUGAGCAGAGGGUAAGAAGAUCUGAGAGUUUAAUGGGUCAGGUUGGAUUUUUUUACAAUUCCUCAGGCGAGGGGAACACCCACUGAACCUGAUGGAGCACCGAAUUACAAGAUGUGCAAACCAAUAAAAACAAUGUACAAUGUCUGACACUCCCACAUACAGCACACAAUCCCUCCCCUCUGCUUGGAAGAUAAUUGAGCAAGAUAAUUAACUCAAUUAUCCCCAAGCAGAAAAAACUAAUUUUUGCAAAGUACAAAAAACACCCCAAAACAUGACAUUUCCCCAUGUUAUAUCCCCUGAUAGCCCUGGUCUGGGUGACCAACAUAUCCAAAAAUCACCCAGAUCAGAGCAGGGGUUCAGAAAAUUCCUGGAAGUCCCUUUUGACCGACUGCACACAUGGCUUCAUGCCCAAAAAAGUUCCAGAGAAUUAGGUUGUGCGGUCGAUCUUUUUUCAAUAAUUAAAAUGCACUUUGAAUAUUCGAACGAGACCGUUCGUGCACAAAGUCAGGGUUGAAGUGCGUUUGGUAGAUUACUUUUACGGAACGGCACUCACUUUGUUGGGAUUUAGUGGAAGUUAGCUGGGGGUUGAAGUUCUAGCGGUGUUCGUGCCGUUGAGUGUCCAAUUUUAGUUCCAUGCACUUGAAGACAAAAUACCGCUGGCAGCGUUCGACUAAAUAAGAUGGUCGCCACCACCUAUUCGGCUAUACGAAUGGCGACCACCCAGCCUUUUGUUGAUUAAGCUGCGUUUAACCACAACUUCUGGGAGGUUAACAAGCAGCACACUUCCAAUUAUGGAUGGUCCAGUACUUCGGCUGUUCAACAGUUUGAAGUGCCAUUUCAAAUCACUUCGAAAGGUCAAAGUGGUAAAAGUCCCAGCAGGCAGAAAUAAUGUCCUAGAAUCAAAAAAGUCACAGGGGCCAUAGUUCCAAGGUAAAAGACUGGCGAUUAGUCCUCUCCAUAACCCAGUGGCGAAGUGGCCUUUAUUACACAGCAAAGGGGAAACACUAUAACCACUGCAGGAAAGGGGAAACACCAUAACCUUUGGGAAAACAGAGGACUCCUGUUACAAUAAUAUUCACAUAGUUGCGUGUGGACGCAUUUUUCCAAGAUUUUUUACAAUACAGGGAGCAAUGAUAUCGGGCGAUAGUUAGAAACCAAAGUAUUGUCACCUCUUUUAUGGAUAGGCACUACUAUAGGAUAAAUACAUAGCAUAAACCUAUCCCAUAACUAAAAAACAUUGCUGUAAUGGCAAGCUAAUGCAAUGUAUGACCAUUUAAUAAAUCCUCAUGAUGAUUUUAAGAUACCUGUAUAUCGUUUAUAUUGUUUAAGAUAUAUUGUUUUAUAACCUAAAGCUAAAUUUAAAUGGAGGAGUAUGACAGUACUUGGUGUACUUUAAGUCUUCCCCCCGUUGGAGAGAAAAGGCACUAUAUAAAAAUACAUAAUUAGUAUAUAUAUAUAUAUAUGACUAUGUAAAUAUAUAAAUGUGGUUAGAUGGAAAAACCUAUUUAGGCAAUUUAUACUAUACUAUGUUUUAUAAACUGAUUCCACCAUGUAUUGUUUGAUAAGUAAAUCCACAAGAAAAUAUUAAGACAAUUACAGUAAACCUCAAAAAAUAUAUACACUUUCAAAAAUGUGGAAAUCAUAAUAAAAUGGCAAUAACAAAAAAAAGCUGAUUUCUACCAAUACGCAUCGCACCCAUCACCGUUAGAUGAGACCAGUUAAGACCCUGACACUGAAAAGGUGAAAACUGCAUAUAUCACUCAUUUAACAUAGAAAUGAAUGGAGGCGAAUUAGAUUGGAUACAGUGCUGGUGUGUUGUAUGAUAUUAAAAAAAAAAAAAAAAAAAUCAAAAAACAAAAUCACUGAAAUAUAGGCUUGAUGUCCUAUUUCAAAUCAUCCUUGUGUUAAGAUUGCUAGUUUUGUCUUUGUAUAGCCUGACAAUCCAUGCAUGUUAUGUUAGAUUGUAAAACCUAUUACUUUUUCAUUUUGCUUGUGUGUGUAACUUUAAGUACAUCAAUUCUUAAAGUGGAUCUUAUAUGGAUACGACCUGUCAUUCACAUAAAACACAUAUCUAGACAUUCAAUGUUAGUGAAUUGCUGAAACUCUAGGAAGAGCCUGUUACGGACCUGCAAGGUUAUUUAUCUGGGUUAUCUAAUAUACCGCUGGAUUACAAGAGCGUAUCGUACUGGAUACAAAAGAUUGACACUUUCAUUACCAGAAAAUCCGUGCAUUCCUUGUAUACUGAAGUAUUUUACAAUCUACAAGAGCAAGGCUGUGUUUCUUGGGACACGAUAAGGGCUUCUGGGGAUAAAUAUCCAAAGCUGGAUUUAAUUAUCUACAGUGCCAGACUCCAGAAAGUUGUCAUAUUCAUACGUUUCUAAAGCUGGCUGUGCAACUACAGGGUGAAAGUGAGAAUAUGGCAAUUGAAGUUUACAUUUUUCAGAGCUUUUUUUUUUUGCAGACUUUAGCUUCUUUGGUUGUUAUGUUGUCCAACUGCACCCCAGGAAUAAGCCUCCCUGAUUGAAAAUUGAGUAAGUGUAAAGGGAAACAGAGAAAGAUAGAAAGAAACAUUUUGCGAAAGAGGGGGUUUGUCUGGAAGAUGAGAAGGAGGGAAAUAGAAAUGGGCACCAAUAAAAGUAAAAAAUAAAAUAAAAAAAAUAAAAAAUAAAAAAAAGAGUUCUGGUAGUGCAGGGGGGAACAAGAAGUAGAUACCCAACUGCUGCCGAACUCCAUUAAGGUUUUCCAAGCAUUAUGCUGGCAAAGCAGAAUGGGAGAUGUAGUUUUGCAACAGCUUCAGGCCAUUGCUUUGAGAUAACUUUUGAAAAAGAGCAAUGGAAAAUACUGGCUGGUAGUAGAGGCAAUAUUCACCAUUUAUUCCUAGAGAAAUAUUUUACACGAGUUAAAAGACACCAUAUAGAAAAUGCUGCCCUGUGCUAUGUAGUCGUCACAUUCUGCAGGAGGGUAAUCGGUAAAUGAAUUUCCUUGGUGAUCUUGCUUUGAAUAAUGGAUUGAUUUGCAUCUUACAGCUUAUGAAUUCUAUGUACUGCAGGGCAUCAUUUUUCAUAUGCUGUCCUUCAGCAUGAGAUAAAAUAUUUGUCCAAGGAAACUUGGUGGGUCUGGAAACCCUGGUGGUUUAACAGGGAAGUUAGAAAGGCUUAAGGAGAGAGAAAAAUUGAGCAUGUUUAGAAUGUGUUUGCUGACAUUUCUCUCGAUUUCUAAUGUGAAUAACUUAAAGGGGAGUUGUCAAUUCACAGGAUCUUUAAUAUUAUGUUUACUAAUCCACUAUAUUUAACAAAUAUGUGUUUGUGAGAUUUUUGUUCCACCUCCUCAUUUGUCAGGUAUGCCUUAGCUGUGCCUCGACUCAAUUGCUAACUCCUUCCGCCCCUUUCUUACACAAAAUGCUACUAGGGAGCUUGUCCAUGCUCAAGUAAUUUCCUAAAUGAAUUAUUGUAACCCUCUCCUAAUUGAUCUUCCCAAAAGCUGUAUUACACCACUACAGUCUGUAAUAAAUGCUGCCGCCAGACUGAUUUUCCUCUCUAGUCGGUCCUCUCACACCUCACCCCUCUGUCAGUCCUUACAUUGGGAGUCAAUUCAUAUAGGAGUCAUAUAGGAGUCAAUUCAAAGUGCUAACCCAUACCUAUAAAGCACUGAACAAUUCCAGCCCCUCUUAUAUCUCCUCACAGAUCCAGAGGUAUGCCCCUUCUCGGUCUCGCCGCUCUGCCUGUGACCUUCUCCUGUCCGCUGCUCGCACCCGUGCGGCCAACUAACGCUUGCAAGACUUAUCGUGGGCGGCUCCCUUCCUAUGAAAUAGCCUGUCUACCCCCAUCAGACUCUCCCCUAGUCUUCAAUCCUUUAAGAAGUACCUUAAAACCCAUCUCUUUAGGAAAACUUAUGGCCUCCCAGAGUAACCUCUACUCCACAUACAUGUCUCUUGCUCUCUCCUACAGGGCAGUACUUUACUCUCUUCUCCAGCCCUGCUUCACUCCCACCUUAUUUGAUUUAUAUUUCCUGUCCUAAUGUGUUUUAUACCCCACCUCCUAUAGAUUGUAAGCUUGUUUGAGCAGGGUCCUCUUCAACCAUCAGACAUCAGACUCUCCCCUAGUCUGCAAUCGUUUAAGAAGUGCCUCGAAAUCCAUCUCUUUAGGAAACCUUAUGGCCUCCUAGAGUAACCUCUACCUCACAUACCGGUCCCUUGCUCUCUCCUACAGGGCAGCACUUUACUCUCUCCUCUAGCUCUGCUGCACUCCCACCUUGUUUGAUUGCUACCUCCUGUCCUCAUAUGUUUUAUACCCUACCUCCUAUAGACUGUAAGCUCGUUUGAGCAGGGUCCUCUUUAAUCUAUUGUUUCUGUAAGUUUUCUUGUAAUUGUCCUAUUUAUAGUUAAAUCCCCCUCUUAUAAUAUUGUAAAGCACUACUGAAUCUGUUGGCGUAAUAAUAAUAAUAAUAAUAUACAUAUUAAAUAAAAUGGAGAAUUGUAUGAAUAAAAGUUUACAGAAUUUAUAGGUGAUUUUCAUUGUUCUAUUCAAUGGUGAGAUUUCCAGCAAAGAGACAGUUCAUUUUUUAAUGAGUGUAUCUUGUACUUUAUAAAAAAAAAAAAAAAAAUUGCAAAAAAAGUUGUAAUCACAAAGUUCCAUGUAUAUAUAUACAGACCUACUGAUCUAUAGGUUCUGGGGAAGAUUUAUGGCCAUUUAUGACUAACCAGACACAAAUUCAAUGAGGAUAUGUUGGAACUCUUGUUGAAGCAAUGUUCCAGCUAUUAAAUGCUAAAUUAAAAACCAGUGGUUUUGUACACAUGGAGUGCAUUCAUUGACCUGUGCUCCGAGAAGCAGGAUGUGGUCCACUGCAAUAAGUUGAAAAAGGAAGCAGACGAGAGGUCAGUAGUGGGCACUUAGAAGACUGAGAAUUGGUGGUUUAUGAGAAACAAAUAGACUGGAGAGGCCCAGGGCAAACAGACUUUUUCUUAAACUUCAAAGGGUUUCCUCUCCUUUGCUUUUUUUAAAUUUAAGAUAACAUGUACCAGUAAGCAGUAUAGGCACAGUGACUGACAUGGGAAGGAUUAAGGAUAAGGGGGAUGCUUGUCUGGAUGUAAGAAGAUGCUUUAUUUUAACAUUUCGAGUGGCUGAAGAAUUUUAUGUUAUUUUAAAGUGGGGCUUUCUCUUAGACCAAACGUACAGGGUUAUUUACUAUAGUGAGAAUUCAAAAAGAAUUUCACAUUUAAGGUCAGAGUAGCUGAUUUGAAAGCAAAGCUGCCAUAGAGAAUUUUUACAGUUUGGCUAAUUUUCACUUUCAAUAACAUUGAUAGUGUACAUUGACUGAGUGCAGAAAGGACCUUACAAUGGACUCUUGGUUAGGGUCAGAAUGAGAAUUAAAAAGAGCCAUUGAAAAUGUAUUAGACAAGCUCCAUAAAGCACUGCGUUAAAAUAGUGUGCAGUUGAACAGGUGGAAAAAAGCUGAAUAUCUUAAUAUCCAUAGCACUUUAAAAUAAACAAAUAUACCCACUGACAGAUACACUCACAGACAUAUAUUCACUGGCACACAAUGUCUCACUGACAGAUAUACCCACACAUCCAUAUAUUCACUGGCACACACUGUCUCACUGACAGAUACACUCACAGACACAUAUAUUCACUGGCACACACUGUCUCACUGACAGAUACAUUCACAGACACAUAUAUUCACCAGCACACACUGUCUGACAGAUACACUCACAGACAAAUAUUUUCACUGACACACACUGUCUCACUGACAGAUACAUUCACAGACACAUAUAUUCAGCAGCACACACUGUCUUACUGACAGAUACACUCACAGACACAUAUUCACUGGCACACUGUCUCACUGACAGAUACAUUCACAGACACAUAUAUUCACUGGCACACACUGUCUGACAGAUACACUCACAGACAAAUAUUUUCACUGACACACACUGUCUCACUGACACACACUGCAUACUCUCCGGGAGUGCAUUGUACACUGUGUGUUGGGUUGCAGUCUGUCCCCUUAUUCCUCAAUAACCACAGUCCAACAGUCUGUGCAAACAGAUUAAUACGUUUGUCUUGUUUUGGGGGAUUUCUAAUAUGCCUAUGAUUUACACAUAUUUUCAUAGUUACAGGUCACAAAAACACAGUACUGGAGACCGUAUCUCCAGAAGGAUAUUGAUACUUUGGAGAGAGUUCAGAGAAGGGCUACUAAACUGGUUCAUGGAUUGCAGGAUAAAACUUACCAGAAAAGGUUAAAUGAUCUUAAAUGUAUAGCUUGGAGGAAAGACGAGACAGGGGGGGGGAUAGGAUAAAAACAUUUAAAUACAUAAAGGGAAUCAACACAGUAAAGGAGGAGACUAUAUUUAAAAGAAGAAAAGCUACCAAAACAAGAGGACAUAGGCUUAAAUUAGAGGGACAAAGGUUUCAAAAUAAUAUCCGGAAGUAUUACUUGACUGAGAGGAUGGUGGACGCAUUGAAUAGCCUUCCAACUAAAGUGGUAGAGGUUAACACAGUGAGGGAGUUUAAGACUUAAGAUAAGGCCAGGGACUAAUGAACGUAUUUAGAAAAUUGGGCAGACUAGAUGGGCUAAACCAGUAAUGGCUAACCUUGACACCAUAAAUUUCCAACUACAUUUCCCAUGAUGCUCGGCUAGCUUUUAGACUCUAAAAGCUAGCCGAGCAUCAUGGGAAAUGUAGUCAAGGUUAUCCAUCACCUGGCUAAACGCCUCUUAUCUGCCAUCAAAUUAACGGUUUCUAUAUUCCAAAUUCAUACCCUUAAAAAAAAAAAAAUAUAUAUAUAUAUAUAUAUAUGAUAUUUGGGUUUCUAACAGACUUGUGCAUUCGGUUUCUGCUGACUGCAAUUCUUCAGAAUUUAGGUUUGAAUUCCGUAUCUCCGAAGCACUAUAUGGACGUAUAAACAUGAAAACGUCUAGCUCAAUGGAUGAGCAUGUUUGUUUGCUUUGGGAUUCGGCCAAUAGAAAACAGAAAUUUGUACUUACCGUAAAUUCUUUUUUUCUUAAUAUGGUGGCAGUAACUGAAGGGUUAUACUUCUCCCUGUGGAGAAGACAUCUUAGCAACUAAAAACAAAAAGGAUCCUUCCCCUUUCCCUAUAAAGUAUUGUACCUCUUAGACAUUCCCCAGUACGUGACAAGAAAGACAAUACAGCCCAAAUUCUACUGCAAAAAAUAUUUUAAUAGAAAAAAGGGGGGGAAGUAGUACUGCCACCAUAUUAAGAAAAAAAAUAUGGAAGAACUUCAUCUGGGCAGGAUUUAGGCCACUACUGCUUGCAACACCUUACCCCGAAAGUUGCUUCAGAGACAGAGUAUAUGUCUAGCUGAUAGUGCUUGAUAAAAGUGUUGAGCGAUGACCAGCAUGCUGCAGCAUGCUGCUUUGCAGAUGACCUCUGGUGAUGCAUGGACUUCUCUGCCCAUGAGGUAGCCAUAGCUCGAGUUGAAUGGGCCGUCAUUGUAGUUGGAGACUGAAGACCAGCCGAAGAAUAUGCCAAUUGUAUAGCCUGAAUGAGCCAAGGGGACAAGGUACCACGGGAAGCAACCAUGCCCUUGAGGUGCCCCUGAAAAUGAAUGAAGAAAUGAUCUGAUUUCCUGAAUUCUUUUGUUCUUGUUAAAUAAACAAACAAUGCUCUUCUGACGUCCAAUUUCUGCCAUCUGCGCUCUUGAGGAGAUGAAGCAUUGUUAUAAAAUGAAGGUAAAAUGAUUGGCUGAUUAACCGUCUUAGAAGAUAAUACUUUUGGUAGAAAGGACGGUCUAGGAUAAAGAACCACCUUGUCAUUGUGAAAAAUGGUGAACUCAUCCGAGGAAGAAAGGGCGUGAAGUUCUCCCACUCUUUUUGCUGAGGUAAUUGCUACCAGGAACAAAACCUUGAGCGACAAAAUUUUUAAUGGAACUUCUUCUAAAGGUUCAAAGGGAUGAACACUAAGAGAUUGUAGGAACAGGGUUAAAUCCCAUGUUGGAAACCUAGAUCAUUUAGGAGGUCGUUUGAGACUGAUGGAUCUAAAAAAUCGUCUGAUGAAGACAUUGGUAGCCAGAUUUUUAAUUAGAAAGAAACUUAAGGUUGAUAUCUGCACCUUGAGCGUGGAGACACUCAAACCAGCUAAAAACCCAUCUUGUAAAAAAAUGGAGAAUGUUAUCUAUAGAUGGAUGCAAAACUGGGCACUGGUGUUCCUUACUCCAGUGAAGAAAUUUAGACCAAAUCCUAAAGUAAAUCUUAGAAGUAGAUUUUCUAGUCGCGUGGAGUAAAAAUGCUAUUCUGUCUUCUUGUAAACCUUGGUUUUUAAGGAUUAGCCUUGCAGUAGCCAAGCUGUCAACCUGAAAGUUUCUAGGAUUUUCAAGGGUAGGUCCCGGUUCACAAUAAGCAGGUUUGAUCUUGGAAGUUCCCAAUAAUUGAUGGUCAUUUCCUUUACGGCCGCAAACCAGACUCUGUUUGGCCAGUAUGGGAUUAUCGCUAUUACCCUCGCUCUAUCUGUUCUUAUCUUGGAAAGGACCCAUGGGAUUAAGGGCAGGGGUGGAAAGACAUAAACUAGUCGGAAGUUCCACUCUAUUGACAAAGCGUCUAUCCAAUUGGGCCGAUCCGUUCUGCAUAGAGAGGCGAAAUUGUGAACCUUUUUGUUUGAGGCUCUUGCCAUCAAGUCUACUUCUGGAAGACCGAACAUUUCUGUCAGGUAACUGAAGAUUUCCGGGUUCAAGGACCAUUCUUUUUGGUCCCACUUUCCUCUGCUCAGAUCGUCGGCUAUUAUAUUGUUGCUGCCUCUUAUGUGAACCGCUUUGAUAUCUUCCAGGUUUUUUGUGACCAUUCCAUAAUAUCUGCACAAAGACCGAAAAGCUUCCUUACUUUGGUUCCUCCCUGAAGAUUGAUAUAUGAGACUACUGUGCGAUUGUCCGAUUGUAUCAUCACUGCUUUUUGUAGUAUCCAAGGCCUGAGGUGAAGUAGUGCGUAAAGUACUGCUAACAAUUCCUUGAAAUUUGCGGAUUCUUUGGCUUCCUCUGACGACCAUCUUCCUUGGAACAUGGUGGAGCCUAAGUGAGCUCCCCAGCCUGUGCUUGAGGCGUCUGUAGUGACUACCAUCUAAUCCUUUGGCCGAAACGAUAAUCCUCCUAAAAGGCAUUCUGAUAUUUUCCACCAGGUAAGCUGAUUUUUUACAUGAGGUGACAGCCUGAAGAUUUCGUCUAAAUCUUCCUCCUUUUUUGAACAGGCAGUGAGGAUAUUCCAUUGUAACGGUCUGACCUCCAACCUUGCCCAUUUGACAGCUGGAAAGGUGGAAAUAAGAAGACCCAAAACACCCAUUGCCUGUCUGAAGGAACAAGUUUCCAUCCUUUGGAGAUUGGAAAUCUCUUCUCUGAUUUUCAUCCUUUUCCGCUUGGGAAGAAAAAUUGACAUGUAGACAGAAUCUAUCACGAAUCCGAGAAAUUCUAACUCUCUCGUGGGGAUGAGUACCGAUUUUUUUCUGUUUAAGAUCCAGCCAUGGUUUUGAAGAAAACUUAAAGUGACCUGCAGGUCCUUGUGUAGCUGUUCUUCUGUAUGAGCAAUGAGGAGCCAGUCGUCCAAAUAAGGGAUGAUUGAAAUACCUAGUUCUCUAAAAUGAGCUGUUAAAGGAGUAAGGAUCUUUGUAAAUAUCCUUGGGGCGGAAGACAGACCAAACGAUAGAGCCCUGAACUGGAAAUGAACAGUGGAUCUUCCAUUUUUUAUAGCAAACCAUUUUCUUGAAGUGGUCGUGAUUGGAACAUGUAGAUAGGCGUCCUUUAAAUCUAUCUUCACCAUAAAGUCGCCUCUUUGUAAAAGGGGAAAAAUCGACGUGAUUGACUCCAUACGAAAUCUGUGAUAGGGGAUAAACUGAUUUAUGUAUUUUAGGUCCAGAAUGGGAUGAAACGAGUUGUCUGGUUUUGGCAAGCAAACAAUGGGUCGCAAGAGUAUUCUGAGAACGGACAGCAGCUAAAAUAGCCUGCCCUUCGGUGGGUCACCGCUCAGAACUCAUGCUAGUUUUAGCUCAACUUGUGCCAUUACAGAGAGAACAUAUCUGAAGCAUAUCAGACUGGUCCCACCCAUACGGGCAGUCCAGACCCGAAAUGCCAGCAAGUUCUCUCUGCACGAGAGAUACAGCAACCCCAGACGAUCGUUUCAGCCUUGUUAGGCAUCGUCAGUGAGGCAUAGCUGAUAUCUCUCUAGGCACCGUGAGCAAGGGGUCCACGUCUGGAUUACCCUUUAGACUAAUGGAGAGCAAACAAUGGGUCGCAAGAGUAUUCUGAGAACGGACAGCAGCUAAAAUAGCCUGCCCUUCGGUGGGUCCCCGCUCAGAACUCAUGCUGGUUUUAGCUCAACUUGUGCCAUUACAGAGAGAACAUAUCUGAAGCAUAUCAGACUGGUCCCACCCAUACGGGCAGUCCAGACCCGAAAUGCCAGCAAGUUCUCUCUGCACGAGAGAUACAGCAACCCCAGACGAUCGUUUCAGCCUUGUUAGGCAUCGUCAGUGAGGCAUAGCUGAUAUCUCUCUAGGCACCGUGAGCAAGGGGUCCACGUCUGGAUUACCCUUUAAACUAAUGGAGAGCAAAAAUGGGUCGCAAGAGUAUUCUGAGAACGGACAGCAGCUAAAAUAGCCUGCCCUUCGGUGGGUCCCCGCUCAGAACUCAAGCUGGUUUUAGCUCAACUUGUGCCAUUACAGAGAGAACAUAUCUGAAGCAUAUCAGACUGGUCCCACCCAUACGGGCAGUCCAGACCCGAAAUGCCAGCAAGUUCUCUCUGCACGAGAGAUACAGCAACCCCAGACGAUCGUUUCAGCCUUGUUAGGCAUCGUCAGUGAGGCAUAGCUGAUAUCUCUCUAGGCACCGUGAGCAAGGGGUCCACGUCUGGAUUACCCUUUAGACUAAUGGAGAGCAAACAAUGGGUCGCAAGAGUAUUCUGAGAACGGACAGCAGCUAAAAUAGCCUGCCCUUCGGUGGGUCCCCGCUCAGAACUCAUGCUGGUUUUAGCUCAACUUGUGCCAUUACAGAGAGAACAUAUCUGAAGCAUAUCAGACUGGUCCCACCCAUACGGGCAGUCCAGACCCGAAAUGCCAGCAAGUUCUCUCUGCACGAGAGAUACAGCAACCCCAGACGAUCGUUUCAGCCUUGUUAGGCAUCGUCAGUGAGGCAUAGCUGAUAUCUCUCUAGGCACCGUGAGCAAGGGGUCCACGUCUGGAUUACCCUUUAGACUAAUGGAGAGCAAACAAUGGGUCGCAAGAGUAUUCUGAGCGGACAGCAGCUAAAAUAGCCUGCCCUUCGGUGGGUCCCCGCUCAGAACUCAUGCUGGUUUUAGCUCAACUUGUGCCAUUACAGAGAGAACAUAUCUGAAGCAUAUCAGACUGGUCCCACCCAUACGGGCAGUCCAGACCGAAAUGCCAGCAAGUUCUCUCUGCACGAGAGAUACAGCAACCCCAGACGAUCGUUUCAGCCUUGUUAGGCAUCGUCAGUGAGGCAUAGCUGAUAUCUUUCUAGGCACCAUGAGCAAGGGGUCCACGUCUGGAUUACCCUUUAGACUAAUGGAGAGCAAACAAUGGGUCACAAGAGUAUUCUGAGAACGGACAGCAGCUAAAAUAGCCUGCCCUUCGGUGGGUCCCCGCUCAGAACUCAUGCUGGUUUUAGCUCAACUUGUGCCAUUACAGAGAGAACAUAUCUGAAGCAUAUCAGACUGGUCCCACCCAUACGGGCAGUCCAGACCCGAAAUGCCAGCAAGUUCUCUCUGCACGAGAGAUACAGCAACCCCAGACGAUCGUUUCAGCCUUGUUAGGCAUCGUCAGUGAGGCAUAGCUGAUAUCUCUCUAGGCACCGUGAGCAAGGGGUCCACGUCUGGAUUACCCUUUAGACUAAUGGAGAGCAAACAAUGGGUCGCAAGAGUAUUCUGAGAACGGACAGCAGCUAAAAUAGCCUGCCCUUCGGUGGGUCCCCGCUCAGAACUCAUGCUGGUUUUAGCUCAACUUGUGCCAUUACAGAGAGAACAUAUCUGAAGCAUAUCAGACUGGUCCCACCCAUACGGGCAGUCCAGACCCGAAAUGCCAGCAAGUUCUCUCUGCACGAGAGAUACAGCAACCCCAGACGAUCGUUUCAGCCUUGUUAGGCAUCGUCAGUGAGGCAUAGCUGAUAUCUCUCUAGGCACCGUGAGCAAGGGGUCCACGUCUGGAUUACCCUUUAGACCAAUGGAGAGCAAACAAUGGGUCGCAAGAGUUUUGGCACCAGAAAUAAUCUUAAAUAGACCCCCCCGAAAAUUUUGUUUUACUGGUACUCUUUCUAUCACUCUUUUUCGUAACAGCAGCAUGGUUUGACAAAACAGGGCUUGUGAUUUCUUUGCAGACUGGUAUGUGGAUACCAGAAACUUUGUUCUUGGUUUUUCUGUAAAUACUACCUUGUGUCCUUUUUGGAUAAGAUUUAGCACCCAAGGAUUCCCUGUGGUGUUUUCCCAUGCAGAAAAAAAAUUGUUGGAGUCUUCCUCCUACACUUCUGGCGUCAGAAACGUCUCUCUUUAUCUCUGAAGGUUCUUUUAAUAUCACCCCUUUAAAAUUUACAAUUUUUAUCCUUUCUUUGAAAACAUUGCGGCCUCUCUUGAUAGAAUCUUCUAUUUUUAUUCUGAUCAUUUCUGUAACCUGAUCUCCAGGAAAACUUCUUAUCUUGAGGAAGCGCUUUCUUGGUUUCUGACAUUUGUCUAAUGAUUUCUUCUAAGGGAGCGCCAAAUAAUUUCGUUUUUUGUAGUGGAAGUUCGCAAAGGACUGAUUUAGAAACUGAAUCCGCCGUCGAAGACCUUAACCAUAAGGCCCGUCUUGCUACCGAGGAUAGGCCCAUAAUUUUGGAUGCUAAUUUUAGAACCUCUACUGACAUAUCCAAAAGGUAUUCAUUAGCCAAAUGCGCUCUUUGAAACAAAUGGUCUAAUUCUUUAACCUGGUCAGAUGAAAAAAACAUCCUGCAUUGUAGUUAGCCAGAUGUCAUUUGCUCUGGCAACCGCUGCUCCUGCAAAUAAAGCCCUGCAUUGGAAACCGGCUGUCUGGUAAGCUCGUCUACACAAGGUUUUGGCUCUUUUAUCCAUUGGAUUCUUCAAAGCUGAAGUUUCCCCUAUAGGGAUAGUGGUCCUUUUAGCAAUCUGCGCAACCUGAACAUCUACUUUAGGGAGAUCUUCCCAAAUGACUUCGCCAGCCAGUCUGAAGAUAUCCUUGAAGUGUCUAAAAAAAAAAGGCACGUUUUUCAGGGUUUUUGCAUUCCCUAAAAAUGAGGUCGACAAGGCUUUGCUGUACAAAAAAACCCUUUUUAGGAUUCUCAAUACCCUGAGGUAGGAUUGUUAGGUUAACUUCCUUUAUAAAUUUACGAAUCUCAUCUGCAGGAAAACCAACCGGUUCACUUGAAGAGGAACCUGAAUCAUCUGAAUCAAGUGAUGAGAUAUAUUCCCCAGAUGAGCUUUCAGAUGUAGAUGGCGACCUUCUUCUUUUCUUGAUCUUUUGUGUCGUGGAUUCUACCUUUUUAGACUCCUUAAUCGUCUCCAAGAUCUGGGCCAGAUUUUCUUGGAACCAGGAUAAGAAAGACUGCAUAUCUUUUUGCUUAUCUUUUUCCAAGGAAUUUGCCGUACACUGACUGCACAUCUUUUUCCUUGAUCCAUCUGGGAGAGAUGUUGCACAUUCACUGCAAACUAAAUGUUUAGAUUUAACCGUAGCCUUUCUAGGCGUAGCAGCAGCCAGCUUUUCUUUGUCCAUGUCAGGAUAAGCUGGGCUAGACAUAUCUGUGGAGAACAUAUGAAAGGGAGGUUUUUCAGCAUUUGAAUUGAAGGAAUAUUUUCAGAGAAUAUUUUAAAGUAAAGAUCAAAUUAAAUCUUACCUCAAAAUACCUCUGAGCCGUGUGGGGGACAGGUGACACGGUGUACUAUUUCUGACCUGCAUCCAUGCAGUCAGUAGGUACUGCACAGCUUCUUAUAUUUACCGGUUUCAAUUUCCGCUUUUUCUUUUUUUUCGUGUAUACCUUUAAGGUUCCGGUAUGCGCAUGCGUGUUUGCGCACCCGGAAGCCUAGGUGGAACGCAAUCACCACCAGGGCGUGCGUUCCACCACUGUGCGCAUGCUCGGCCAGAGCUCCACCUCCUGGAAGUAAUGCUGGAACCGUUCUCGGCAUAAAAUUCUUUCCCUCCACUUGCUCCGUAACCUUACCGGUUAGGAGCAUGGUCACUCAGCCUACCGCCCAGGCAGCUCUCGGACCGGGUCCCCCAGACAACAACCUGUGUGUCUCACCUCCGAUGUCCUGUCCUUCCCUCUUGGGACAAGAAAGAAGACUGGUGAAUGUCUGAGAGGUACAACACUUUAUAGGAAAGGGGGAGGAUACUUUUUGUUUUUAAUUGCUAAGAUGUCUUGUCCACAGGGAGAAGUAUAACCCUUCAGUUACUGCCACCAUAUGACAGAAAAAGAGAUGAUUGACAGGAAAAAGGAUGAUUGAUGGCUAGGGCACAGCCACUACUUGAUCCUAUUCACAGAUCGAGUGAAAAAUGACCAAGAGAGGAAAAAAUGAGAAGCAGUUAAAACAAAAAAAUCUAAAUAUAUACAUGUUUAUUUUUCCUCCUCUUUUUUUCCCCCUUUAUUGGUUACUUCUAUUGGUUUACAGAUCAAGUGAAAAAAGACACCUAUAAGUGUCCUGCAAAAUAUGUUCAGAAUGGUUAACCCUUUUCAUUUAAUCUCAUUUUGUUUUCUGGAAUAUUUUCCAUUGACGAUAAUUGGAUGAACUAUCAAAUGAAGGAGUGCUGAGGUCCCAAACUUAAUUCCAUUUCUCAUAAAAAUAGCUCGGCCACACCAAAAUUUAACGAUGUGUUCAAGUCCAGUUUAAUAGUGGUCACUGAACUCAAUAUCUAAAAGAAAAAGAAAAGUAGGCUGUGGAGCUUUUCACACUUUCAUUGCAGCAAUUUUAUUACCAGUUUCUGCCAAAUUUCAGAUAAUGCAUUUUUAAACACAUACAGAUAUCGCAUUGCAUUUUAAGUGUGCUCUUAUAUACCCAAGUUUCUCUUCCCUCAAUCCCUCGAGACCUGGCCAUUUUAAUUUUGAAAUAUGAAAUUUUAAAAUGUGUCUUUUAUCUUUGUCACAAGGAGGUCUAUGUGGGAUUCUUGAGAAUUCCUAAACCUCUCUGUCACAGUUGCUGUGUUCUAUAAUAAAGUGAUGAAGGUAAUUUUAUUAUGUACUGUUUUAAACAAGGGGUAGUUUAGUUGUGGUUUUGGGGGUAAUGUGGACAGGAACUAGAUUCACCUCUAUGUCUCCUCUUUACUCAAGAUUGCAGAGUGUGAGGUUCCCAUUGGUCAUUAAAUAGGUCAGUAACAGAAGAGAUGAAAAUGUAUAUAAGUAGUGUUUGGGGACACUUUCACGGGUGGGCACAGUAUUUACACUUACUGAUAAACCUCUUUGUUACUCUCUGUUAAUGAUAGGCAUACUUGGGGCCCAUUCAUCACUGUGUGAUAAAGUUGUUUUUUUCUCUCUAAAAUGGGUGAGUUAAAGCAAUACUUUGUUAGGAAUAGAAACCUAUAUUUCUAACACUACAGCUUCCUCUGCCUUUCCCCUCACUCGUGGGGGGGGCGAUCUCCCUCUGUGCUGUGUCGGUGCUCUGCCUUCUAUGGGGAUUUUACCAAUGUUGGUUGUCCUCAUGCAGAGCAUGAGGAUAUCCAGCAUCAGUCAGGUGACCUAAAGUCCGGUAAAAUCCUGGAACCAUCUCUGGUGGCUGACUGGUAGACAGCUACUAGAGGCUGUCUUAGUGCUGCAAUGUAAACAUUGUAGUUUCUCUAAAACUGCAAUAUUUUACAUUGCAAUUCUAAAGACAAUAGGGACACUGCACCCAGAACAAUGAGCUGAAGUGGUCUGGGUGUCUAUAGUGUCCUUUUAAUACGUUUAACUCUGCUACUCUCUCUCAUUCACAGAUCUUGGAGCCCUUAAAACUUAACUAUUAGACCCAUUCACUUUGAAAAAAUGUUCUCAAUUAACUACGAAUUGAAAAAAAAUUUAAAAAAUUACUAACCAAGUAGAGACCAUAGGACUGUGGGAAAGGUGGACAAAUUGCCCACAGAAAAUCUGGUAUAGGAUUUAAAAUCAUAUGUUUACUAUUUAAAAAUGAUAAGAAAAACACAAUAUGUUAAUAAUUGGUUUCCCAUUCCACUGAUAGACUAUCAUUAAAAUCUAUCAUUGUACCCACAGAAAACGGCAUGGUUCAAAGUAUGCUCUCUAAGUAGUACUGAAAUUUUUAUGAAAGACUAUUCCCCUCAUAUUUUCUUUUGUUCUACUGCAAUGGUGAAGCCAAUAAGGGGAAUAGGAUAUGCUAUCAUCUAACUUCUGAGCUGACCUGCUCACUCACAAUUAAUUAAUAAUGUGAACGUGUAGGUAAGCUGGAGAGUAGACACUGUAGACGCUGUAGUACUAUCGUUGUGUGUGUCUGCCUGCAUUUCCUGACAUGUGGUUGCUCUUAAUUCCCAAUAUGGGGAAUAUAAUAUUGUAUAAUUGAUGGUCUAUAUCUGAACUGGACACUCAGACCAUGCUUCAAUACCAGUUGGGAUAGUUUUCUGGUUAAUCUGUCCAUAGAUACCAGUGACGGUAGUAUAUGGUAUCACUGUCAAGCAUACCCUUCUUCCCAUAAAAGAAAAUCACCCAAUACUCCACAAGUAGAAAUAUCACUGGAAUCGCCAAAUAAUCCACACGUGAGCCAAGGCUUAAUGCUGGAACAAGACUGAUUUACUAGCACACAGGAUGUAAUUUUAACAUCCCUGGGUAGCUGAGGAUACUGGUAGUCACAUAUCACAUAUCCCAGGACAUACUUGAAAACGAGAGAAAUCUCAAUGUAUCUUUCCUGGUAAAAUAUUUUAUAAAUAAAUAAAAAAAUAUCCAAAUCUCACGAAUUUCCAUUUAGUAGUUUCUGUGUAGCAUCAUGUGGAAGUUUGACCGGCUCGCCAUAUGGAGGUAUCCGAGCUAGAGUUCCAUAGAAUCUGUAGCAAGAGCCGGUCUCUGUUCGCAUUGAACUACACGAAAACCACCGUUCGUAUGGUGCAGCUGGUUACAUACGAAUGUUCCCCUCGUUCGGUAGAUUCUAUCUACCGAAUGCCCGUUUGAUUUGUGGAGGGGAAUGUAUACAUCCAGGACUUCCAUGAAGACUGGGCCUUCGCAUGUUUGCCUUGCCGAAAAUAGUUCCAGGCAAUUCAUGCGUACUCCCGCUGACCGCGUUCGUGAGUUUUAAGAUGGCCGCCACCCUUAGUUCUCGCCACGUGUUCGUAUGCCGAGUGGUGGCCACCCAGGAGCAAUCAAGUUGUGGUUUUCUCCCCGUUCUAAUGCUGAUUGCUACCCAGGGUAGGUGGUCUCGCGUUCGGGAGACGAAUACAAGCUUUCACAUACAUAUUUAAACUAACUGAAUACAAGCAUUUAAACAGCAGAGAGAGGACAUAACUGAAGGCACACGGGUAAGUACAAGAGAUCCUUCACAUUACCGUUAUCAUUACCAAUAAUAACCUUGUCUAUUAAAUUGCAAUCACAGAAUUCACUUCAAAAUAAAAUAAUACCAUGUCUCCGUAACAAACUGGUAAAUCAAUAAGUAAGCUAUGAUUAUAUUUGCGUCAGGCACUAAAUUUAAAUUCAGCAUUACAUUUUUGAUUUUUACAUAUUUUCAGUAAAUCAUAAAAGAAAGGAUAGUGAGCAUCUGAUUUUAAUGGUUACCUAUUUUGUUGGACUAAAUAUGACUUCUUUGCAUGUCACUAAAACAAAUAGCAAUAGCUCCCAGCGCUGCUGAUAUUAUUUUACGCUUACUCAACUCUCGACAAGUUUUAUAAAUCAUUUUUUUCAAUGACAUUGUGGGCUACUAGAGCAUAUCAGCCCAAGUUCUAAAUUAAUAUAAAAAAAAUUGAAGAAUGGAAAAAGUCAAUUUAUUUUCAUCAUAGUUUCUUGGUGAGGUAUGUCAAUUAUAAUAAUGACCGUCUACAUUUCAACUGUAUCAUGCCCUCUUUAACACAUGCAGUUUGAUUUACUUGUUGCUGAAAAAAAUGGCAUAUCUCAUAAAAUGAGCUUCACUCAGAAGUAAUAAAAAGGUUUUGUGUUAUUUGCUGUAAUGUCUUGCUGGCCGGAGUCCAAGUGUGAGACCCCAGCAUAAAAUACGAUAGAACCAUCUUGGUCUCACCCCCUACCUCGUGUACAAGGGUGGGGGAGAAAAAAGUAGGGUCUGCUAUAUCCCAAUAUUGCCCAGGGAGUUGUUGCGUGAAAGGACCUUGGCAGUUGGGUGCAGGCAGAGACAUACCUAGAGCAUUUGGCACCCGGGAUGGAUCCUGUGCUUGUUACCCCUUCGCCCCCCCCCCCUCCAAAAAAAUAAAAUAAAAAUGGUAAAUGUUUUCUUUUUUUUUUACAAUUUGUAAACUUUGCAAAACCGCUGUCAGCCCCUCCUACAAAACCCUUGUCCUGCCCCACCCCUCCUACAAAACCUCUGUCCUGCCCCUUCUACAAAUCCUGUACUGCCCCGUCUACAAAACCCCCGCAACCCCCUUCCACAAAUCCCCUGCUUAUCCCCCCUUAUUAAGACUCCUGUCCCAAUACAAAACCCCUGCCCCCUUCUACAAAAUCCCUGCAGCCCCACACACACACACAUUUACAGGCAGACAGUCACACACAGUUACCAGCAGACAGUCACACGCACACAGACACACAUGCAGUCACAGACAGUCAUACAUACAUUGACACACACAUGACAGCAGCAGACAGUCACAUGCACACAGUCACAGACAGUCACACACGGUUACAGGCAACAUCAAACAGUCACAGGCAGACAGUCACACAUACAUAGUCACAUGCAGUCACACACACAGUUAUAGGCAGACAGUUACACACACAGUCAGUUACAGGUAGCCACACACAGUGAUAGGCAGGCACAUACAGGCAGACACACACACACACACACACACACACAGUUACAGGCACACAGUCGCGUGCAGACAGUCACAGACAGUCAUGCACACAGUUACAGGCAGACAGUCACAUAUACAUUGACACACACACACACGACAGCAGCAGACAGUCACAUGCACACAGUCACAGACAGAUAUUCACACACGGUUACAGGCAACAUCAAACAGUCACAGGCAGAUAGUCAGGUAGACAAUUACACACACAGUCAGUUGCAGGUAGUCACACAUAGUCAUAGGCAGGCACAUACAGGCAGACAAACACACACACACAGUCACGUGCAGACAGUCACAGACAGUCAUGCACACAGUUACGGGCAGACAGUCACAUAUACAUUGACACACACACACACACGACAGCAGCAGACAGUCACAGACAGAUAUUCACACACGGUUACAGGCAACAUCAAACAGUCACAGGCAGAUAGUCAGGCAGACAAUUACACACACAGUCAGUUGCAGGUAGUCUCACAUAGUCAUAGCCAGACAGUCACACACACAGUUACAGACAGACAGUCACAUAUAUAGUCACUCACAGUCACAGUCAGAGAGUUACACACACACACACAGUUACAGGCAGACAGUCAGUCACACACAGUUACAGGCAGACAGUCACACACAGUUACAGGCAGACAGUCACACACAGUUACAGGCAAACAGUUACACACACACACACAAUGUUACAGGCAGACAGUUACACACACACACACACACACACACACAGUUACAGGCAGACCAUUACACAUACACACAGUUACACACAGACACACACAGUUACAGGCAGACAGUUACACACACACACAUGCACACAGUUACAGGCAGACAGUUACACACAGACACAUACACACACACACAGUUACAGGCAGACAGUUACACACACACACAGUUACAGGCAGACAGUCUCUCUGACACACACACAGUCACACACACAGACACACACUCUUACUUACAGACAGUGGGCUGGAGGAGGACUGGAUUCCCUGAAGUCCUUCUCUGAAGCCUGUGGAGAAGCAGAGAUUCCAUCUUGCUGCACCUCCUAACAGCAGCGGGUAAGGGCCAUGUUAAGCCCUGCCCCCGCUGUCGGUUUGGCUCCACCCCCGAUUUUGCUUGGCUCCACCCUCAUUUUUCCUUCGUGCGGUCAGUUCAGCAGCUGUUUGGUUGUGUGAGCUGUACUGGCCGCACGGCACCCUAACUAGCAUGGGGGGGCACUGUGCAGCCACAGCUCACACAGCCCCCUCCAGCUCCCCCUUAGUACGCCACUGGGGUGGACUGUGCCUGGGGUGGACUGCCCCCUCCGCCUCCCCCUUAGGACGCCACUGGGUGCAGUGCUAUAUAAAAAUAGGGCUAGGCCAAUCAUAAUAGAACCAGAAGAUGCCCAGUUCACUGGUCAUUAUAUCUGCUGUAAGAUCAGAAGGUGCUCCAGCCUUUGGCUGGUGGGCUCAAGCAUGAAGAAUGUAUUUUCAGCUUAAAGAACCUUCUGUUUCUUGUGGUUGGUUGGCACAAAUCACAGUGCAUCCCUAGACCAUCCUCACGCCAACAAAGUUCAGCUGACUUAAAUUCCUCUCCCAUUACCAGGCAACCCUCACAAUGGUCUAGUAAACAGACUUGAUGGUGUUUGACACGAGUUGUGUGAAUUACAGAAGAUAUUUUAAAAAUAAGAUAGUGAUGCAAAACGAUUUAUAUCGUUUGAAAAAAAAUAUGAUCAUUGAACAUUUUAUUCUUUGCAUGACCGGUUAAUAGAAAAAUAUCCCAGAAUAUAAAAACACAUCUAUUAGCAACUCAGAGAACCAAUGUCUCUAUUAAACAAAACAUGAUUUUGCUUCAGCUAAAUUGAAGCCAAAUAAAACCCAGGCAGACUUUUCCCCCGUGAUGUGUAAUGUAAAACGAUUUUACUAAUAGAAACACCCAUUCAUUACAUCAUCCACUACACUGGGACAAUUUAGAAACUAUUAACAAUUAAAAUUUUAAUUAUUUCAGCAGAUAACAGCACAUCGUCGGUAAUAAACAUUUCUUUGCAUAAAUGAUCUUAACCACUAAUCUUUUCAAUGAUGCCACAAGAGCAAAUUAUUCCCUAAGUGGAAAAGUCAGCGAGACCUGUUAUAGGUAAUAAAGAUCACUCUAAAUGCCCCAUCACUCUAAAUGCCUAAAUGAUGCGUUUAUUGACUCACCACAAAUUGGGACCCUCACUGUUUCAUCCCCUAGAUCAGGCAUAGGCAACAUUCGGCACUCCAGAUGUUUUGGACUACACCUCCCAUGAUGCUUUGCCAGCAUUAUGGGUGUAAGAGCAUUAUGGGGGAUGUAGUCCACAACAUCUGGAGUGCCGAAUGUUUCCUAUCCCUUCCCUAGAAAGUUGUUAGUCAAAGUCCGUUUCAAGACAACUAUGUUUGGAGUUACCACCAUGUUUAUCACCAUGUUUUCCAGCACACAUAUCAUUUAUACAACUUGAUGGGCAACAUAGAGAAAGUGCUGCCCUGGACUAUGAAGAUUUCUAAUGCGGUAGGUAGUAAAUCAGGUGAUAAAUUAAUCAAGAAUCCCGCAACAUAUACGUUAUACAUAAUACAGGGCAGCAUUUUGUAUGUGCUGUCAAUCAACAUUAAAAAGUUAUGUGUGUCCCAGAAAACAUGGCAAUCUUACUUAUGUUUCCAGUUUGGCUGUUUUGACUUGUUAAAUCUAAAAUACAUAAAUCUAUGGAAAAGUGGGACAGCCAAGACCUAUAGAACAUUUUAAUUGUAUUUAUUCAUAAAAUAUUUUACCAGGAAGGAUACAUUGAGAUUUCUUUCGUUUUCAAGUUUGUUCUGGGUCCAUAAUAAAAACAAUAUUACUACACAAUAUAUACAAAAUUUAACAUAGAACAGGUAGGAAAAAUAUAUAAUGAACCAUGACAGGUGCAUUCUGUUUUGAGGUAUGUAGAGAGGGUAUGUAGAAAGGAUUUUAGGCUUGGGGAAGAUUUUAAAUUGUGCGGGUAGUCGUUCCAUAAUUGCGGUGCUCAAUAGGAAAAGGAUGAUCAAGCUGCUGUCUUUUUGUAUUGGGGUAGACUAAAUAAAGUGCUGGUACUGGAUCGGAGGUUAUAGGAAGUGGGAACAGCUGGGGAGAGCAUUUUGUUCAGGUAGGGAGGGAGCUUCCCAGAAAAGCUCUUAAACACAAGGCUGGAAAGAUGAAGGGUGCGUCUGGAUUUCAGUGACAGCCAGUUUAGUUCUUUUAGCAUGUCACAAUGGUGGAUCAUGUAAUUACAUUGUAGCACAAAUCGGCAGAACGAAUUAUACAAUGUAUUGAGUUUAUUAAGGUGGGUUUGCGGUGCAGGAGUAACGGCUUACCUUGGUUGGGAGUCUUUAGCGCAGAUAUAUGCUCACCCUUGCAAUUAAACACAGGCCACGGUGGUCAGGGAAGAACUCACCUGGCCUGUGAGUCUGUGCAAGGGGGCUGUGCAGGAUGAUGCUCCAAGUCGCAGUAUAGAUACAGACAUGAACAGGAGAAUCGUCGUGGGUCAGUGGGUGCCAGAAAUCAGGAUAAACGAGUAGAGAGAUGAAGUUAGAGGAUGCCAGAAGUCAGGAUACACGAAAUAACAAGACAAGGUCAGGAAUCAACAGGAGAACACGAAACAGCAAUACAGGAACCAGAGUCAAUGAACUGACACUGCCCUCAGGGAGAGUCAAUGUCUUAUAGCUGGCUAAUGAGGCCAUCAGCUACAGGUGAACCAUGAGUGACAAGAGCAGUCUCAGGUAAAUUCCAACCCCCAGUGCUGAUACAAGGUAAGAUCCAAACUUCAGGCUAUUACUUGAGCUGUAUGGUGGCUCAGAGGAGAAACAGCAGGCCCAGGACCACAAAGUACCCAGGUUCAAAUACCUUAUUGGGCACUUCUGGGGUGACCUAGUCUGGAUGUCGCGGUGAGAACCGUGACAGCAGGUGCAUAUACUACAUCCUCAUAAUCAAUGAUUGGCAUCAGCAUUUGCUGUACAAUCUUUUCCUUUACUGUAGGGCUUAGGCAGGAUUUGUUUCUGUACAGGGCACCUAGUUUUGGAUAAAGUUUAAAUGCAAGUUUUUCUGUGUGGAGGCCAAAAGAUAGAUUGGGGUCUAACAACAUACCCAAGUAUUUGGAAGAGUGGAUUUGUGUGAUAACAGCCCAUUACACAGUGCUAGUAAAAGCCUUGCAUAAUUCUUGCUCCUUCAGUACUCUGUCAACAGAAUACUAAAACCUCUCCAGAUGCUUUUAUUCGGAAAAACCCCUGUAUGCUAUUGGCAUUUAGUGCAAUUGCCCCGCUUUCCUCCUUGCCAGCUCAUGCACUUAAGUUAAGUGGAUACUCCACUGCCCAAAUAAAAAAAAAUAUAUAUAUUUAGUGGAUAUACUCCAAAUCUAUCUACAACGAGCUUGUAAAAGCUGAUGUUCUCUUGUCUGUAGCCUUUGCAAGCCAUCCCCCUCUAACCCAGCCCAGACUUUCUGUGGCUGCCCAAUCACAGACAUUCCAAAGCAGCUCAAAGAGAAGUCUUUGCAUAGCAUUUGCUUCCUCUUGAGUUUUGCUCCACAGAGCUAAACAACCAGGAAGUAACAGGACCGAUUGUCUGAUUGACAGUCAAGAAGUGUAACAAGCUUCAUUUAGAAAAGUACUAAUUUCUAUUGAAAUCUACUAUUUUUGUGAAAUGCAAAAAGAGAACACAUUCAUUACAAAUAAAGCACUUCAGCACAAACUCUUCUGAUAUGUCAGAAAGGCAAAAUUUAUUUUCAUCAUCCCAGCUGGUAUGACUUUUUAUAUUUUUAAUUUUCUGGGUUUCAAUAUACUUUCACAUGUUUUCUUUUUAAGUGUAAUCUUUGCUUGCCUAAAAUUAGAUAGGAUCUAAUAUUUUUUCCAUCUCCUUAAUAAUUGGCCCUGCCUGGUUAUACAAUGUAACAAAUGACAUUUAAAACUCUUGUGAAGAAUACAUUAGUCUGUUCUGUUCUGACCAUAAACAUUUAGAUAUUUCUAAUAUGAGUCUUGUUGAAGAAAGUACUUGAUGACUGUAAUUUUUAUACAUGUAUUUAUUAGUAAGAGACGGGAAUUUAGCAAUGAAACCCAGUCUUCUUUAUCUUCAUUUUUUAGAUUGCUCUAAGUUAUUAUGCAUUUAACUGGAAUGAUGGGGCUCCCAAUAAAGAACUACAUGAUAAACAAUCUAGUUGGAGGAUAGAAUAAAAUACAGAUUUAGAGACAAAAAAAACAUAUAUCUACUGAAACAUUUUUACUUUGCUUUGACAGUUCUUCUCUAAGGGAUUUUGGUUUUAAAGGAGAGAUGUAACUUCCAAGAAUUAUUAAAGGGACACUAUAGUCACCAAAACAACUUUAGCGUAAUAAGGCAGUUUUGGUGUAUAGACCAUGCACCUGCAGUCUCACUGCUCAAUUCCCUGCCAUUUAAGAGUUAAAUCACUUUGUUUAUGCAGCACUAGCCACACCUUCCUGUGUGUGACUUGCUAAGCCUUUCUAAACACUUCCUGUAAAGAGUCAUCCAAUGUUUAUACAUCAUUUAUUACAAAUUAUGUUUAAUGCUAGGGAUGCAUUAAACAUAAAUAAAAGCGAACCAAUUCCUAAAUGGCAGAGAAUUGAGCAAUGAAACUUCAGGGGCGAUAUCUGUACACAAAAACUGCUUCAUUAAGCUAAAGUUCUUUUGGUGACUAUAUUGUCCCUAAUAUUGCGUUCACUUAUUACCUAUAUUUUACAAAUACAUAUUUUUUAGGUCUUAAAAUUAAUAUCUUAUGUGGAAAUAUUGCUAGAAAUAUUGCUGUCUAUCUUAUAACUUCCAUCUUUCUCCUCUUCCAAUACAAUAUGUGCCUUGGCUGUGCCAGGACUGAACUAGUUUGUGAUAUCAAUUGGCAACUUUUUAAAUAUAAACUUAAAAGAAAAAGAAGCAUCACAUUAAAAAGGUUGACACGAGUUAAAAUGGAUUUUCAAUAUGUUAUUAAAUGAUGUAAUUUCAAAACAUGUAAAGGUUCCUCUAAAAUAUCUCUUAUGGGGGCCCUAGCAUCUCUGAAGCUUCCAAAGUACCCCAAGAAUUGUGUACCUAUACACCUACACUAAAAUAUACUUAAUGUGUAAUGAUCAUUAUGACUAUGAUUCAACCUAUAUUUAUAAUUCCCUAAUUUUAUUUCAUGUAUAGUUACUCAGAUCAGUCUUGUAUUGUUGAAUGAUAUUGGCUUUUUCACCACUAGUGAUUAACACUAUAAAAGUUAGAUUUUUUUCGGCAUGUUUAUUUAUUAAGACUGGCUAAAUCUGAGAUAUAGAGUAAAACAUGACCUGGUGCAUUUAGGGUCAUGCACACACCAUUCCUGUUACUUUGCAGUGCAACCGUACAUUUAAUCACUACACCACUUUAGGUAUUAGUUUUUCUUGCUGCUGCCAGAUCUUGGUAAUAGGUUAUAAGAGGGUAUAUAUUGGGGUUAAAGUGUCAUAAUAAUAUAUAAAGUCCAGAGGUAAUUGGAUAUUAGCAGCAAGCCUAAAAUAUAUUUCCCAGUUAAAUUCUCGCUUUCUCAGUCUCUGUAUGAUUUUACUUUCUGUAACUUCUGUAUAUCCAUGAACAGAUUGAGAAAGCAUUGAAAAAUCAUUAAAGCAAAUUAUUAUUUUUUAUCUCUUCUAAAGUCUUGAUUCAAUUAUAUUUUUCAAUAAGUACAAGUACUAAGGUUUAAGGCUCUAAAUGAACACUCUGAUGUUAGAAAUACAAGUAUGUAUUUCGAAAGUUAGUGUUUUCAUGUCUAUUUUGAUUAUUGGGCUGCUCUCAAAAAGUUAUGAAAGUUGUUCAACUAACCUGUAGACCCACAGCUUGCUGGACUCUAUGCGGCCUUCGUUUGGACUAGGCUGAAAUCAUCAGUGAUUAUGAUCUCAGCCAAUCACAUGCUUUGGGGGCUAGUGCAUAUGAGGCAAUAGCUCUGCUGCACCAGUCAGUAUUUUCUAAUAGUGACGCAUUAACUUAGUUCUCCUCUAUGCCAAGCAUUCAUAGUCUAAACGCAAAAUGUAGAGAUGCUCAACGUUAGUCUGGAAAAGAUUAAAAAUAUGAAUAUUUUGCUAACACUCCUGCCAUCUCCACCAACAUCAGAUGUUCUGAGGGAAACUGCUAUUCAAAUAAUUUAGAAAAUCUAAAAAUCUAAAACUAAUCUUAAAAUAAACAGAAAUAUGCCUCUUAGUUUCUUUUCUGAAAACUUGGUUUUCUCAAGAACUUGAUCACUCUUCAAUUCUGACUGGGAUUGGUGACUGGGGAUAUCCUAUAUUUCUUUAUAGAAACAUAUGUGUCCAUUGUGGCCGACCAUAAAUGAGAAUCACCAUAGCGGACGUUAAAAGCAAGUGGCUUAAAAUAUCAAAUGUAUCUUUUAAACAGAUGGUACAGUGAGCAACUGCACAAAUUAUUCAUCCCCAGAGAGUUGGGCUUAAUCUUAUGUUUGAGUCCCAAAUGAAAAAAUCUUAGACUUCUAGCAUAAAACUCGACAGACACGCUCACAUAAAUAAACAAGCAUUUUGGCAGAGUUAAUGCUUGGAAGGGCUGCGCAGUCUGGGAGUAAUGGAGGUCAUGCUUGAAAUUUACUUAGGAACAGGGUGGGGAAUUGAGCUUGGUAUCAACCUGCCAUGUGCUUCCAUUUUCGCGGCUUCUGUUUUCUUAUUUUUUCUCUUCCAGAAUUUCUCUGAUGCAAAGAUCCAUCUUCCUGUAAAAUAAACCCUAUAAUUGCAAUGGCAUUUUCAAUUUGGGCGCUUUCAUAUACUUUCCUAUCCUCCCUUGCUAAGGUCUGAAAGCUGGUCUAAGAAAGUUAGAAAUACAGUCAAUAAGAAAAAAAAAAUAACUUUUGAAUUUUGUGUUGUUAAUUGGUAGAUUUGUGCACCAUGGCAAAAUUACGUUUGGCUGUACUGACUAUAUUUCUUUAUAUUUGGUCAAUAGAACUUCAUCGACAUGACAUUUUGGCUUGUCUGAAUUUCACCCAUGUAAAUGUUUCGGAUGAGAUAUAUAUGUAUAAAUCCCACACCCUCACCCUAAAGUGCUUCGAUGUAGCAAAAAUACCAAAACACUCAUCAUUUCACAUACAGCUUCCCCAGGGGAUUUCCCAUAUAAUAUACCCUCUCAGAAGAGCUAAAGUACUAUGUAUAUUGAAAGACAGCUGUACAUUAAAAAAAAAAAUUAUAUAUAUAUAUAUAUAUAUAUAUAUAUAUAGCAUAGAACAGGUAACAAAAACCAUAAACUGUGCUGUUUGAAAUGCACUCACAAUAUGGAAUGUUGGUAAAGCGCGUCUGGGUUCCUCCAUCAAAAUUCUUGGGGGCUAUCCAAUAUCACUUUCACCCCAGACAGGAACCAUUGUUUCAGGUCUCAGGAUAGGUAUCAAAUAAUUUAAUUUAUAAUAAAUUGUUUUUAUAAAAUACAAAUAAAGUGCAUUUCUUCCUAAUAUUGGAUUUCCCCAGGGACCAUACAUUGUUAGAAAACAUAAUAGCAAUUCCCAAAGAAAAGCUACCUGUACAGAUAAUUCAUGUUAUACGUCAGUAGCUAUGACUGUCAGAAGGCGUAAAUUGUGCCUGCAGCUGGCUUUGCAGGACAGUUGAGAAGAUGGGAUCCAAUAAUAAACAGAGAUAGACAGAUAUAGAUAAGAUUUCUUAUAGGCAAAGUAUUGUUAGAUAUAUACAGGAAAGCUAAUUGAGUGAAAAAAUAAUAUACAGUAAGUAAAUAGAUUUUUGUAAACUGUGUUAGAGAUGUUAAGAUGUCAAUGUAGUAGCAGUUUUAUUGCCUUCGUGAGACCAAAGAAAGAAUUUGGAGGUGCCAAAACUCGUCGAGUGUAAAUGUUGAAAUGACCAAAAAUGAGUGAGUGAAUGUCAAAAGGGAGGAAGUGACUAAACUGUGCUGGGAAAUAUUCAAGGAAGACCAGGAGGUCUGUAGAUAAAACUUGAUUGAGUGAGGAGAUAACAAAAACCUUCACAACAAGAGAAAGAGAGUAAAGGUAUAAAAGGUAUUUAACAUUAAACAUGCAGAACUUCAAAACCAUCUCUCUUACUGAAAACUCAGUGAAACUGAUACAUUCAAAGAAUGGACAAAUCUUAAUAGCUUGCUCUACGGGUAGUUAACAAGCUUUACCUAGUUUUGAAAUCAUCUAAGCCUCAUCGCAAACAGGAGUGCAGGAAAAGGGGAUUGGAUGUUAAAGGAUCACUAUAGGGUCAGGAGCACAAACAUGUAUUCCUUACCCUAUACUGUUAAAAACACAAUCUAGCCCCUCCUGGCCCCACUUGCUACCCUAAAUAUAGUAAAAUCUUACUUCUCUGAGCCAAUCACAAUGAUUCCCCAUAGGAUUAGCUGAGACUGUCAAGGGGUAUGAUCAGGGGCAGAGCCUGGCCAAUCAGCAUCUCCUUAUAGAGAUGCAUUGAAUCAAUGCAUCUCUAUGAGGAAAGUUCAGUGUGUCCAUGCAGAGAGUGGAGACACUGAAUGGCAGUGCUGCACACUUUGCAGCACUGCCAGAGGAAGCACCUCUAGUAGCCAUCUGAAGAGUGGCCAGUUAUCUCUAGCCUGUAAUGUAAAUACUGCAUUUUCUCUGCAAAGACAGUGUUUACUGCACAAAGCCUGAAGGGAAUAAUUUUACUCACCAAAACAAAUUCAAUAAGCCGUAGUUGUUCUGGUGACUUAAAGGACCAGUAUAGUGCCAGGAAAACAAACUUGUUUUCCUGACACUACAGGGUCUUUGGGUCCCCCCACCCUCAGAGUCCCACUCUCGCCAGGCUGAAGGGGGAGUGCCAAUCUCCCUCGGCGAUGGGGACUCUCCUCCCUCUUCCGACGUUAUCUGCCGAAUGCGCAUGCACAGCAAGAGCAGCACACGCAUUCAAUCACUCCAUAGCAAAGCAUUUCUCAAUGCUUUCCUAUGGACAGCAGUGUCUUCUCACUGUGAAAAUCACAGUGAGAAGCGCGGAAGUGCCUCUAGUGACACUGCUAUGUUUACAGCUGCAGGGUUAACACUAGAUGGACAUGGCACCCAGACCACUUCAUUGAGCUGAAGUGGUCUGGGUGCCUAUAGUGGCCCUUUAACCCCUUAAGGACACAUGACAUGUGUGACAUGUCAUGAUUCCCUUUUAUUCCAGAAGUUUGGUUCUUUAAGGGGUUAAGUGUCCCUUUAAGUUUUGCCUAUCACUACUAUGACUUGUGUAUAGAGGACGGCUAGCAAAGGGCCACCCCACCCUGGGCCACUAGAAUGGUGAGGAUUGUGGGCUUCUGUCUUACAUUACAAUAGUAAAAAUAUAAUUGUAAUCUAGUACUUGCAGUUAUAAAUAAAACAUUUCAUAUUAAAUACGAAAGGGAGAGGAAUGUGUUGCAACAAUUUGGUCUCUAAUUGGGCUAUUUAUUUGUAGUUGCAUAUAGCCACUGGUCAGUCUUUCUCUGCUGGAGUAACACUUAUGGUUGCACAGGGUGUAGUUGCACACAGUAUCCAAGGUAACAACUCCUCUUUUUGGUGAUGGUCUUGGGAGGAUUUUUGUUUUGGGUUGUACAACCUUUCCCAUACUUCUCCCUCCUGAGGCAUAACGAAUUGCACACAGAGGUUUCAGGAAUUGGCAUCAUAUCUCUGAACCCAUUAAAGUAUGGAGUGGCAUACUGUGAGUGAGCAGGGGAAAGGUUAUUAAUUCUCCUAAAGGACAGCUUUCUUGUUCCCUAGCUAGACUACCUGAGAUAAUUCAUAAACAUGGGAGCAGAAGUUUAAAUCAACAGUGGAAAGGAGUCUGCAAAAUGUGCACCCACCAUCUUGUUAGGCUACCUACCCUUUUACAUGUGUAUUAUUCAAUCUAAAUUAUGAGGACCGUAUCACACAUGUCAAAUUGUAGGUAUUGAGAGCGCAGUCCCCAAAACCCAUGAUAAUAAUCUCCCUACCUGUCAAUCUAAGGUUUGUUGUACCCCUGUAGAAUUUCUUGGCUCUGUAUAAAUAAAUUGUGGAAGAUUAAUAAAGUAAUUAUGUAAAGGUGCUCAAUAAAUAAUCAUUAAUGAGGAAUACACUUCCAGGGACCAGAUUUAAUACAGGGGAUUAUGACACUUCCAGGGGCCAGAUUUAAUACAGGGGAUUAUGAAUUUUUAUUGGAACCAUUCUAAAUAGCAUUAUUGUACUAUUUUGCUCAUUGUGAUUGCCCACACUGUAAUAAAGUCCUGCUUUCUCCUGCUGACUCCUCAUUACAAGCAGAUCAGAGCGGCUUCGAAAGAUCUGCUAUUACAUCCUUAUGUGCCGGCAGAUUCAGCCUAAUGAACACAAGUACUAGUUUAUUUAGGAGGAUAGCAGGCUUCACUUAGGAAGAUUAUCAGCAGUAAGGGUGAGAAAUAGAAUAUCUUUGUUGGCAGUCUUCCAGACAUCCAAUCAAUGCCAAGAAAUAGAACAUCUAAUUCCCUGCUGUUCUCUCGGAAUGGGAAGCACUGGUAUGUAUCAAUAUUCGUUAAAAUUACAUCACUGCUGCUAUCACAACUAGCAGGAUUUGCACCAAUUCCCCCCCCCCCCUCCCCAUCCCCCAAUAAAACAAAUAAACAAACAAACAAAAAACAACAAAUUGUGUUGUUAGAAAAGCUGUACAGAUUCUGUAUAAACACAGGAGAGACUUGGUGGAUGGUUAAUUUUAGAAGCUGAUUUUAUUCCCUGCUGAACAACAAAUAUCUACAAGAAUCAUCAAGGGCCAAUCAGUAGUAGCAUUAACAGAACUCUUGAAAUACUUGAGAGUAUUUAAUAAUUACAUAGUAUGAUGCCUGUAAGGGAAAAAUGCUUCUUAGUAUUCAGAUCUGAACAGCCUCUAGAAUAUCCGCUACAGCCCGGAAUUCUUUAAAUCAUUUACUAAUGGAAUAUUUGCUACAAAUAUUGUCUUUGUCUAUUAAUGUAAAGAAAAUAUUCCAAGUGAUGUAAUUCUCUAGAAAAAAAAUAUAUAUCCGCUCCGGCUUUUUUGUUAUAUAUGAUUUGUAUACAAACUAAUCCAGCCAUUCAGGUCCGCCCUUAGGCAGGGGUGAGUGGGACACAUUCCCCAGGACCUGAGGUGUUUUUAUUUUAAUUAUGAUUUAUCCCCUUGUGAGAGGUGAUAAAGUGCCCGCGGGGGGUUGCAUUAUUUCCUUGUGACUGUAAUGUGCAUUGUUCUAGUGCUUCCACCCCUCUCUCACUGCAGCAUUAGAAUGGAUCAUGCUGAAAUGAUACUAAGUGAUGACAAAGUGAUGACAGGUCACUUUGGGGUCUCAUGGCUGCAGUAAGAAAGAGGAUUGAGCUCUAGAGGAAUAUGUACAGCUCAAGUUGCAGCCACGGGAUCACUAUGGAUCAAGCCCAUCUGCCCAGUGAUAAAGUAGGCAAACACGUGGGACCUGGGCUAAUGUAGGGGGCUUACCACUCAUACCCACCAUCUGAUCACUGUCUCCACCUGCACACCUAAGAGGCACAGACUAUAUUUAUCAUGACUCUAAAGACAACUAGUGUGUGUUAUGAAUGACAUACUUGAAAACCAGGAAGAAAAAAAUCUCAUAUCUGUAUCCUUCCUGGUAAAAUAUUUUAUAAAAAAAGAAAUAGCACAAACGCUGUUUCGUCUCGCUCUGCCGUCCACUGGCAAACACCUCUGAGGACACCAUACAUACUCAGCCUACUCUGGCAACCGGAUUAACCCAGAUACUACAGUCCACUGGGAAAUUCUAGCGUGCCAUUCCAAUGGCAGGUUACUAGCCCAAGCACAAACCCAAACAGUAUCAGCCUAUCAAAAGCCCUGCCAUAUUGCUUGCCCCUGCAGUACUGUGGCAACAGACAUUCCAACACACCUUCACUUUUUUAACCUUCAAAAGAAUUGUUUGAGGCUGCAGCCACAUCCUUCUGAUGUGGAAUCAAUCAAUUAAUUAAUUAUCUUGUGUAUCUGCCCCCGGCCAAAUUUAAAAAGAUGCGUGCACGCUCCUGAAGUAAUUCACACCAGACACAGGUUUUGGGUUAAUGAAAAACUUGAGGAAUGUUUAUUCAGGGGGGACAACAUGUCCAUUAUAAAGCAAAAUUACAUCAUAUGCAUUGUCAGAGAUAACAUGGAAUAAUACAUCAAUAAUUGGUUAGGUGUUAAGUGGUUCAUUUAUUGCUCUUCCUACCAGGUGUGAUGUCACUGGUAUCUUGGAGGUCUCCCCCAGAUUCCAGCGCCAUCUUGUUAAUGAGGGUGUUAGUCGAUGUCAAAGGGAAACUCCCUAGUGGCCAUUUUAGGUAAAUCACAUAUAAGGUUGAAUAAUGCUGAUUGUGGUUAUGCUGAGUAAAUAGGCAUUUUAUUAAUAUGAAUUUGGUUAAUAUUUUGUCCACAACAGUCCCCCCUUAAAAUGACUAUUUACUAAAGAGACAACUACUAACUGACCCUAACAAUGUCCCUACUUGGCAGCAGCUCAUCUGUCUGAACAAGCCUCGAACGCUUCACUGCGCGGGUAUCCCGUAGUGGUUAACCCACUACAUCUCCUGCGUCAGACUCCUACCCGUGGAGACAGACGCUGUCCCUAUGCUGUCCCUAUAAAGAAGUAGUUGUCCUUUUGAGGUGGUGGGACUGAAGAGGUGUGUGCGGGGUGUCACAGUCUAUAUCGUCAAUAUCUUGAUGUAGGAAUGUAGGAUGUAGGAAAGCCUGAUGCAGCAGGAGAGGUGCCUACAGCAUAAGGUUGUUCCGAUCCAACAGGUUCAUUCGACCCAUCUAUCAUGAUUGGGUAACGGGGAGACGCCAUGAGGGAGGUGGAGACAGGAACUGGACUUGGUGAGGGGGCGGAAGAGGAAAUGGUUGGAAGGGUGCUGGGAGGGGAAGUCAUAGUCAUAACCGGAGGUGACGGAGUCUGAGUAAGCUGAGGGAGAUGAGCGGAGAGGGUGGAAAUUAGUGAUGAAAGAUCAAGGGAGGGAGGGACUACGGGAUUGGAGGCUGGAAGGGGAGGGGAAGCUGAAACUGGGACAAAAGGGGUGAUGGGGAGAGGAGAGGGAGCAGAGAGGGCGGAAAUGAGUGAUGAAAGAUCAAGGGAGGGUGGAAAUACGGGAUUGGAGGCUGGAAGGGGAGGGGAAGCUGAAACUGGGUCGGAAGGGGUGAUGGGGAGAGGAGAGGGAGCAGAGAGGGGGGAAAUGAGUGAUGAAAGAUCAAGGGAGGGUGGAACUACGGGAUUGGAGGCUGGAAGGGGAGUGGAAGCUUAAAGUGGGAGGGAAGAGAGGGGCUGGGAUAGUGGAAACGACGGUAGGAGGUGGGAGAGAGGUGGGAACAAUAGGAAUGAUAGAGGGAGGUGGGAGAGUGACGUGAACAGUAGGAAUGACAGAGGGAGGUGGGAAUGGAGUGGGAGCAGUGGGAAAAACAGAGGAAGGUGGGAGAGGGACGGGAUAGUAAUAAGAUCCAUCUGCCCCGAGGACAGGGUACAGAGGGGUGGGGACAGAGGAGCCUGCGCCAAUUGGAGGUGACGACCGGGUAGUGGCUGGGGGGGCGGAGCCAGAUUCUUUUACAUUGUGUUGGGCGCCAUCAUAGGGCGGUGGCUGGGGAACAUCAAGAGAUGAGUCAUAAUUACAAACAUUUCUGUGAUAUACAUAAAUCGAUUGUCCUCCAAAAUCUAGUUCUUCCUCUAACCAACCCUCCCGCUUGAGUCCUCUUGCCACCCAAUACCAAGACCCCACGGCGUUCGUUAACCCAUAAUCCAACAAUAAGCCCUCUUUGUCAAUAAGCAAUUUCCUCCAAAAUUCUGGCUGUAAUCUACCACUGGGUGACAUUUGAAAGCCACAAAUCUUUGCUAUUUUCUUUAAUUUUAACAUAGCCUCUUCUCCUGCUCUCUCCUUAACUAUGUCACAAGCUAAGUAGUCUUUGGAAGGUCUGGCGUGUUCUUGUCCCAUUUUUACCAAACAAGGCUUCCCACGUAAGAGGGACAGAGAGAGAGAGAGAAAAAAGAAGGAAUGUCUACAGUGCUCGACUGCUACGAGGAAUUGAUCUUCGUGCGUCUUCCCUAAAUGUAGACUAGUCACGGGAUCCGCCCAACCGAUAUGGUGGCCACGGAUCUGAGCAGGCGAGCGUGGGUGACUAACACAGCUCUGGGUAAAAAGUACAGAAGAGGUAGAGAAUGAAGGAAAAGAUGAAGGUGGAGAGACUAAUCAGAAGACAUUUACAAGAGUCACAGAUGUAGAGAUGUGCACAUAAUCCAGAAUCAAGGAUGAGCCACACAACACACACACACACAGCAAGGGUACCCACACUAUGGCCACAAUUGAAUAAAAACCAUAAUAUAAUAAAGAACAAUAUAACAAUGAGCAUAGUAACAACUAAACAGUAAAUAAAACCCUGUUCUGCUCUGAAACGUAAUUCCCAGCCUUUCUCCAGGCGGUUCCCAGCCCUUCACCAGGCGGAUGCGUUCCCUGCCCGCAAGGCAGUCAAGCUAUAAUAAAUUCCCAGCCCUUCACCGGGCGGAUGCGUUCCCUGCCCGCUCAGCAGUCAAGCUAUAAUAAUAAAACAUAAAACCACACACCAGCUGUCUCACACGCACACGCACACUCAGGAGGCAGAUAGACAAUCGACAGGUUCGUUUUAAAAGGCACCGGAUAAGAGAUUACUUGUCUUGUAGCCUUCUGGAAGCUGGAAGUGGACACGGAGACAGACCGACACAAAACAGGAGAAUACAGGCAAACCACUGUAUUUAGGAGGUGAUCAGGCUCCGGUUGUCCCACUUUCCGGAGGUCCGCUCCGGUCCCUUUUUCCGGCCAUCUGAACUGGCGAAUCCCGGUGCCCCACGUUGGGUGCCAAAUGAUAUGGAAUCAAUUAAUUAAUUGAUUAUCUUGCGUAUCGGCCCCUGGCCAAAUUUAAAAAGAUGCGUGCACGCUCCUGAAGUAAUUCACACCAGACACAGGUUUUGGGUUAAUGAAAAACUUGAGGAAUGUUUAUUCUGGGGGACAGCAUGCCCCUUGUAAAGCAAAAUUACAUCAUAUGCAUUGUCAGAGAUAACAUGGAAUAAUACAUCAAUAAUUGGUUAGGUGUUAAGUGGUUCAUUUAUUGCUCUUCCUACCGGGUGUGAUGUCACUGGUAUCUUGGAGGUCUCCCCCAGAUUCCAGCGCCAUUUUGUUAAUGAGGGUGUUAGUCGAUGUCAAAGGGAAACUCCCUAGCGGCCAUUUUAGGUAAAUCACAUAUAAGGUUGAAUAAUACUGAUUGUGGUUAUGCUGAGUAAAUAGGCAUUUUAUUAAUAUGAAUUGGGUUAAUAUUUUGUCCACAACACUUCUUACCUGUCGUCCCAUGCUAGGAGCCUGGGGCAGUUGCCCCCUGUGCCCGCCAUUGCCAGCCUUACUACUCUUGUCUCUCCCAUUUAACAUUCAGUUUAGAAAAUAAUGCCAGGAUAUUGCUAUAAACAGAUAUAGAGUUUACCUAAUAAAAAACGAACGGGUAAAAUGCAUGCAUGUGCAAUGCAGCCACUUGCAGCAUCUUAAUCACUUUAAAAAAUAUAUAUUUUAAACAAUUUGCAUACAUGAAUGGGAGCUGAUUGAGAUGAGCUACUGUUUAUGGCUGACUUGUGCAAGCAUACACUGUAUACAUUUAUACAUAUUCAUUAGAUCAUCUAUAUGCCGGGCUAAGUCUGUUUACUUUUUAAGUAUAAUAGCUUUAGAUCAAUGCAUUACUUGGUUUAUCCGCUGCCUUGUUUUAUGAAUAUUUUUAUUGGUUAGUUUUCAGUCAUUUAUAUUUAUCCUUUAACCCCUCCUGAUGAACACUUAUUUUUGUUUUAUAAUUUACAGACCUUGAUUUUAUUAUUUAGCAUUUAAGAAUUCAUUCCCUGAUUAUGAGCUUUAAUACCAUUUUUAUUGAUUGAUUUAUUCAUUUUUUCUAAGUGCUUAAUUUACGAGACAGUGAUCUGAAACCAAAUAUACAAUAUUUUGGCAUAAAUAGCUGAGCUGGGUUAAUUUUCCUAUUCUGGUCUACAUUUAUAAGGCUAUUCACCAAAGUAAUAAUUCAAAGUGAAUAUCAUAUUAAAGACCAAUAUUGCAAAACCUGAACAAAUCAGAUUUGCUUCCCGUUUGUCCACUUUGGAUUGCAAGUCACGCUGAAUUCAGUUUAGUGAAUACAUCUGUAAGUGAUACAUGGCUGCCAAUUAACUGCAAUUUAAUAAGCCUAAGCUUUUGUGAAUAGACACAUACACAUUUUUACAUGCCUGCAAACAAAGUAGUUUGUGUGUUAGUUAUUUAUUAAAAGAACACUAUAGUGUCAGGAAUACAAACAUGUACAAGCACAUAUUCCUGACACUAUAGUUCUAGUAUGGCUGUUUUGGCCCCUGGUCCGGUUCCUGUUCCGGUUGCACUGAAAAGGUGAUUUUACUCACAUUUUUUCUCACACCACACCUGCCUCACCACAGCUGUCCCCACCUCCAUUGCCAAGAUCAUUAAACUUGGGAGGCUAUAGUGCGGCAAAACGCUGCACUGCGUCAGUCCUUAUAGAGAUGAUAAUAUAGAAAGAUAUAAGAGAGUGUACACUGCAGUGACAAAAACCAUGCAAAAAUAAUUCACCUAGCGCAACAUAUGAUUAUAAAUUGCUAUGGCUCCACCAGCAGAAAUACCAAGUAGAAAAAUAAAAAUACAAUGUUAUACCCUGGUUACUGUUGCUCAGUGACGAACUGCAUACCGAACGUAGCCCCGGGUGAAGUCAUCACAUCACAGGGGCUCCGAAACAUUUGUUUACCUAUUGCUCUUCAAGUACAUGUGGGUUACACAAGUGGGUCCGGUUAACAAAGCUGCACAUUGUAUUUAUCUUAUAUUUCUCCUUAUAGAGAUUAAUUUAUUAAUGUAUCUCUAUGUGGAAUGUUCCACGCUUCCAUGCAGUGGGUAGAGAUUCUAAACGCCGUGCUGAAACAUCGUGCAGCACUGGACUAGAAAGCAUCUCUAGUGGCCAUCUGAGUAACUGCCACUAGAGGUGUUACAUUACAUCUGAAAAGGCAGUGUGUUUACAUUAAAAUGCCUGCAGGGACAUGCUAUAGACACCAAAACCACUUCAUUAAGCUGUAGUGGUUCUGGUGACUAUAGUGUGCCUUUAAGAGCAGUGAUGGAAAUAUAUUAUAAAAGCAGAAACCAAUUAAUGGUUAGUUCUUAUUUCUCCAAGUUUACAAUGUUGCCCCCCAAAUAAAUAUUGUUAAUGAAAAAUAAAGAAAGCAAACACAAUCUGUGCUUGACACUCUGCUUGAAUAAAACGUCACAUAAAGGACUGAAUGAUGUUCCAAACCGUAUUUUUCUUGUGUUAGUAAUGAGCAAAUAAAAAGCAGUGCACAAUAAAACAAACAAAAAAGUUAAGUUAGAAAGGUAAAUUCCCUUAUGAUUUCUGAAUCAAUCAGCAGCAGAGCUUGGCUGCAAAAACCCAAUAAUCAAUAUUCUACAAACCAAAGAGAAAUGUUGAGGCCAACACGUGGGAAUAGGAAACGUGUAGAUUCUCUUCUCUAAUAUAAUGAAGUCAGAGACAAAACAGAAACAUGUUAUGCUGGUGCAAACAUACUCAGAUAUUUAAUAGUCAGAACUUUUCCCCAUUCUGCUAAAUUCCUAUGUAUAAGGCACAAAAGUGACAGGGAAGAGGGGGCUUGUGCAUAAAAUUGGUGAAUAUUGUUGCCAUACGUUAAGCUCCUCCCCCACCCCACACAGUUCUACCUGGAGGGCAUUUCCAAUGACACUGAGCAGAUAGAUCUCCUACCAUAACCACUACAUCACAAGACAUAGUGCUGUUCCAUUAUAACUUGUUGCAUCCCAUGUGGACAUGUUAUUAAUCAAGUGUUAUGUAUUACUUCCACAAUAAUUAUGUUUUCACUUUGGUUAAUUGAAAAAAAAAAAAAAACACCCAUAGUUACUUACUGUUAUUAUGUAUGUAUUAUGCACAUGUAUAAAUUGAUGUAGUCUGUUCACUACUUGACCUCUCCCUGGCAGUUUUUUUUUUUGUACUGUGCCAUGUUUAUGUCAGAAUCCAGUUCAGACAAAGCAGAGCCAGGGCACACAUCAUUAAUGAGGAGAAAUGGAAAUAUUGUAUAGACCAAAAAGAUGUCAGGAAACUGUUCAGACAUCACAGUGCUAUGCUGGCUGACAUCACAGUGCUAUGCUGGCUGACAUCACAGUGCUGUGUUGACUGACAUCACCGUGCUGUAUUCUCUGACAUCACGCUGCUGUGCUGGCUGACCUCAUAGUGCUGUGCUGGCUGACGUCACGGUGCUGUGCUGGCUAAUCAGACUGAAAAAUUUAAUUCACAAACAUUGAAUGUGCCUAGCUAGCUUAUUCAUUGACAUCACAGUACUGUGCUGGCUCAUCAGUCUGAAAAAUGCCAUUCAUAAACAUUGCCUCUGCCUACCUUAUUCAUCACUGAAAAAUGUAUUCAAGAACUCCAACAGUACUUAACAAAGAAUUUGGUAGAAGUUGACACCUAAGGCUAGCUAUGGUUACAUAACAUUCUAGCACUCAAUUCCAUUUCAACAAUAUUUUACGCUAUCUAUUCAACAUGUAGACUAUAUAUGCAUGUUGCAGUGAAUUUAUAAUAUGAGCUGAUUUUAAAACCGGUGUGUAUGAAUACAGCAUCCCACUGGGACUGUGGUCCAGAUCAAAGGAUGAUGUUAUCUGACAGUAACAAGAUUUAUUCCUCCACACCUGGUCCCUACAGCGUGUAUUUAAAUUAUCUGUCGAUGGUGCCUCAUUUCCUAUAAUUGUAGGGGGUCUAUUCACUAAAUUAUAUACACAGGCUUUACAUCAUUUUAAGGCUAAAAUAAAAUAUAUAAGCUUUUGGUCUCCCAGAUUAACUUCUAUUUCGCAAACCUGUCUCUUGCGUUCUCUUAUAGGGCUACACUUUGCUGUUACCUUUCAGUUCUGCUACUUUCACACCUUGUUGCUUAGUUACUAUUCCCUUUAAUGCUAUUUUUGUUGUGUUUUGUUUUAUACACCACCUCCUCUAGAUUGUAAGCUCCUUUGAGCACGUUCCUCAUCAACCUAUUGUACCUGUAACAUUUGGUAAUUGUCUCAUAUAAAUUUCCUCCUUAACCCCUUAAGGACGGUGGGCGUGUUAUGCCGUCCUUGGGGACCCAGCUCUAAACGCCGGGGGCCGGCAUAACACGUCCCCGCCAUCCUAUGUACUUACCCGAUCAUUGGCGAUCGCGGUGGGGGGACUCACCUGGCAUCCCAGGGAGUCCCCUGCUCCUGUUCCAGCCCUCCUGGGCUAUGUGAUUGAGAGGUCUUUCACGUGGCGUUCACCUAUACGAACGAUGGCCGCCCAGAGAGUGCAUAAUAGACGGUUCCCUUUGAAGGUAAUGAGCCAGGAGGGUGGUCGGUGUUCGGUAGUUUAAUCUACCGAACCAAUAAAUCCAAAAUAAACGAAUUCAGCGGAAAGUCACGAAUAAAAGAAGAAAAUGCCGAAAAUAAGUCUAUUGUCUUCACAACAGGUACUCCCCCUGCUGCCUGUAAAAAACUGUUUAAAACUAAAUUAUAUAUACUUAGAUCAUAUAUAUAUUUAUUACAUAAAUUAUCUAAGUAUAUAUAUAUAUAUAUAUAUAUAUAUAUAUAUACAUACACAUACAUACACAUACACUGUCUAAGAGUAUUUUAAUAUAUAUAUAUAUAUAUAUAUAUAUAUAAAAACAUCAUUUUGCAUUUUUCACACACAAACAAAUAUCAACACUCACUUUUGUGACCAAGUGGCUUCUAAGAAAGACCCCAUUUGCAAUACCUUGGAUUGUGUACUUUUGCAAAUGGUAUGCCAUCAUGGGGAUAAUUCUCAUUCCUGGGCUACCAUACGCUCUCAAAGGCAACAUAACCAAUCUGGCGAAUUUCAAUGUGAAAAAACUGAAAAAUGUAACAUGCUAUAUUUGACCCGGUAACUUCUCAAAACCCCAUAAAACCUGUACAUAGGGGGUACUGUUUUACACGUGAGACAUCGCUGAAUGCAAAUAUGUGUACUUUAUUGGAUGAAUAAACUGGAAAGUAGUGUACCUAUAAAUAGGGAGAAAGUAGCAUGUGCCUAUACUUCAUAAUAAAAAAUUGAAGAUAGAAGGCACAAAUAAAAAGACCAAAAGGUCAAAAAACAAUAAAAGAUUUUGAGUAUAAAUAGCAUCAAAAAGAUUUGAAUAGCAACAAUGGAUACAACGAGAAAUUGUAACACUAAAAAUAGAAAAAGAUACAAAGUAAUACGCUAGAAUCAGUUCUGAUGUCUUGAAUGAUACAAACGUAAUCAGCUACAGCACACGUCUGUGCUGUUUGGAAGAGACAUAUAAAUGCUAAUUGUGUGUUAAUGGGAGAGUGGUAGGAUAUAAUGUAUGGUAAAACCACAAUAAGACAUACAUGAAACUAGAGCCUGCAAAUGUAAACUGCGUAUAUAUCGUGUCCACAAACAAAGAUAUUGAAUGUAUGAAUAUAAAUAUAAUAGUGGUGGAAUCAGAUACAAACAGAGGUGUGAUGCUGGUAAAUCUCUAGAAUUAGAAUCUAAUAGUGAAGUCCACAUGUAUGUAAUAUGCAUUAUUGGCAAUCUUUGUGAUGUUUGAUAGUAGAAAGAGUAGUAGUGAUACGAUAAAAUAUAGACAGGAAUGCCGAUAGAUCUAUAUCAUUAAAGAUGGAGACUCUAAAAAGCGUGCUACAUUCCUAAUGGCAAUGAUAACUAAAGGUAAAUCCCAAAAUAUUCUGUUCGAUCAAUGAAUGUUAAGUAAUCAACUGGAAUGACUGAUCAAUAAAUAUUAGAUGAUCGACUAAAAUAGAUGGAUAAAUGGAUGUUAGCUAAUCGACUCAAAUGACUAAUCAAUAGGUGAUCGACUAAAAUGACCUUGAAUUGAUGAAAAUAAACGGGAUGAAUAUAUAAGUAGAACUGGUAAAUGAAUAAUAAUUGUAAAAGGAAAGAAUAAGCACUGUAUAGUGAUAUACUAAUGUUAAAAAAGAAGAAAAAGAAGCACGCUAUGAAUCUGUAACUAUUCCUAUAGAAGUGAUGGUAACCGAUGGCUGUCCUAAACUGUCUGAAAAUAAACAGAGACAGGUAUAAAGUGGACUAACACUAUUGCUAUCAAUCCACCCCCGUGCCUUCGAGGGCACCUAUGUCUAACCCAGCUGAAGAAUAAACUAAUUACAAAAAGACUAUCAGAGUAAAUAACAUAAUAUGAUAAAAAGACGGCAUGUAUAAAGCCCUAAAUCCCCUGACGCGCACGUUUCACCCACUUAGCUCGUCAGAGGGGAACCGGUCAGAGGAGAAUGCUGGAUUUAAAAAGGACGGGAACGGCAAUGAUUGGACAGGGUAAAUAGCUCUGAUUGGAUGAAGUGAGAUGACAUCGUAGGAGGUGUGUGUCUCACUGACCCGACCGUGAAAAGAAGAAUUAACCCCUUAGGUGACAGGUUUAAUAUAAAAUGUUUGGAACAGAAUAGUAGUAUAAAUGUUGAGACUCAAAUAUAGUCUAUAUAUAAAGUACAAAAAAACUCCAAACAUGGCACAAUAUAUAUUAAUAGUAAACGAUAGAGUAAUAUAAAGAUAUUAGGUAAAUGAUGAUUAUUCUAAGAAAAACAUUAAAAUAAACAUACAGUAGUAAAAAAAAGAAUAGUAUUGAUAUAUAAAGGGGUAUGAGACCAUGUAUAAAUAUGGAAGGAUUCAAAGAUAACAAGAAUGUGAAAUGUAUAUUAAGAUUAGAAAAUAACAGUGUUGUUAAAAGAAAGAAUAUCGGUUGUAUAUACAAUGGGAAAGUAAGAGAUUGAUACAGAGAAAACAAUGAUGAUUGGACAGGAUAAAUAACUGUUGAAUAAAAUUGGAGGACAUCAUAGAAGAUGUAUUUUGCGCGUUAUCAAACCUCAGAGAGAAUUAACCCCUAAGGGACGCUGAAUGACAGACUUGGUAUACAAUGAUGAAAACAAAAAUGGAAUGUUAAGGCUUAGAUAUAGUCUGUGUAGCAGUACAAACAGUUCCAAAGUAGCAAGAUAUAUUAAUAUCUGAUUAAUUAGAUGUAUAAAGUAAAAAAAGGGCUAUAAUGAACAUGUAAAAGAAAAUGAAUACAUAAAAAAUGGAAAUUAGGCACAAAAUGCAAAAAUUGGGAAAAAAAUUGAUUAUAGCGCUCUAAUAAAAUCAGUAUAAAUUAAAAUAAAAUGUUCACUAACUUUAUGAGAUUAGGUAUGGUAAGUAGUGUAGAAUAUGGUAAAGAAGAAGAAAAAUUCCAGAUGAUGAACCAAUAUCUGAAUUAAGAAACUUAUUUAUGGAUAAACAGAGUAAAAUUGAACUCCUCAUUAAGGCCACUUGGAGCCAGAGUUUAAAAGUGAUAAAUCCACCUGGAUUCCUUCAUUAACAGCAUUUUAUUAAAAUUGCCCUUUCAAGAAUUCAUGGUUAUUUUUUCAAUAGCCUGGAACAUAAGGUGACUUGAAUCGCCGCCAUGGUGCAACCUAACAUGAUUAGACAAUGGGGUAGAAAUGGUCAGAUUUGAAAUUGAACAUAUAUGUUGAAGAAUCCUUCUUUUGAGCUGUUGGUAGGUUUUAUCAAUGUAUUGAAUUUUGCAGCUGCAAGUUAUGAGAUAUAUAACUCUGGUGGAAUUACAAUUAAUGAAUUGUUUGAUUUUGUAUUCUUUCGUUGUAGUUGUACUUAGGACAGUUUUAGAGGGUUUAAUAUGCUUGCAGGCCUUACAGUGGCCACAUUGAUAAACACCUGAAACAGGGGUUAACCAGGUUGAAUUAUAAUUGGGUUCAAUGUGACUAUGUACAAGAUGGUCACGUAAAUUCUUGGCCCUGCGCGCAGUAAUAUUGUGAAACUUGCUGAUGUUCUCCUUAAGGUCCUUGUCAUAAUUGAGAAUAGGCCAAUUAUGAGACAUAAUUCGUAAAACUGGUUCCCAAUAUUUAUCAAACGUCCUAAUACAACGGAUAAUGUCAGAGUCUGACACUUGUCUGUUGGUAUGUAAACUCUCACUUCUGUUCUUGGCAGCUGCUAGUUGGUAUGCUCUUUUUAAUAAUCUGUUAGGAUAUCCUUUCUGUUUCAACAUCAUUCUUAAUGUUUUUGUUUCCAGAUGAAAGGUUUCAUCAUUAGAGAAACAUAGAAACAUAGAAUGUGACGGCAGAUAAGAACCAUUCGGCCCAUCUAGUCUGCCCAAUUUUCUAAAUACUUUAAUUAGUCCCUAGCCUUAUCUUAUAGAGCAAUUACGUCUAGCCCUAAGAUAUUGUCCUUAAGGGAUGCCAGAUUUGAGUUUAAUUGGAUGAUGGCUAUUCAAAUUUAACAGGCUAUUUGUUGCUGUAGGUUUGCGAUAUAGCUCUGUUUCAAUGACUCCAUCAGGUCGAAUUUUGAUAUUGAGAUCAAGAAAAAUCAGAUGUUCAGUAUCUAUGACAUGGGUUAAUUGAAGACCGAUAGAAUUGUUGUUAAGUACUUCGACCAAUUCUUCAAAUUGUUUAAUAGUCCCCAACCAGAAUACCAAGACAUCAUCUAUAUACCUGUGCCAGCUGUAAAUACAGGUUUGGUAGUUGGUUCUGAUAAUUGGAUCCAAAAUGGUUUCUUCCCACCAGCCCAGGUAAAGAUUGGCAUAGCUUGGGGCACAAGCCGUGCCCAUCGCUGUGCCCCUGAGUUGGAGGUAAUAUAUACCAUUGAAUACAAAAAAAAUUGUGCGUUAGUACAUAUUUCAAAAGUUGAAUGAUAAAGUCACUCUGUGUUGGAGAACAUUUGUUGGAUUUGAGAAGAAAGUGUCUGAUUGCAAUAAGCCCUAUGUCGUGAGGAAUAUUAUUAUAAAGAGCUACAACAUCGAGGCUCCCCAAAAGACAGUAAGGUGGUACAAUAAGAUUUUCUAAUAGGAUAAGAGUUUGCUUAGUGUCUUGAAGAUAUGAUGGAAGUCCAAUCACUAGCGGAUGUAGCAAUUUCUCUAAAUAUUUGCUACUUCGCUCGGUGAUGGAGCCGUUGCCAGACACUAUUGGUCUACCCGGUGGUUUAUUGAUGUUUUUGUGUACCUUGGGAAUACAGUGCAGGGUGGCGAUAUUCGGAGUGAGGUGUGGUAAUAUAAAUUUGUAUUCAUCUUGUGUUAUAAUUUUAUUGUCUAAUGCAGGUAUUAAAAUAGACUUAAGUUCAUUAAGAUACUGAGGAGUGGGAUCCUUGGGAAGUUUGUUAUAAGCUAGUGGAUCUCUAAGAUGUUGUCACGAUUCUGCAACCUAACACGCUAACAGGACAUAGAGAGGAAAGAUGCUAUACCGGUCCUUAGAGUGGCCGAGCUAAGCACACUAAGAAUGGUCAGGAGACAAGCCAAGUAAAGGGAGCUAGAAAACGGGAGAACGAGAAACAAGCCGAGGUCAAACGAGUGGAGAAGACAGGAUAAUCGGAAUAACAAGCCAAAUAAUCGGUAACCAGAGAGAAACACGAGCAAACUGCAAUACAGGUAUCACAAGACCACAACAGGGCACUGAGAGACAGGAAAGGUAAGUAUAAAUACCCUUUGCUUAAUUCUGAUUGGAUAACUUCCAAUCAGAAUUAACAAUCACACGUGGGAGAUAUCUAUGCCUCCCACUGUGAUUGUGGUACUGUUGCUUUAAUGCCGGGUCAUGUGAGUGACCCUGGCGUUUGCAUAAAUUUGCGACCUCCCAGCGUGCAGCGUUAUACAUGCUGCGUGGAGGACACGAGCGGCGGAGAGGAGACAGCGCACGCCGACAGGUAGGAGGAGGGGAGACCAAGUGGCGUGCAGCCUCCCCUCACAGCCGCCCACGGACCCCUGACAGAUGUUCCAUACACAUCUCUAUGUAUUGUUCUUUAUUCAUCAAAACUACAUUGCCACCUUUAUUGGAAGGUUUGAUUAUAAGAUCUACUGCUGUACUUAAUUCUUUAAGAGCUCUCCUUUGGGGUAUGGUGAGAUUAUCAUGUCUGAUCUUAGGAACAGUAAGUGACUCUAUUGCAGAUGUAGUCAUUUGUAUAAAUAAAUCAACACUUGAUACGUCACUUAAAUUAGGGGUAAACCAGCUUUCUGGUUUCAAAUUGGUAAGUGGUGGUUCAGAGUUUUGCUCCUCAAGUAAUGAUAAUAGUGUUUGAUGAAGACGAAAUUCAUCAUAGGGAAUACCUGCCUCUUUGGCCAGUUUAUAAUCCUUUCUCUUAUGAACAACAUGCAAAGCCAAUUUACGGGCAAAAAGGUUUGUAUCCUUGAUCCACUCGAAUUUAUUAGUGUUUGGGGUAGGUAUGAAUGAUAGUCCUUUGUUAAGGAGUGAGAUGUGAUGCUCUUGUAAAUUGAAUUUGGAUACAUUUAUAAUUUGAUUAGAAUUGUCACCUAUUGAUACUGAUUCGGUCUUCUUUCUCUUUUGUAGCCCAUUUGCGCCUGUCUCGUAACUUGUCUCUCUGUGGGAGAGGCCAGUCUUCCUCUAAAAAAGGAAGUUGUCCCUCAUUAUUCGAGGUUUGGCUUGAGGUUACCGUUUCAAGGACUGGAGUCUCAGGGAAAGUGACAUUCCUAGUUUUGAGAAUGCCCCUAUUCUUAGGUGGUUGAGACUGGGUUUUCUGAUAGUCUCGUCUAGAUGUACUGGAGUCUGAGUCGGACCAGUCUGUAUUACCAGAGGUAGAGCUAUUUCUGCUGCUAGUUUAUUUUCUAGGUCUUUUGAUUCGAAAGAUAUUACCCUCUUUGAAAUCUCUAUGAUCUCUUAAAUAUUUAUCAUGUUUUUUUUCCCUAACAUGUUUCUUGAAUCCUUCUUAGUUUUUUUGCAACUUAUUUUCUAGAAGGGGAAAUUCAGUUCUAUCCUUGAAGGUUUUUACAUUUAUCAAUUCCUUUUCUAAAUUUUGAUUCACUGUUUCUAAAUUGUUGGUUUCUAAUUUAACUAGGAACUGCAUAAGUUUGGCAGAGCAUUCUAAAAGUAUGUUGUUCCAUUCUUGGAUUUGUUCGUCUGUAAUUGCCUUUCUGGAAGAGAUAUUUCGGGUCUUAAACCCCGUGGUACCAAUUUAUGGUCCAGAUAUUGUUUGAGGCUAAUCAACUCCCAAUAUCCUUUAAUCUGUUGUUGAUACAACUUUUGAAUUGUAAAAAAUACUUCACUGAUAUCAUUGCUAGGUGGUAAAUUAAGAGGAUUUAAUGAGAACACAUUAUUAAUGUCUGUGGGUCCAGGGUCAGGAUUAAUUACACCAGAUAGAAAGGACAUGUUUUGUAUGGGGCUGUAAAAUAAGGUACUAAAACCAAGUGUAAAAUUAAAGACUAAUCAAAUACAGCCAAAUAAGGUACACUGAAUGCAGGGGGUUAACCCCUAGUGAAAAUGGAUAAAUAAACUGGAAAGUAGUGUACCUAUGAAUAGGGAGAAAGUAGCAUGUGCCUAUACUUCAUAAUAAAAAAUUGAAGAUAGAAGGCACAAAUAAAAAGACCAAAAGGUCAAAAACCAAUAAAAGAGUUUAUUGAGUAUAAAUAGCAUCAAAAAGAUUUGAAUAGCAACAAACAGUAUUAUGACAUUCACAGUUAAAAUGUCAUGUGGAACUAAAAAUAAAAUUACAAUUCUUAUUUUCUCCCAUUUUUUUAUACUUUAUUCAUAUUAAAUUAUGUUUCAUACCUGAAUAUUUGAUGCUUAAUGAAAGCCCUGUUUCCCCUGAAUAAAAUGAUAUAUAAAAAGUGUGGGUGCACAUAAUAUGAAAGAGGCGAAUUACGCCUGAACAGAUAUAUAGCGCAAAUUCCAGGUUUUGCUUACGUUUUGUUUUGAUCACAACGUGUACAUUUGGCUCAGUCCUUAAGAGUUUAAUAAUAUUGUUGUAAGCACUGUGGAAUAUGUUGGUGCUAUAUAAAUGCCAAAAAUAAUAGUAAUAGUGUAAAAAAUAAUCAUUCACACAUUAUGUAUUAUUGUGUUAUUUUUUUCAACCUAGUUAGAGACAAUUAAAUGUAAAUAUGAGAUUGCCUUUAUGCAUCUUAAAUCCAUUGGGUUCAGGGGUGUAGUGUGCUUUAAACUAGGAGCUAUUUUAUUCUUGACAUUUCUGAUAUCUCAGGUGGCCUUGUGUUUUUUACUGAGCGACAUUUCAAAUUAAAUUCCUGUAUUAGCUUCUGAAUACUCUGCCUGGAGGCUAUUCCGUGAAUCCACCACCUAUUUUAAAAUGAAUGCGUCCUCACAUGUUUCAUGAGAUAUGUGCCCUCCAUCUUCAGAUUAUGACCUCCUGCUCUGGUAUUUACAAAUAUCUUGUUUAUUGCUGAAAGAAACACGAAAAAAAAAAAACUCCAAUCCAAUGAUUUCAUGACAAUUUCUAGAAUUUGAAAGUUAUGAAAUUUUAUUUUUGAAAAAUGUGCGUCUGGUUCGAAAUCUGAACCCCUUGUGCGUAAUGGACCAUAACGCUUAUGGUGGUUGUACUUUUAGUCGAAAACCGGGCAUUUUUAUGCUUUCAGCCUUUGCUUCAAUAGAACCGGCACAGAAAAUCUACUUUGUGGCUGUAUUUUGUAAGCACAUAUUGGUUAGACAAGUUACACAAGGUUCCUUUUCGUGUGAAUUACCCUCUGUAGAGUAUAGAAAAAGCAUUGAGUGGCAGAAUAAUAGGGUCGUUCCUUGCGUGAUGUCCCAGAAUAGCUGUAAAGUUUCCUUCUAGAGAUCAUUUCUUCAUGGUGUUGAAUGUAGAUCUCAGUGACAGCACAUCUAUCCAUCACUUUCCUUCCUGUGAAAUGAGGAAGUGUAAUACUGAAUAAAGAUAUUUCAACACCAUAAAACGUAUCAUCGUUCAGUGGAGAGAGUAAUUCAUUUAUAUUGUUAUUUGUGUGCGGUUUUCUACUGUAAUAAAAUAAUAAAAUAUUUUCUAAAAGAGAAAAUGCAAUCAUCUAAAUAUUUGUAUUAUUUUAUAUUAGAAAAUUGCAGCCAUUUGUAUGUUUUGGCAGGCUACAGUAAAAUGGCUCCUCCAGUUACUCACACAUGUUGAGUGUAAUGUGUGGAUUAGACUACUGUUAGUAUCGCUAAGUAUUUGUAUUUAUUAUUGUUGUUUUUUUUAAAUAUAAUAAUAGAUUUACUCCAUAAGUACUCUUUUUCUGUCCCUCCCUCUCAAUUAAUCUGUUUCUUCGUUCUUCUUUGCCCCAAUACAGCGUUACAGAUUGCACACUAAAGCAUUCUGGGAUUUAUAAUUCAGCUGUUAGCUUUCUAUAGAAGUUAAAAAAUUAUGUAUAAUACAGAUAACCAUUUAUAUGGCCUAAAAGUACUGUUUACCUAACCCUGGUUCUCAAUCCCCUAUGUAAUGGUAGCGGGCACAGCCUAUCUGAGCGCCCAAGAUUUUAGCCAUCCGGUCUGCAUGGAACUAUGUACCAAAUCGGAAACUAGAUGCGGCUGGCAAAACCUUUAACUGGGUGGCAAUUGUUUACAUGGAUAAUAAGGGUACUUUUUGGACAGAGACUGAGAGGAUGCGCCAUCUGGGGAUAUCUUUGUUUGUCGGGCUGGAGAGGUCUCUGAUGUUUGGGGGGCUGCAGAGGGUUUCCACUGGUUAGUAAGAAGGAAUUGGGGAUUUUAUACAUACUCUGUAGCAGCCAUGGCAAAUUUAAUGUGUUAUUAACUUGUACAUCACAUUUGAAAAUAAGAAAAUUUAUAUAGGAUUUUGGCAUAGGUUUACUACUGCCUUCAAACUGAAAGGAGUAUUAUGUUAGAAAGUCAAUUCCUGUUCUAUGCAAAGUUCGAUGCAGAAGCUAAAAAAACAGCAAAUGCAGGAACUUCAACUGUGAAUAUAUUUUUUUAUUUUGCAUAUGUUUUCAUUAAAAAAAGCAAAAACGGGCUAUCUCCAACCUGGCGUGUCCCAUUAAUCUCAGUGAAUGAACAAGAUCUCCCAAGAUAUAAAUCAUUGCUGCAUUCUUUUCUUACUAGGAGAGGUAACACACAAAUUGACUUGUUGGUAGACUACUAGAAAGCCAACGUGGCUGCUUCCAGAAGACUUAUUUUAUAUGUGUUUUAUCAAAACUAGUGGUGGCAAAAAAGACAACUAGAAUUACAUUGCCAAAUUUGAAGGCAAAACAGCACAUUAUCCCAACACACUAUAUCUUGAUUUUACAUUAAAUGUUUUAUAUGAAUACACUAAUAAUAAAAUAAUAUAAUUACAUAAUAUAUUUUGUAUUGUGCUGUGACACAGCAACCAAAAAGCCCAUUUAUACUAAUGGUCUGGGGGCAUUUGCCCCUAGCCCCUUUUCCCCUGCCCUCUUGCCCGCUGCCCCCCGGUUAUAUUGGCUAAACUGGUAAUGUAAAGAUUUAAAAACAAAUAGCGAAUUUUAGGCCGUAAUAGCUGAAUUUAAAAAAAUAAUGCGCCAAAUUCAGUUAUUUUAAGCUAAAAAAUUAAUUUCUCUUGCCAGUUCUUCGUCUGAGUUAGUGAAUAAAUUCUCUGCACGGUUUUAUCAAGGUAAGUAUAAAUCAACUCUAGUCUUAUGGCUAUACAGUCUACAGUCUUAUGGUCCUUUUUUACAGAUAUCAGAAUACGUUCAAUUAUCUCAUGCAAUCAUAAGCUAUUUUAUUUUUAUUUCUUCAUGAUGGAGCCGAAACGUUCAUUCUCACGAAGAAGAGGGAUCCACAUAACAAUACAAUGAACAGCCCCAGAGACCUGUUGAUAAGAAUAUAUUCGGAAAACUGCUUUUGCUGUUCUUCAGGAACCAGGCAGCAUUACAAUGCAAAUGAUUAAUCACAAAUGUCGAAUCUAUUUGUAGUAAUCAGAGACACAUUGUAUAGAAAGAUGUGUGACCAGAAACAUGUAAGCUUCAUGUAGACUGAAACAUGAUAGUAUAACUCCCCCACCACCCCAUGCAGCAACUGUGACAUGUUAUUAACAACUGUGGAAUAUUGCUCUCUAUGCUGACAGAAUUCAGAAUACUUCAUUCAGGAUAUUACUAGCAUUGUUAUUUUAUUAAAGGAGAGAUGUUCAUAUUAUCCUGAUGUUUUGCAGUGUAUUUUCUAGCUAACAAAAUCAAAAUAUAAAACUAUUUGAUAUAAAACUGUUCCGAGUGGUUGAAAAUCAAUACCCUUACUCACGUGUGAGUUUAAAAUACUGGUUAGGUGGUUUCUGACACCGGACUGCUUAAGAACAAUGGCACCGAACAGAAAGAUUCCUAGAGUUGUGAAGCCUUUGGUUGUUUUAUGUCUCAACCCUGCAUAGAAGAGUAGUGGGGGGUGAGGUAGACUGACUUUGACACCCCCAAGGACCAGGGUUGUAUCCAUUAGGGAGAUGUGACAAUGUAGACCCGAGUCGGUUGGAUGUGGGUUUCGUGUGGUCCUGAGGUGAACUUUUAUGCACUCUUGUCAAACUUGAAUAAAUUAAGGAUGUAACACCCAAAUAAUGCUAGAAUACACCUGUGCAACAUGGUAAGUACAUGAUAUAUUUUAUUAUGCUAAAGCUGCAAAUGUUAUGUUGAAAUAAUAACGACGAAAAACUAAAGUAAAGAUUGUCAAAGAUAAAACUCUUUUGAAAUAACAAUGCUCUCACUUUGCCACAGUUUAGGGAACUCUCUAUACUUUUGCCACCUAUUUCUCCUGCCCUCGAAAAUCAAUCCUUAAAGAUCCACUAAUUGCACCCAAACCACUUCAUCUCAAUGAUGUGGUCUGGGUGCAGUGCCCCUUUUGUUUUAACCCUGCAAUCUAAAACAUAGCAGUAUUUGUAAUUUUACAUGUUUACAUUGCAGGAUUAAACAUACAUCCAGACAGACAGUAGAGCUGAUAACACAGCAACACAGUGAUUACUCAGUGAAACUCAGUCAUAUGACCAAAUGCUGCUCAUGAAUGAUUUCCUAUGAGGAGCAUUUGAUUGGCCGCACACGUACCUUGUCCCUAGUGGCCGUAAACGUACCUUGUCCCUACUGGCCGUACACGUACCUUGUCCCUACUGCGCCUUUAUGAGGAGCUUUGGAUAGGACAUACAUCGUGGUAGCGGGAGAUGGAGUGGGCAGCAUCACCGAGCGGGUUUCCUAAUAUAAAUUUGCAAAAGAAAAAGGGCCCUGAAUCUAUAUUGGAACUAGGGCACUAUAGUGUAAAGAAUACAGUUUUGUUUUCUUAAUGCUCUAGUGUCCCUUUAAUGAAAAGGGAAUCUUCUCAAGAGUUUGUUUAUGGAGUUAGUUUGAGAGUUUUGACAUGAGUUAGGAAUAAUGGCAAAUGUUAGUUGAUUUCCAUUAAAUGAUUUGAGCCUGGCAAUAUCAUUUAUUAAAUGAUACAGUGAUAUCAACAAUGAAAUUAUAUUUAAAAAAGUAUAUAUCUGAGUUAGAACCACAUAUAUCUAUACAUAGCUAAUUAACUUGAAUUAAUGAGUAUAAAGUACUUUAGUGCUGAUUUAAAAAAAAAUAUUUAUUAAUUGGGUUUUUGUUUUUUGUCAAUUGCCUAAUUAAUUUAUUAUCUGCAUCCAAUUAUAUAUGGUUAUUUAAAAAUCUUUUUUUUUUUCCUUCUCUGCUAAGGAAUUUUUUUUGCUGUAAGUUUAGUCCAUGAUGUUUUCAUAUCAAACACAGUUGAUAUUUAAGUUAUAUUAAAUGUAUAUGUAUAUAUUUGUUAUUUUUCUCUUCAGUUUGAUUAUUGUAAGUUGUUACUCUUUAUCCAUAUUUAAAUCAAAAAUAUUUAAAUCAAAACACUGACCUGAUUUGCAUGACUUUUGACCUGAUUUAUUUAUUUGUAUGAAGCUGAUAUGUCUUCAUCUUCAAGAGAAAUGACAAGAAGAGCACAGGGCAAAUGAUUAAUUUGGAGGAAACUCUAUAAGGCAAAAAAAUAUUGGACAUUCCACCCAUUUUCUAUGCAUGAGAACAGUGUACAGUACUAAAUACAUUACUCAGAUUUGAUACUCUUCUCAUUGACCAGGAUGGAGAGUUGUGUAGACCCACCAGGAUGUGAGCCUAGACAGGCUAUGAGUAGGAUCUUUACAAAGGCUCAUUCACCCACUGAGCCAACUUACCAUCUAAAUCUUUCAGCUAAACUAUUUUUAAAUACAUUUUGUUUUAGCUUUUAGCUUUGAGACAGCUAACUUGUGAUGAUGAACAAAGAUGAAUUAUGUAGUAAUUCAGAUUUCCUGGCAAACAGAAUGAGAAUAUUAAUGCCUUGAAGGAAUUAUUUAUCACUUGAAAAUCUUUCCAUGUUUCUAAUCAAGUCUAUGUGCACACGAUGCAUGCAUGGAUGAAUGGAUGGAUAGACGGAUGGAUGAAUAGGUGGAUUGAUAGAUGGAUGGGUGGAAAGAUGGAUGGAUGGAUGGAUAGAUGGAUGGAUACAAGGAAGGAUGGGUGGAAGGAAGGAUGAGUGGAUGGGUGGAAGGAUGGCUAGAUGUAUUGGUGGAAGGAUGAAUGGAUGGAUGGAUAGAUAGAUGGAUGGAUUGGUAGAUGAAUGGGUGAAAGGAAGGAGGAGUGGAUGGGUGGAAGGAUGGAUGAAUGAUGGAUGGUUAGAUGAAUGGAUGGGCGGAAGGAUGGAUGGAUAUGUGGAGGGCAGUUUUAGUCACUUGCUAGUCCAUUUAGUUUGGGUUACAUUAGAGAAUUUUAUUUUAGCUAAAAUUUUCUUAGCAAACAUAAAAAUAAAAAAAUCAAAGCUUGCUGUCAUACAUUUUUAUGUAUUAUUAUUAUUGGUAUUUAUAUAGCUUUACAAUAAAAGUGUAUGCAUAGAAUUGGCCAAGCAGAUAUAUAUUAUAUAUAUUAUUGUUGUUGUUUCUUUUGCUUUUUAAUAUUGCCAGGGGCACAAAUGCACACUGACAUGAUACAAGCAAGCAUUUUUUGAAAAUAUUUUGCACAUUGAAUCUCUGAAUUACUUUAACACUACAGUUUGCGUGUUUGUGCCGAUGCAUUCAUAUGUAAACAAUAAAGUAAAACAACAUUUUCUUUAUGUCAAUACAUUGCCAGCAAAUUGUUCUCCAUCAUUUUUUAUGCAUCACAAAUGUAAAUCUUUAAAUGCAAAUUGAUCAGUAAAUAAGUACAAGUGUGCUACUUUUAGUUCAGGGCUAUUACUCUCUCCCUCGUGAGGAUACUUAAAAAGUUGAUUUAAUAUUUGUUGCUAGCAGUGUUUACAAUGUGUCUAAGCAUGUAAAUAAGCAUAGAGAGAACAUGUCAUCUCCAAAUAUAUCUCAAUCUGAGCAUUCCAACAAACACCUACAGUUUGGUAUGCUGACCCCGACCAGCUGCCAUAGUAACAGUUAGCAGGCAAAUUGCAAAAUACCAUGCACUUUUAUCCGUUUUGUGACAUUUCUAAAAAUAGCACUGCUCAUAAUAUAGUGGAUCUGCAGAUGAGAAAACAUUUUUUUAUUUCUUUCAGAAAAAUCUCUGAGAGAUCUGAAAUCCCGAUACGCAAUCCGCACCGUUAAGGCUUAUUCAGUAUAUCAAAACAUAAGGACAUGUUGACAAUUGUGGGGGAGGUUGUAAUAUUUAACCUAAUCCACUGAAUGAGUACUGUUUAAUUAAAUAAUAGCAGUAAAAAUAAUUGUUUGCUCAACAUGAUCAGCGCUGACACAUUGUAAUUUGUACAUCAUUUCAACACAUCAUUUUUUGUAUAACAAUGUUUACUAACAGAGUACCGUUUUUAAAUUUUUUUUAAGUAUUAAUUUACUCUGUCAGUUAUCUUUUUAUUGCAAAAUAUUCAAUCUAGAAUGACGUUAUAUUUUUAUGAUAUGGAUGAAGAUGAUUUUACAAAAGAAUGGGCAAAAGAAGGCAAAAUUCAGAGAAAUAAGUAAUUAAAGCUGAUAAUUAUGUUUAUCAAUGCACAAUAAAGAUAAACCAGUCAAUUUUAACAUUGGGCCAAUGAGAUACCUUCCUAAAGCAAUCUAGAAUAACAAAAGGAAGGCUUAGAUUGAGUUAGCUAGCACGAGCACAUUGACAGUGAAGGUAGGUGUGAAUAAUUUACAGCAAUGCUACAUUCACAAGCUGAAUUUUCAGAAGGAAUGUUAAACACAUUAAAAGACAUAUGUUUAGAGAGUAUUGAUUUUUUUUAGAGAUGAUUAUGAUUAGACAGGCAAGGUUGAAAAAAAUAAGGCAUGCUGGGAGCUGUAGAAGUUCAUAUAAACAUAGCAUGGCUAUGACGCUGGAAAUGAACAGAAAUUACCAGGGCCAGACUGGGGCAAAAAAUAAGCCUGUGGUGUUUUAAAGAAGAGCACCCUUUAAAGGUUCAGGUAUCAAGGGUUAGGGCUCUGAGAAUUAAGGUGAGGGAUUUUAGGAAAAUGAUGGUUAAAGGGUUAUGAUUGGGAGAAUUAGGGUUAAGAGAAUUAGGAGAAUUUGGAUUAGGGUAGUUAGGUUUAGAUGAAUUAAGGCUAGGGUAAUUCAAUUAUAAACAUGAGAAGUAGAUUUAGGGUAAUUUAUUUUACAAUUAGUAGAAUUAGAGAUAAGAGGCUUAGUAUUAGGAGAAUUAACCCCAAUGUACUCAUUACACCCUUACCUGUGCAAGGAACACAAUCUGUUAUUGUGUUUAGAGUGCCCCUUUGAGCACAAUUGCACAUUCCUUAUACUGUGAACUUGUGUGUGCAUGUAUACAGUGUAGAUGCAUGUUUGUACUUGUGUGUGUUUAUGAUAUAAGUGAGAAUGCAUGUGUACAUUUGUUUAUAUAACAUAAAUGUGAAUUGUGUGUGUGGGAUCAGUAUGUGUGCAUGCUGGGGAGUACAUGAGCAAGUAUGUGAAAAUACAGCAUGGUAUCUUUUUCUGUGGCCAGUAUUUGUAAAUUUUGGGUGUAUUUGAGUACCGUAGCAGUAUUUUAUUGCAGCAGUGUAUCUGAGUGAUGGAUAAGUGUGUGCGUGCACACAUUUUGUGUAUGGUGUGAAUGUUGCUUUGCAUAUUAGUGUUGUAAGUAUGUGUCUUUUUUCACUUUAUCAUUCGGCUUUUCUCCAUUCUUUAGCGUCUUUCUCUUCAUUUUCUAUAAUUAUAUCUGUUGACAUCCACGUCUCUCCCAAUCCCCCCUCCCUAUCUUCUCUCUCUCCCUGGUCUCCUAUUUCCCUUCAUCCUAUCCUACUUACUUAGAUGUAAGGCUAAUGCAGCUAGACUGGAGGAAUGAUGGUACCUAUCACUCAAAAUAGAAAAUGCAGAGAAUAGUAAUCCAUGCAGUACAUCCAAUUAUUCUGUCUUGUGUCCUUCCUUACGGUAGAAUACACUAGAAAAGAAAAUGAAUAGCAUAUUCCAUGUUGCACUUAUUAGACAGACAUCGCCCGCUAUGUGUUCCGUCCCUGGAAUCUGAUAUAUGUGCAAUCUUCCACUGUAAUAGGAACCAUGGUCCUGUCUUGCUGGGUAACAAGUUGUAGUCCAGCUUGAGGAACCUGCCCAGCUAGCGCACUUGCAUAACCUUCCUGAUAUUUCCUUGAUACAGUGAGAUAACAUGUUUUACAGUGACAAUGUGACAAUGUAUCACACAGUUUAACACUGUGCUUGGAUGGUACCUGUAAGUAAUAGAUCAGAGUUUUGUGGGUGCAGAAAUCGUUUAUUAGAAUUCUGUAAAAGGCCUGUUUUAUGAAUACAAGGUUAAUAUUCUGCACUGCUCGCUAUGUAUAUUUUGCACUUUUAUUGAUAUUGGGAUAUUUGUAUAGUAAAAAAUAUAAAGGCAAUUGAGUAUAGCCAUAUUAAGUAUAUUUGCAACUUGCUGCUGUUUGUUUUGUGCUUUUAAGGGCUGCAUGGUGUUUAAAGGGACACUUUAGUCACCAGAACAACCACAGCUUAUUAGACUUUUUUGCAGUAAACACUGUUUUGUCAGAGAAAAGGCAGUGUUUACAUUACAGCUUAGGCAUACCUCCAGUGGCCACUUCUCAUAUGGCUACUAGAGGUGCUACCUUCUGCAAGGAGACACUGAACUUUCCUCAUAGAGAUGCAUCGAUUGGCCAUGGCUGUGUUUGACUUGUGCUCGCUCUGCCCCUGAUCUGCCUUCUUGACAGUCUCAGUCAAUCCAAUGCUUUCCUACGUGACAGCAUUGUGAUUGGCUCAGAUCACCACUUCUGAUUAUGUCAGCCAAGCAGGAAUCAGGAAUAAUGCCAGCAGCAGCAGACUGGAAAAUAAGUAAGAUUUUACUAUAUUUAGGAGGGCAAGGGGUGACGAGGGGGGCUAGAUGGUGUUUUUAACAGUAUAGGUUCAGGAAUACAUGUUUGUGUUCCUGACCCUUUGGUGUUUCUUUAACAAUACAAAGUGGCCCUAGCUUUAGAUGUGUAGUCAGUUUCUAAUGGAAGCAAAUAAGAAAUUAAAAAAUACCCAGGAUAUGUCUAAUGCUGUGUGGAAGAAAGCAGCAGUAUGUUCUGUGUGUUUUUUUUUUUUUUAUCUAUAUAAAAAGUCCUUGACUCGUGUGCAAAGAUAUAACAUUAAAUUCUGUUAUCUGGAUGGUCUUUUGGUACGGAGAGCUGUCUCUGGUACAGACAGAAUAAUUAUAUAAUGAUUAAAACUGUAUCACUGGAGCUUUGAGACUCUUUCAUUGUUUAUAUUUUAUAGUUGCUUCUUUCUUUUUCUCCUGCAUUUACGCGAGGAGUUCAGGACAUCUGACAUGGUCAGGGAUAAACUAGUUAACAUUUUCUGACUUUUUUUUAUUAUCUUAUCAGUCAUUCGAGGGGCACGCAAGGGGCACUCGGUAGUUCUCAAUACCCAAUGGAUCUUUUAGCCAGCAGGCAUGUAUUAAUUAUCAGAGACACCAAAGAGGUCUGAUUGAAGUGCAGUUACAGAAGAUGGUCUACACAGCAAAACAAGUUGCCAAGUAUGAUGAGCCUCUAGUUUGGGGCAGUUGCAAGCAGAAAAAUCUGCAUAUAUAUACUAAGAUAGAUAUCCAGACUAUGUAUGUUAGUGCUAGUACAUCAUGACUAUCAUAACACAUGGAACAGGAUCCAGAAUGUACACCUGGGAGAAUGACUUUAGAUAAAAAUUGCUGUUACUGACAGGGCACAAGGGUAACACGCGCCAGGCAGGAAUAGAAUGUGCUUCAUGAGGUAUCAGGUGCUGACUAUGCUAAUUAGUACCUUCCCCAGCCAACAGGCAGACGUCCAAAGAUAAUCUACCUAGGUGCGAAAGGCUGACAGUGACAGGUUAACUGACUACAUAGCCAACCAAGCAAAACGUAAAGGAGAAUCAGAACUCUGAAAUAUAAGUCUUAGAACCCUGUAAAAACAUAAUCUGUGAUAUGCCAACGUGUGCAAACCAGUUGCAUAUGCUAUAUAAUGCUGCUGCGGAUACUAGAAAUAAAUGUCAAUGAAUCUCUGUGAUUAAACUAUAUAUAUUUAUGAAAAACUGAAAAAUGACCAUUCCAGGCAAAGCCAGCAGAAAUAUUACAGAUACAAAGGAGAAAAGGAAACAGUUUAAUUUCUCACCUGCAAAGUACAGAGCUUAUAACAAUGAUUUGCAGUGGAGGCAUCCAGGUGCAGGAUAAAGAGGUAUGGUGUUUUACACUUAAUUUUAUUUUUCACACCUCAUGAAUGAUUAUUAGUUAAAUAAGGUGAUAAGUAAAAAUAAUAUUAAAUAUCCUGGGAAGUGAGAGUUACUUUUUAAAAUGAACCUUAUUUGAAUUAGAUAGUAGCAAAGCCUAUACAUAAAUCCUGGUUGAGAAUGAGAGGAAUCUCAAUAUAUCUUUUCUGGUUAUGUUGUUAUUUUAAUCAUUUGGAGAUAUUGAAAUAUGUAAGCAAAUGUUGUCUGCAAUGUGAAUCAUUGCUAUUUUUGCUACAAUAUGUCUGCUUUUUGCAGGCAGCUGACACACUUAGUCGGAGCUAGGCAUUUCUCAUCACUGAAUGUGUUUUGAAUUCUAUCCGCUUUCUGAUUGGCCGAAAAGACAAUAUAGAACAUAAGUUGUGAUUUUAAAUGUGUCAGACUCUCUUUACUCCUCCGAAAAUCUCUUUACAAUUUGCUGCUGCAAAGCUUAUGGCAUCGGGAACAGGGACAACUUUUCAUUAUAUAUACACUGCUCAAAAAAAAUUAAGGGAACACCUAAACAACACCAUGUAACUCCAAUUCAAUCACACUUCUGUGAAAUCAAACUGUCCACUUAGGAAGCAACACUGAGUGACAAUCAAUUUCACAUACUGUUGUGCAAAUGGGAUAGACAACAGGUGGAAAUUAUAGGCAAUUAGCAAGACACCCCCAAUAAAGGAGUGGUUCUGCAGAUGGUGACCACAGACCACUUCUCAGUUCAUAUGCUUCCUGGCUGAUGUUUUGGUCACUUUUGAAUGCUGGCGGUGCUUUCACUCUAGUGGUAGCAUGAGACGGAGUCUACAACCCACACAAGUGGCUCAGGUAGUUCAGCUCAUCCAGGAUGGGACAUCAAUGUGAGCUGUGGCAAGUAGGUUUGCUGUGUCUGUCAGCGUAGUGUCCAGAGCAUGGAGGCGCUACCAGGAGACAGGCCAGUACAUCAGGAAACGUAGAGGAGGCCGUAGGAGGGCAACAACCCAGCAGCAGGACUGCUACCUCCGCCUUGUGUAAGGAGGAACAGAAGGAGCACUGCCUGAGCCCUGCAAAAUGACCUUCAGCAGGCCACAAAUGUGCAUGUGUCUGCUCAAACGGUCAGAAACAGACUCCAUGAGGGUGGUAUGAGGGCCCGAUGUCCACAGGUGGGGGUUGUGCUUACAGCCGAACACCGUGCAGGACAUUUGGUGUUUGCCAGAGAACACCAAGAUUGUCAAAUUCGCCACAGAGUCUGGAGACGCCGUGGAGAACGUUCUGCUGCCUGCAACAUCCUCCAGCAUGACCGGUUUGGCAGUGGGUCAGUAAUGGUGUGGGGUGGCAUUUCUUUGGGGGGCCGCACAGCCCUCCAUGUGCUCGCCAGAGGUAGCCUGACUGCCAUUAGGUACCGAGAUGAGAUCCUCAGACCCCUUGUGAGACCAUAUGCUGGUGCGGUUGGCUCUGGGUUCCUCCUAAUGCAAGACAAUGCUAGACUUCAUGUGGCUGGAGUGUUUCAGCAGUUCCUGCAAGGUGAAGGCAUUGAUGCUAUGGACUGGCCCGCCCCUUCCCCAGACCUGAAUCCAAUUGAGCACAUCUGGGACAUCAUGUCUCGCUCCGUCCACCAACGUCACGUUGCAACACAGACUGUCCAGGAGUUGGCAGAUGAUUUAGUCCAGGUCUGGGAGGAGAUCCCUCAGGAGACCAUCCGCCACCUCAUCAGGAGCAUGCACGGGUGUUGUAGGGAGGUCAUACAGGCAUGUAGAGGCCACACACACUACAGAGCCUCAUUUUGACUUGUUAUAAGGACAUUACAUCAAAGUUGGAUCAGACUGUAGUGUGUUUUUCCACUUUAAUUUUGAGUGUGACUCCAAAUCCAGACCUCCAUGGGUUGAAAAAUUUGAUUUCCAUUUUUUUAUUUUUGUGUGAUUUUGUUGUCAGCACAUUCAACUAUGUAAAGAACAAAGUAUUUCAGAAGAAUAUUUAAUUCAUUCAGAUCUAGGAUGUGCUAUUUUUGUGUUCCCUUUAUUUUUUUGAGCAGUAUAUAUAAGUUGUUAGUAUGCUCUUUGUACUAUUUUACUACAAGGGCACGAGACUCACCCCUAUAUAUUCCUAUAUUUAAUAAUUUAGUGUAAUCUUUCAUACUGUUAACGUUUUGGCAUUGGCAUAUAUUAAUAGUAGAUCUUUUACCUGAAAAUAAAUUAUUUAAUCAAUAUAGCACAGAAAUGUGUAUUAUAUACUUUAUUAAUAUAUAUUUUUAAAAUUAGCACAGACAUUUUACAAAAUGACAAAGAGAUCUGCAAAUCCAAUUCCUGUUGAUUCAUUAGUAAUUUCAACAUGUGUAUGUUCUCUUUCUGAUUGAUUGGGGAUUAUUAUUUUUUUUAUAUUUGUAAUAUUUUAGUACUGGUGAAGGAAUUAGGAUAUAAUUGGUUGCUUACUGUAGCAGGUAUCAUGACGUGCUAUUACAUCUAUGUAUUAAAACUGCUCAAUCAUUUAAAUAUAAAUGUAUAAUAUAACAUACUGUUUAUUUUGAUUUAGUGAUUAAUAUGUCAUCUUUUAAGGUGCCAGGUUUUCCUUAAAGGGACACUUAACUUCCUAAAAACAAAAUAAACAAAAAUCACUGUUUAGUAGAUAUACUCCAAAUGAAUAUGUGCAUACAUUUAAUAAUGCAUUUUUUCAUUGUAGUAUAUUUGAAAACAACUAGCAAAAACUACAGACCUCUUGUCUGCUGCCUUUGGAAGCCAUCCCCUUCUAACCCUGCCCAGACUUUUUGUGGCUGUCCAAUCACAGACUUCCCAAUGCAGUUCAAUGUGAAAUGUUUGCAAGGCAGGUAUUCUGAGCAAUUGCUGCCUCUUGAGUUCCAUGCUAAUAAGCUAACCAAUCCAGGAAGUAACAUGGCCUGUUUUCUGCUUGAGAAAAAAAAAAACAGGGGGUGUAACCAAGUAUAAUUUAUAAAAGUGUCAAUUUAUAUUGAAAUGUACACUGUUUCCAAUAAAAUGAUACAUACUCUUCAUGCAUAAAGCUUUUUAGCAAGCUAACGUGAUUUAGGUGUCUGGAGUGUUCCUUUAAACUGUUCUGAAUACAAAAUUUUGAAUUUGCCCAUUAAAUUAAUUCGUUUUUGGCUUCUUUAACCUGAAGUUUUUUUUCUUGCAGAAAUGUAUCCUCUUUGCAAGUACCAUACUGUAAAAAUUCCUCGUUUAGUAGUUCAACCCAGAGGCAUGUGCGAUCACCAGUGGUCCCAGUACGACCAACGUCAUGGAGUGGCUGAGCAGAUAGAACUAACAAG